rnacentral:lncRNA from 1 species
AAGGUACAUGAUCUGGAAAGUGUGUAUUAACUCUUCCAUUUGGUACCGCCUAUCCAUCAAGUUAUGUGUGCAUUACCAUUUUGCAUAUCCUAAGAUUUCUCCUUGGACCUACUAUAGAUUAACUGGAAAUAUUUCUGCUGGCAAAAUAAUAAACUGACAACCUAGACAGGACUAUUUGGAUGCUCUAAUAUAUGAUCACAAAAUACAACUUUCUAAUGGGAAACAAUUUUAUAGCGAGUGAUAAGGUUUAAAGAGUUCAGAUGGCGGUUAUACUUGGAGGAGAAACAACCUCGCUUUCUGCUGAGCUAGUAAUAGACUUGGUGCUGUGUGACUUCUAUCACGGGGUUCUAUUGCUUGUAAUUUUGUGUUCAGAUUGACUUUGUAAUUACAUCUCACAGUUUUAAUAGAUUCAGCUGUGUGCAUCAAUUGAUGCAGAGGCCAGGGGGUGACCCUCCUUACAAAAAAUCUGUAGAGAAAAACUAUCUAAACUGGCCAACGAUAGAAAACAAGUAACAUUAGUUGCCUAUCAUCUUGUGAUUCUUAUGUCAAAGUAAUGCUCCAUAUUUCUGUUCAAUUUUCGGUGUAUAUUGUCAUAUUGACAGCUGAUUGUUCUUGCAGGGUGGUGUUGGGUUAAAAAUGAGAGUUUACGAUCGUAGGAUAUGUUUUGUGAACAAUCAUUUUGCCGCACAUCUAGAAAAUGUUACUCGUCGCAAUGCUGACUUUGAUCAUAUCUAUCGGACAAUGAAUUUUAACAAACCUCAUGGAUCUGCAGGUUUCCCAUUCUCACACCUCCUCUUUUCAAGUAUUCUUUUACACUACUUUACUGUAUAUGAAGCCUAUAACUUUUUCUCCUUCUGCUACAGCUUCUGACACGUCUGUCCAAUUGCAUAAAGCAGUGAAUGUAUGUAAUCAUCAAACUCUUUUUCUAAAAUAAUAUCCAGCCUUGAUUACUUCCGUUGCAACGAUGCAUACUUACGCAUAGAUCUUGACAUACUGGCAGGCCAAUGGGAAUCAGCCUGAUGAAGAUAGACCUGAGCUAGCAGAAGCCGAUAUGGUUGUUUUUCUUGGUGAUUUCAACUACCGACUUUAUGGUAUCACCUAUGAUGAGGCAAGGGAUAUGGUCUCGCAAAGGAGCUUUGACUGGCUUAGAGAAAGGGAUCAACUUCGAGCAGAAAUGAAGGCAGGAAACGUGUUUCAAGGAAUGCGUGAAGGUUUUAUCAGAUUUCCUCCAACUUACAAAUUCCAAAGACACCAACCAGGUCUUGCAGGUACUGUCUCUUCUCACACUUAAGUUCUUGCUCAGUUAAAAUGUUCCACAACAAUAAAGUUAUUUUCCUUUUUCUUUUCUUUUUUGACAUCAAAUUCAGAUAAUGCUUUACAACUGAUAAUAUUUUCCGUCAAUUCUGAUGUAGGGUAUGAUUCGGGUGAGAAGAAGAGAAUACCUGCUUGGUGCGAUAGAAUAGUGUAUCGAGAUAGCCGUUCCGAAACAAUACGUGAAUGCUCAUUAGAGUGCCCUGUUGUUGCUGCAAUUACAUCGUAAGAUUCUGCAACACAUAAGGCCUUGUACAAUGUAAGGUGCUUAGGAAAGAUGCUUAGCUAAAUAAACCAGAUUUUCAGACACCGGUGCUUAUCUGUAGAUGGUAGAUGCUUAAUUUAAACAACCAUCCUAUGGUGAUAAGCACUGGUGCUUAAGACAAAGCCGAUUUAUUUUAUCAAGUACCUCCCUUAAGCACCUUGCAUUGUACAAGGCCUAAUCUUGCUUUUUAUAGAGAGAAUCUACAUCAUCUUGUCCCUUCUCAAAUAUAAUCAAGCUCUAAUAUAACGUGCUUUUCUUGUACAUUUUGAUAGAUAUGAAGCGUGCAUGGAUGUGACAGAUAGCGAUCAUAAACCAGUGAACUGUACGUUUAGUGUUGAUCUUGCAAGAGUGAACGAGCUGAUAAGAAGACAGGAGUAUGGAAAAAUAAUCGAAUCGAAUGAAAAGCUACAUUGUUUGCUUCAAGAAUCCCAUCGUGUUCCAGACACUAUAAUCAGCACAAACAACAUUAUAUUGGAAAACGAGGAAACUGUUGUCCUUCGAAUAACAAAUAACUGUGGAUCAAAAAAGUCUGCUUUUGAAAUCUUAUGUGAAGGCCAGUCGACAAGCCAGCAGGACGGAACGAAAUCUGAUUUUAUUCCAAGGGCAUCCUUCGGCCUUCCACAUUGGCUUGAGGUAUGAGUUAUAGUUUGUGUCUUUCGGUUUUGAAUAAAGAUAUACUCCCUCCGAUCCUAAAUAUAAGUCUUUGUACAGAUUUCACUAAAGACUACAUACGGAGCAAAAUGAGUGAAUAUACACUUUAAAGUAUGUCUAUAUUCAUCCGCAUGUAGUUCGUAGUGGAACCUCUAAAAAGAUUUAUAUUUAGGAACGGAGGGAGUAGUUAGUAGUACGUUUCUGUUGUUGCUUUCGUGCAUUUGCCUGGUUUGGAUUUUGUUUCGUCGUACAAGCCUUUUUCAUUUGCCACAUCGGUCGCAUCGUACUAGUAUUUUGAUAUCAGCUUACUUUAGUGUGACUCUCCUGUCACAAACAAAAGUACCAUAUUUCGACCUGGAGUCCUAGGAUCGAUCACUGGUCAUUCUUUGGGUUGUUACUGACAGGUUUCCAUCUCUUGUGUUUGUAAUUAUACAAUGUUCUUUUUCAUUCUAGAGAAAACAAAAUUAAGAGAACUACGGAAGCUCUCUUCUGCUUGUAUGAUGGACCCUUCUCAAUCGAAAAUCUGAAAACUAUACCAGAUGUUUCUCGUUCCAGGAACGAAAAAUUAGACGAAACACGACUUAUAUCACUUGGUACCAAAAUAGGCAUGACGGUAGGUUCAAGUUUGGUUGCAUCUGUAGAAUUCCAUUCGGUGGCUCUUUUGUGAAAAUGCGAGCCAAGUUUUGUACUCCCUGUGUUCCUAAAUACAAGUCUUUUUAGAUAUUCUACUAUGGACUACAUACAGAGCAAAAUUGGUGAAUCUACACUCUAAAAUAUGUUUAUAUACAUCCUUAUGUAGCCCGUAGUGGAAUUUCUAAAAAGAUUUGUAUUUAGAAACAGAGGGAGUGAUCUGCUGCCAUCAGCCUAGCUGUUCUGUAAUCUACUGCUGAUCCUCCGAUUUCUGCUACUGUUCUGCCAUCUCAUGUCAUUUUACUUCCAUCUUUGCUUCAGCCGUACCACUUAACUCUCUCCUAUGUGCCAUGCCAUACAGGUUCAACCAUCCAUCGGCCUCAUCGAGCCUGGAGAAACAAUGGAAGUUAACGUGCAUCACGAGAACUACUACACGCAAGAAGAAUUCGUCGAUGGAGUCGUGCAAGGCGGAUGGUGCGAACUGACCAGAGACAAGGAUGCCGUCCUGCUGGUCAAUGUGACAGGCAGCACCUCAACCGAAACCGUUACGCACAGGAUCAACGUCCGGCACUGCUGCGCCGCAAGCCCGGCGCCCCGGCCGGCCAGUCUACUGUCCAUCGCCGCCCCGCCGCCCGGUGACGCUCCGUCUAGCGAAGGCCCCACGGAACGUUCUUCCAGAAAGAGCCAGUCGAACCAUCUGCAGCGUUCGGACGCGCAUUUCGGCGCCUCAGAGGUGCAUGACCUGUGCCGUCUGCGGGACAUGUAAGGGCUUUUCUCUUGUUUGAUUGAUGUAGUAGCAGUUUUGUAUAGGGGGCGAGGUAAUAGUGUGCUUACCAACAAGAAUCAGGGAGGAGCUGCUCCACUGUUAACGCUGUACAUAUGCAGCCUCUCACCAUUCUUCGUGUAACCAAGGAAGAAUUGCAUAGUUACAGGACAUAAUCUGUAGUUAGUUUUUUUUUUAACUUUUUUUUGGUGUGUGGAGGAGUGCAUGUGAUGUGGAAUGACUUUCUAUAUAUACUUAAGCCGCGUUUGGAUUGAGUGUAAAAUAAUACAAUACAAGUGUAUUAAUUUUACAAAUGUAAUUUAUAGGGUUAGCCUGAUUUCCGUCCGAAAACAAUACAGACCUUCGGAGGCUUGUAUUUUUUACGGAUGUAUCAAAGGGGAAAACGGUAAUCCAAGCACAGCCUUACAUGAAAGAGUGCAAAGGCAGAUUGUGUGAGUUGCUACUGAUGAAUAGUCUGUUUAUUGGCGAGAAUGAGUUAGACCUUAUUGAGCUUGAUAGCGCCCUCCACCUAAGCUGCGUGCUGUUGAGAAGCUGGGACGUAUCCAGUUGCCGAAAGCCUGAAGCUUUGCUUCUACGUACUACUGGCUCAGCGACAGCUGCUACCUUUCACAAAGCCUUGAAAGCUUCUGUCAUGGCGUGCGAUGCCAUGCAUCAUGAUCUAUGACCAUGAGAGUCGUUUCAUGCUUGGUAGUCACUUGAGCCUUCAGGCCUCAGCUCUGAAUAUUUUGAGGCAACACAGCUCAACUCGCCCUCUGAAGUCUAGCAUACAAGUUUCUUCAGAGAAGGUGGCGGCCUCUGCACUACACCCACCAACCGAACUAAAAGCUGCGGUGAGCCAAGUGCGAGCAGACCCAACCUGGCAAGCCAAAAGUUCCGGAGAUUUGGCAUUCCUACAGAGAAUUAAAUUUUAAAUUAUCUGGCAAGUUACGGAAAAUUGGAGCGGGCCAGAGGGGCGCCGGAUGAGCAGUUAGGCUAGGUCAAAUCUGGUGGACUGCCUGGCUACCGACGGACAGAUUUAGUCAAAUUUGGUGCGGAUUAGUUUACUUGCAUCUAUAUAGAGGAUAAAGAGCAGUUGUGGCUAAGUUGGGUUUGGCUAAUCUCACUGAACUCAAUCCAAUGAUCAAGCGUUUAUGUUGUGGGCUACUGCCAUCCACUAACGCUCAAAACUUUUGGUUAAAAAGAAGUCAUCAACAGGUUGAGUUGGAACUUGAGUCCAGACUCUAGACGAUUCAUAACAACUGGAAAGUGAGACUUGUCGGAGUACUCUGUUUUUUGUUUUUCAUGGAACACCCGAUUCCAUUAACCCACUUGCGCAGUAGAAACACUAGCCCUCCUUACAUUUACAUCAUCCGGCAAUUCCUCAGCCCACAACUGUUUCUGUGAUUGCCUUUGAGCACCCAUAGAAGCUAGAGCAUGGACGAGAAUGUUGCAGCCCCUAGGUGCAAAAGAAAAAGUUCCAGAGUUAAAAUGGAGUCUGGCAAAGAGACGAAUAUUCCUAAACAUAAUUCCUACACGAGCAAGGUCGAAAUCGCUGCUCUGUACCGCCCGCAUCAAGGAUAGUCAGUCUAUUUCAAUAGUGAUGUUCACCAUACCCAAUCAGCCGCUGCUUGUAAGGCCUGAGAGCUGCUAUCGCUUCCGCCUGCAUCGGACCUGCCAGGUGGGUAAGGUGACCAGCGCCUGAACCUCUCACAAUCACCUUGUCCAUCUCGUACCACAAAUCCCGAGCCACCAUUACCAGCUGAAGAGAAGAAAGACCCAUCAAUAUUAAAUUUAAUCUUGUCCCCUACUGGCCUGCUCCAGUUUUGCUCCUCACUGGUUGGAUUUGGUCUUCCUUGGCUCGCACCCAAGCUCAGACAUUCAGAGAGACGGGUUAGAAUUCUGGUAAUUAGAUUAUCAAUCGACUCACCAUGCUCUUUUGCAUUUAUCUUGUUUCGUCUAGACCACCAACACCAUAACAUGAAUACAACUGGCACCCUUCUGUUCUCGUCCAGCUCCAAGAGGAUCUUGAUCACUUCCUUUGCAUCCUUGCCCGCACACAUAUGAAGUCGGGUAUUCCCGAGUUGCAGUCAUCGCCAAACCAGUUUCACUUCCUUGCAUCUGAGAAACAGAUGCGCCCCAUCCUCAUUAAGUCCCUUGCAGCAAACACAAAGCGUAUCACACUCAAUGCCCCUCCUCUUAAGCCCCAUCAGCGAAGGCAGGCUAUUGUGGGCAAGUCUCGAGACAAACUAUUGAAUUUUUGGCUGGCAUUUGAUGUCCCAGAUUUUCCUCCAGUCUAGAUCCCCUUGGUCAAUGUAUGAGGAGGAAGCCUGCUCAACAUCUCUUCUUCUAAUGUACAACUUGUAUGCAGAUUUAACUGAAAAGAUGCCCUUGCCGUCGAAAAACCAAGCAUAGAAAUCUUCAAAGUCCUCACUAGUCGAAGUGGCCAAGAUCACCUUUGCAUCUUCUUCAACAAAAAUAUUCCGCACCAAUCGUUCAUCCCAUGUUGAUGUGUCCGGAUCGAUAAGUUCACAAACUCUAGUCAGCAGGCAUCUUCCUUGUUGCGUCCAGAGCAGCCGAGGGCCCUCCCUAUUCAGCCAUGGAUCAGUCCAUAUUUUGAUAUUUGCUCCAUCUCCAACUCUGUGGAUGAUUCCCUCUUUCAGCAGAUCAAUCCCCUUCAGGAUGCUUCUCCAUGUAUAUGAGAUGUGUGGACUAGCUUGCGCCUCGAGGAUCGACGAGUUUCGGAAGUACCUAGCCUUCAGAACUCGUGCACAAAGGGAGUCAGGUUCAAUGAGAAGCCUCCAUGGUUGGGGAACGCUGCAUGGGAAACAAAAAAAUUCCUACGGACACGCAAUACCUAUCCCAUGGUGAUGAUCAUAUACGAGAGGGGAGAGUGAAUCUACAUACCCUUGUAGAUCCCUAAGCGGAAGCGUAUAUAACGCAGUUGAUGUAGUCGAACAUCUUCGUGAUCCAAAUCGCAGUACGUCCCGUGAUCUCAUCAUGAACCGUCCGGCAAUCCCAUCACGAUCCAUCCCAAUCUAGUGCCGAACAGACGACACCUCUACCUUUAGCACAUGUACAGCUCGAUGACGAUCACCGCCUUCUUGAUCCAACAAGAGGGGCGGAGAGGUAGAUGAGUUCUCCAGCACGGUGUGGUGGUGGUGGUGGUGGUGAACUAAUCCAACAGGGCUUCUCCAAGCUCUGCGGAACUAAUCUAGAGAGAGAGGGAAACACGUGGCUAAUUAGGGUUGGGGCUGCCCUCAAAAUCCUCUAGUAUGUAUAGGAGGGAGGGAGGGGAGGAGGCAGCCACAAAAACCCCUAAGGGCUUGUUCGGUUAAUCCCAACAAGGAGGGGAUUGGAGAGGAUUGGAGGGGAUUGAAGUGGAAUUUGACUUAUAGGGGAUUUAAUCCCUCCCAAUCCCCUCCAAACCCCUUCAAUUCUCAAACAACCGAACAAGGCCUAAGGGCUUGUUCGGUUAAUACCCACCACAAGGGGAUUAGAGAGGAUUGGAGGGGAUUGAGGUGGAUUUUGACUUAUAGGGGAUUUAAUCCUCCCUAAUCCACUCCAAUCCCCUUCAAAUCUGUUGCAACCGAACAAGGCCUAAGGGUUCGUACGAAGUGGAGAAGAGGUGGAGGAGUCCACCUCCAAUCCUACUCCAAGUAGGAUUCCAUCUUGUCUCCUCCUUCCCUUUUCCCCUUUUCCCCUUCUUUUGCUCCUUGGCCGAAGUAGCCUUAUUGGGCUGGUUGCACCAGUCCACUAAGGGUUGGUGCACCACCUUUAGGCCUAUUAGGUUCUCUCCCGGGUGGGUGGCCCCUCCCGGUAAAACCCCGGAACCCAUUUGUCACUCCCGGUACUUUACCGGUAAUGCCCGGAAACUUUCCGGAAGCCAAAUGCAACUUUCCUAUAUAUCACUCUUUACCCCCAGACCAUUUCGGAGCUCCUCAUGACAUACGGGAUCUCAUCCGGUACUCCGGACAACUUUUGGUCACCAACAUACAUAACUCAAUAAUACCGAACCUUAAGUGUGCAAACCCUACAGGUUCGAGAACUAUGUAGACAUGACCUGAGACACUCUCCGAUGAAUAACCAAUAGCGGGACAUGGAUGCCCAUAUUGGCUCCUACAUAUUCUACGAAGAUAUUUAUCGGUUGAACUUCUUUGUCAAGGAUUUAGUUAAUCCCAUACGUUGUUCCCUUUGUCCUUCGGUAUGUUACUUGCCCGACAUUCGAUCGUCGUUAUCUCUAUACCUAGUUCAAUAUCGUUACCGACAAGUCUCUUUACUCGUUCCGUAAUACAAAAUCCCAUGACUAACUCCUUAGUCACAUUUCUUGCAAGGGUUAUUGUGAUGUUGUAUUACCGAGUGGGCCCCGAGAUACCUUUCCAUCAUAUAGAGUGAUAAAUCCCAGUCUUGAUCCACGCUAACUGAUGGGGUUAUAGUCCUAGGGUAGGGUCAUAGGCCUGCCCUAUGGGUCCUACCCAAGGACUACCCCUCAUAAGGGACAAGGCCCUUAGUCAGUUCCAACUGAACUAAGGAGUUCCCAUCAUCCAGUCGGUAACAGGUCCUCGACCAUCCAGUCGGAGACUAGCAUUCGGAGUGUAUCAAACUAACCGAUUGGAUGCCACUCUGAGCAUCGUAACCCCCAUGGAGGGAAACGGUCAUACGUUUCUACGUGCCUUUAUUAGCAUUUAAGACNGCUUAUACCCACGACAGUUGGCAUCCACCUUGGGGCAGGCGUCUAAGAGACUUCCGACGAGUUUGCGACUACAUCGUUUUGUCAUGUCGUCCGGUGGAGAUUCGAGCAUGGGUUACGAGAUCUUCUUCGGCGCUCUCUCCUUCAUCGUCGACGAUUCAGCAUGGCUUCGGGAUGCUCCUCUCGACACCGAGGCACUUCCCCGUCGCGGGGCUACGCACUUCCGUGCCGGCGCCCGUGGCGUUCUUCUUCUCCAGCAGUCGGCUCCGGUGUCAACCUACACCGCCGUCACGCGCCGCAACAAGCGGUCCCGCCGUCCACGGCCCCAGCGUUGGGUGCGACACGCCCAGGCACGCCAGAACGCGUCUUCACAAGUGGCGGUCCUAGAGUCGGUUGUGGUUGCCCCGCCGUCCCAGCGCUCGGACUCGGUUCCGACUGAGUUUCCUUCCGAGCACGCGGGUCGCGGGCCUGCAGGAGAAGUACACAUGGCCAACUCCCACGAAGAUCCCCGUCAAGCUGGCCGGAACGAGCACGAGAUCGGCGAAACAUCCGUCGCGCGUCGUCCGCCUCGCCGUUCUGCCAGUCGGCACACUCGACGGAGCAACGUGGAGUUGUUCCGCACACCCAUCCUCAACUUGGCUGCGGCUGCCAAGAUAGCCGAUUCCCUUCAGCCGACUGAUUCAGAGGCUGGCAGGGGGAUCGAGCAAAUCCGCGCCCUGUUGCACACGGCGCAGCAGCAAAAUUCGGCGGUCUCCCAGUCGCACAACAGGAUCCACAAUAGUUCUGUUCAUGCGAAUACGCAUCGGUCAGUUCACAGCCCUGGUUCUCAUCAGCGACACAGGGGAGGCAGCCGUUCCAUAAACCCCGAAGAUCGUCGCCGUUCACGCACCCCUCCGCGGGGUGGGCCCUACGGGCCCCGACAUCAUGAUGAUCGGCGUUCAGUCGGUGACACUUACGACCCAAGACCCGACGCAAGAGGGCAUAUCGCCCAGCGGAGGGUCGACAGGGGCCGAGCCCACCGCGAUGGUUACGAUAUUGACCGUCCGAGUGGAAGCAGGACCAUUGUUUCUGGUCCCGAGUGUUUCAGUCGAGCCAUCUGUUCGGCUGACAUCCCUCCCAACUUCCGAUUGGCGACGGGAAUCAGCAAGUUUACAGGAGAGUCCAAGCCAGAAACAUGGAUGGAUGAUUACCGAGUGGCAGUCUAGAUUGGAGGAGGAGACGACCAUGUCGCCAUGAAGCACCUCCCUCUGAUGCUCGACGGCUCGGCGCGAGCGUGGCUGAACCAGUUGGCCCCCUCAAGCAUCUACAGCUGGGCAGAUCUGGCUCGAGUGUUCAUCAGGACCUUCGAAGGGACGUGCAAGCGCCCUGCUGGCCUUGUGGAACUCCAGCAUUGCGUCCAGAAGCAGAAUGAGCCCCUGCGUGAUUUCAUUCAGCGUUGGACAACCCUCUACCACACGGUGGAGAACGUCACAGAGCAUCAAGCAGUCUGCACCUUCAAGGCAGGCGUGCGGUAUAGGGAUUUGUACCUAAAGUUCGGCCGAACAAGUGACAUCUCCAUGAGCAAGAUGAUGGAGAUAGCAGCACGCUAUGCAAAUGGCAAAGAAGAGGACCGCAUCCGAAGCGGCAAGCACAAAACAGUCGCCGAUGGAGAUGGGAGUAACACUCGGAAGCAGAAGCAGAAAGCUCCGUCCACUCCGUAGGCAGAGGCUGCAGCUGUAACCAACGCCAAGUUCAAGGGCAAAGGGAAGGCUCAGUUCACCCCCAAGAAGAAGCAGUCCAAUAAUCCCAUCCUGGACCAGCCGUGUCCCAUUCAUACAAAGAUGGACGAAGAGGGCAACCCCAUUUAUCCGAAGCAUACCACUCGACAAUGUCGCCUCCUGAUCCAGGGGUUCGGUAAAGGGCAACCGAGUGAAAAGGACAAUGAACAGGAUGAGGAGGAUAAGGAGGAUCCGUUCCCCCAAGUCCAUGCAACACUGAUGAUUUUUGCUGACGUUGAGAGCAAGAGUUGACUGAAGCUGGUGAACAGGGAGGUGAACAUGGCCACCCCUACCAACCCCAAGUUCCUCAAAUGGUCUCAGACUGCGAUCACCUUUGACCAGUCGGAUCAUCCGGCACACGUACCCACCCCAGGGAGACAGGCUCUGGUCAUCGACCCGGUGGUGGAAGGAGUCCGACUGCACAAAGUCCUCAUGGACGGUGGCAGUGGUUUGAACAUCAUGUACGCCGACACUCUCAAGGGGAUGGGCAUUCCGAUGUCCAAACUCAGCGAGAGCAGCAUGCAGUUCCACGGAGUCGUCCCUGGACGGAAGGCCAAGUCACUCGACCAGAUCGCGUUGGACGUCGUUUUUGGCUCCGACAAGAACUUCCGCAAGGAAAAGCUGACGUUCGAGGUGGUGGACUUCCAGAACGCUUACCACGCAAUUCUGGGCCGCCCGGCGUAUGCGCGUUUCAUGGCCCGUCCAUGUUACGUAUACCUGAAGCUGAAGAUGCUAGGUCCGAAAGGUGUGAUCACCAUCACAGGCAAUCGACAGCAGGCCGAAGAGUAUCUGCAGCAGGGAUCAAGAAUCGCCGACCAGCAGAUGGUCGUCCUCGAGCUUGACGAGUACAAGAAAACAGUCGACCCCGUUGACUUAAUGCGUUUGAAGAAGCCAGGUUCGGAGUCUGCAUUUCAGUCGGCGAGAGAGACGAAGAAGGUCAGCAUCCACCCCACGGACGACACUGCUGCCCCGACGAACAUCUCCACCACCCUUCAUUCGCGAGGUUCACCACUCCAAGUGGCUCGCCAAUGUUGUCAUGGUGCCCAAGAAGGACAAGUCGCUCAGAAUGUGCAUCGACUUCAAACAUCUCAAUAAGGUCUGCCCGAAAGACCAUUUUCCGCUCCCCCGCAUCGAUCAAAUUGUCGAUUCGACUGCGGGUUGCGAGCGAUUGUCAUUUCUUGAUGCCUACUCAGGCUAUCAUCAGAUCCGUCUGUAUGGACCCGAUGAAUUAAAAACAGCCUUCAUCACCCCAUUCGGGUGCUUCUGCUACAUCACUAUGCCAUUUGGUUUGAAGAAUGCAGGAGCUACCUUUAUGCGCAUGAUCCAAAAAUGCCUCCUCGACCAGAUCGGUCGGAAUGUGGGGGAGUAUAUGGAUGAUAUCGUAGUCAAGUCACGCAAAGGUUCCGAACUGCUGACUGACUUGGCAGAAACAUUCGCCAACCUUCGUAGAUACGAUAUCAAGCUCAACCCCGCCAAGUGUUCAUUCGGCGUUCCCAGCGGAAAGUUACUCAGUUUCUUCGUUUCCGAACGAGGGAUCGAUGUCAACCCCGAAAAGAUCGGGACCAUCGUACGAAUGGAGAGGCCGGUCAGAAUACAGGUUGCCUAGCGGCUUUGAGCAGGUUUAUCAGUCGACUCGGCGAGAAACCACUUCCUCUGUACCGACUCAUGAAGAAAUCAGAUACUUUCGAGUGGACAGAUGAAGCCCAAGUCGCAUUCGACGACCUCAAAGUCCUACUUUCCACCCAGCCGGUUCUUGCUGCUCCGCUCAGUAAAGAGCCCCUUCUUCUGUAUAUCGCGGCUACAAAUCAAGUCGUCAGCACUGUUCUUACAGUCGAACGAGAAGAAGAAGGCAAAGCAUACAAAGUUCAGCGGCCAGUGUAUUACGUUUCCGAAGUCCUGACUCCCUCCAAGCAGAGGUAUCCCCACUAUCAAAAACUUAUCUACGGGAUUUACAUGACUGCGAAGAAGGUAGCCCAUUAUUUCCAAGACCACUCGGUGUCUGUCGUUUCUGAUGCUCCGUUGGCGGAAAUCCUCCACAAUCGGGACGCAUCAGGCCGAGUGGCAAAGUGGGCAAUGGAGAUGUUGUACUGCGAUAUCAAGUUCGAGGCCAAGAAAGCUAUAAAGUCUCAAGCCCUGGCUGACUUCAUAGCAGAAUGGGUAGAACAACAGCAACCGACCCACAUCUACUCGGCUCAUUGGACAAUGUUCUUCGAUGGGUCCAAGAUGUUGAAUGGCUCCGGCGCUGGCGUUGUGAUCGUAUCGCCAAAGGGCGACAAACUCAAAUAUGUGCUGCAGAUACACUUUGAUUCCUCAACAAUGAGGCAGAGUAUGAAGCUCUCCUUUAUGGACUGCGUAUGGCCAUCGCACUCGGCGUCCGUCGCCUGAUGGUCUAUGGCGAUUCAGAUUUGGUGGUUAAUCAAGUGAUGAAAGAGUGGGACGUCAGGAACCCCACCAUGACCACAUACUGCAAUGCAGUGAGGAAGCUCGAGAAGAAGUUUGAAGGUCUAGAACUCCACCAUGUUCCGCGACUGAAGAACCAAGCAGCUGAUGAGUUGGAAAAACUCGGAUCCACUCGGAGACCAGUCCCGAGUGACGUCUGCCUCGAGCACCUACACCUUCCCUCAGUCAAAGAAGAUCCUUUCACAGAGGAACCAGUACAACCAAAGAGUUCGACAGAUCCGACUGAAGUCGACGUACCUGCUGUGGUUGAUCUGAUCAUAGAGAUUCUUGCUGUCAUCCCCGAUUGGACUGUGCCGAUCAUUGCAUAUAUCUUGAGGCAGGAAUUACCAGAAGACGAAGUCCAGGCCAGGCAGAUAGUCCGCAGGUCGAAGUCGUUCACUGUCAUUGAUGGCCAGUUGUACAAGGAAAGCGUUUCAGGCAUUCUUCAACGAUGCAUCUCCCCAGAGGAGGGACAGUUAAUCCUGGAAGAAAUUCACUCGGGAACCUGCGGUCAUCACGCCUCUUCGAGAGCAAUCGUCGCCAAAGCAUUCAGAGCUGGUUUCUUCUGGCUGCAGGCAAACGAAAUGGCUAAAGAUAUGGUCGACCGAUGUGAAGGCUGUCAAUUCUACUCCAACAAGUCCCACAAGCCAACAUCUGCGUUGAAGACAAUCCCUCUUAUGUGGCCGUUUGCAGUAUGGGGAUUAGAUACAGUCGGUCCAUUCAGGACAGGCCAAGGAGGAUACACACAUCUGUUGGUGGCAGUCGACAAGUUCACAAAAUGGAUUGAAGCCAAGCCCAUCAAGAAGCUCGACGCCCUAACGGCCAUCAAGUUUGUUAGGGACAUCAUCUUCAGAUUCGGUGUACCUCACAGCAUAAUCACGGACAACGGGACAAACUUUGACUCGGACAGAUUCAAAGGUUUCUGUACAAGCCAAGGUAUCCGAGUGGAUUUUGCAUCCGUGGCGCAUCCUCAAUCAAAUGGACAAGCAGAGCGGGCGAAUGGACUUAUUCUGCAAGGUUUGAAGCCCCGACUCCUGCGAGCUACCUUCCGUGCUUUGGGGUCUUCGCACAACCCCAAACAGAUCUACAUGGCGUUCACUGUUCUUCCUUGUCUACGGAGCAGAAGCAGUCCUUCCGAGUGACUUGCUUCACAAUGCUCCACGAGUUGAACUCUUCUCCGAAGCUGAAGCAGAACAAGCAAGGCAAGACGGAGUUGACCUUCUAGAGGAGGAGCGUGAGAUGGCACUGACUCGCUCAACCAUUUAUCAACAAGAUCUACGGCGUUUUCACGCACGACACGUCAGGAGUCGCACGUUCCAAGCAGGCGACCUGGUGCUCCGAGUGGAUCAGCAAAGACCUCAUAAGUUGGCUCCUGCCUGGGAAGGACCCUUCAUCAUCUCCAAGGUGCUGAACAACGGAGCAUACAGACUCUACAACAUCGACAGGGAGACAGACGAGCCGCGGGCAUGGAACAGAGAUCUCCUGAAGCGCUUCUACACGUGACCGUCGACUGAAGCAAUGUAAAGAACAAGUAUUGGUGAAAUAAUAUAAAGCAGAUUGAGCUUUUGCAGAUUCAAAAUUCUUCCCCGGUCGCAGACUCCGGUCUCAAAAAAAAAAUAGCUGCGAUCAAGAAUCGCCUAAGUACUGACCUUCUCCGAGUGUGUACUAAACGUCGCACUCGGGGACUUAGCUGCGAUCAAGAAUCGCGUAAGUACUGUCCUUCUCCGAGUGUGCACUNNNNNNNNNNNNNNNNNNNNNNNNNNNNNNNNNNNNNNNNNNNNNNNNNNNNNNNNNNNNNNNNNNNNNNNNNNNNNNNNNNNNNNNNNNNNNNNNNNNNNNNNNNNNNNNNNNNNNNNNNNNNNNNNNNNNNNNNNNNNNNNNNNNNNNNNNNNNNNNNNNNNNNNNNNNNNNNNNNNNNNNNNNNNNNNNNNNNNNNNNNNNNNNNNNNNNNNNNNNNNNNNNNNNNNNNNNNNNNNNNNNNNNNNNNNNNNNNNNNNNNNNNNNNNNNNNNNNNNNNNNNNNNNNNNNNNNNNNNNNNNNNNNNNNNNNNNNNNNNNNNNNNNNNNNNNNNNNNNNNNNNNNNNNNNNNNNNNNNNNNNNNNNNNNNNNNNNNNNNNNNNNNNNNNNGAGUGUGCACUAAACGUCGCUCUCGGAGACUUAGCUGCGAUCAAGAAUCGCCUAAGUAUUAACUUCCCCCGAGUGUGCACUAAACAUCGCACUCGGGGACUGAGCUGCGAUCAAGAAACGCCUUAGUACAAAAUUUUUCCGAGCGUGCACUACUCGUCACACUCGACGACUUAGCUGCGAUCAAGAAUCGCCUAAGUANNNNNNNNNNNNNNNNNNNNNNNNNNNNNNNNNNNNNNNNNNNNNNNNNNNNNNNNNNNNNNNNNNNNNNNNNNNNNNNNNNNNNNNNNNNNNNNNNNNNNNNNNNNNNNNNNNNNNNNNNNNNNNNNNNNNNNNNNNNNNNNNNNNGAGUGUGCACUAAACGUUGCACUCGGGGACUGAGCUGCGAUCAAGAAUCGCCUCAGUUCAAAUUUCCUCCGAGCGUGCACUACUCGUCACACUCGAAGACUUAACUGCGAUAAAUAAUCGCUCCAACGAGAAAGCUUCCUGUGACUGUAUCCUACAGAUACACUCGGGGACUCAGCAGACCCUCAUUGAGGUUCAUGUGGAUGUCAAGACCACUGACAAUUACAUGAGUAGCAGACCCUCAUUGAGGCUCAUGUGGAUAUCAAGACCACUAACAAUUACAUGAGUAACAACUCAAUACGAGUGCGCCCUCACAGUUGCACUCGAAGACUUAGCCGUGAUCAUGAAUCGCCUAAGUACUCUAUUGCCUUCGAGUGUAUCCUACAGAUCCACUCAGAGAAUCAGCAAACCCUCAUUGAGGCUCAUGUGGAUGUCAAGACCACUGACAAUUACAUGAGUAGCAUACCCUCAUUGAGGCUCAUGUGGAUGUCAAGACCACUAACAAUUACAUGAGUAACAACUCAAUACGAGUGCGCCCUCACAGUUGCACUCGAAGACUUAGCCACGAUCAUGAAUCGCCAAAGUACUCUAUUGCCUUCGAGUGUAUCCUACAGAUCCACUCGGAGAAUCAACAGACCCUCAGGGAGGCUCAUGCAGAUGUCAAGACAACUGACAAUUACAUGCUCCGCAUGUUUGCCAUUGGCUUCACCAAGAAACACCAAACAAAAACUCGAGCCAAAAUCGUAUCAACAACUCUUUGGCAACAGAAGAGCAAAAGAUUUGAUUCAAAUUUAAAGUUCGCCUAAAGAUAGCUGGCUCGGUGUGGAUCAAGCUUACCCGCACCGAGCCAAGAAUGUGACGGCCAACAGCAGUGGCCAAAGUUUCUUACAACCAACACUCGGCAUACCGAGGUAAAAAGUUUUCUUAAGCAUCGUCCGGACUGGCGCUAGGACUGGCGGGCUCUACGAAUGUGUCCAGGUCGAUCCCGUCGGCGAUGUGGGUGGCGCUCUCAAGGAAGGUUUCCAUGAAGUCUUCAAACCGAAGUUUCUUCGUGUUGGCGACCUGCAACAUUUUCAGCUUCUCUUCGCGCACCUCCUUGCAAUGCACUCGGACAAGAGACAGAGCAACGUCCGCACCACAGCGAGCCGCAGACUUCUUCCAUGACUGCACUCGGUUUGGGACCUCCUCCAGCCGAGUCAUCAAGCCUUCCAUCUCAUGCCGAGACUCGUCCUCAGGCCAAAGCUCCUUGUCGAGCCGGCCGACGACUUCUCUCAGUCGACCGAUGAAAGGCCCAACUUUGCCCAGGCGAAUGUGCGCUCGGAGCAGAUCUCGAUUGGCGUCCUCGCCGAGUGGAAUGUUCUCGCGAAUCGACCGCUCCACGUCAGCUGCUUCAGCCUCAGCGUCCAUGCAAAAAUCUGCAAACACAGGACGAGCAAACAAUAAGCGCCGAGUGAAAUGCACAUACCACAAGCACUCGGAAAAACAGGACUUACCACCCAGACGCGUUAUCAUCUGCCGGGCCCAGUCACUGACGUAUUUUUCCUGCGCUAUGCACCGCUUGUUCAGCACAUUCAUUUGCCCCAUUAGCUCGGACCUAUGCGCCUUCAUUUUCUCCACUUCAGCAGUCAAUGCCUUGUUUGCUUCAAGGGCCUGCUCCAAGGACUUCUCUCGUUCCACCAGAACAUCCUUCACACCAGCCAUUGCAACCAGUGCUGCAUCCAGCUCACCGGCAAACUGAACCUUUUCAGCCCUAAGAGUCUCGUACGCCGUCCCCAUCUCGCAAGUUUUCUGCUAGACAGCGCCAGGAGACGAUCAGACAAAUCCAACAAUAAAAAGUCUAAGUUCUUCAGACCCCUGCCGACGCAAGCAGUCGACAGCGGUCUCGGGGACUACACCCAGUGGGUUCACUGAGAGUGACCCCACUGGCAUGAAACUCAAACAGGUCCGCCCUAUUGAGCUACAUGAUAACACCUAAGCCCAUGAGGCUACUACUACUCGACCUGAGUAAAAUUACUCUCGGGGACUCAUCCAGUAACUACACUCCGAGUGCCCCAACCGUUAGCAUUCGAACAGAUUAAUUUGUGAUCUGAUCAAGUCAAACACAAUGUGUAUAAAGACAACUGCCGGUGCAAGCACUCGACAGAAGUCUCGAGGACUACACCCACUGGGUUCACUAAGAGUGAACCCAUUGCAAAAAAAUUACGAUAUCCGAGCACACCCAGUGGGUUACAAGAGAAAAGUAAAUACUUACUAGCCCACUUACUCGGAUAUCGUCCGGCAGUUCCAAGCUUUGCUGGUACAGGGACGCGAUGGAGUCGUACGCCUUCUUGGCUUCUCCCGCCAUUAGCUCCGCCUGCACCAUGGCCCCCUUGUCCGCUCCCACCUGAUCUUCCGGAAGGCGCUGGACGUUGUACUCGACGUUCGACGGGCCUGGCAUCGUUGGAGGCUCCUUGGGCAUCCCAAGGCCCGCUCCAGUCGAUUCAGCAGCAGCCAGUGCCGUUUCAAUCGACGGCAUCGCCUCAGUCGGCAGCACGUCCGCGGCGAGGGCAGUAACUGGCGGAACAGCCUCGAGGACAGGCACCGCAGCUUGCUCAGACCUUCCCUGGUCACCCUCAUCCACAUAAAUCGCCCCUGAGAGAAACCCGACCGAACGGCAUGAGAUCACAGAAAGAAAAAGGGCAAGACCGAAGACAGAAUUCAUGAUGCAAUAAUGUAAACUCUCGGAAUCGCUACGACGCACCUGGCUGGGACGAGACGACAUUGUCCAUGUCCAUGGGAUCAUCCCCCUGGCGUGCUAGAGAGGUGGCAGAGGUGGCAACUCUGUCGAGUGAAAUCCAUUCGACCAAUAAACGGGAGUCCAAUCGAAUAUCAGAAGAAGUUAGAAGAACAAUGCACUUGCGUUGAGGUGACGGGAACGGCGACCCUGAUCUGCGGCAAAGCCUUCCGAGGUUUAGAUCCGCUCGGUUUGACCACCUUGGAAGGCUGACCCGCAGGCUCAGCAGCAGCGUCCCUGGUCCUCUUGGUGCUCCGAGCACUCAGAACCCCGGGAACAAUUGACGGGGCGCUCGGAACCGUAGGAGCCGUUGGCGGAGCACUCGAGGAUGCUGGAGGGGCCGAGGGAGCUGCAGGUUCAUGUCGGCGCUUGGUUCGGUGCUCUGGCGGUGGGGGUGGCGAGUCCUGCUCUUCGUCUUCCUCCUCUUCUUCACCAGACUCCUCCUCCGUCUCCCCACUGUCGGAGACGUACUCGACGCUCUCCACGCUGCCCUCCUGGCUGCCCUCUUCCUCCUCCUCGGCUAGGUUCCCGUUCGAGACAGGGGAGAACCAGUUGGUCCACUUCUGCAUAAAAUACAGUCGGCGACAUCAGACGCCAGACAGAGAUUCAAGAAAGCGAUAAAACUAAGACAGUUAUGUGCACUCGACAAGUUGUACUCACCUGGUUUGGAGGAGGAUUGUCCGCGCAAAAAGCCCUCACUCCCCGAGACCCUCUGGGGUUCUCACAGGCGCCUGUGAUCUGGAGCACCCACGACGCCACCAUCUCCCCGGUCACGCACACGACGUUGGUCCGAGUGGAGUCUUCGGGCCCCGUGUAGUGCCACAUGGCGUGGUGUCGGGCCUGCAGUGGUUGGAUGCGCCGACCGAGGAAAACCUCCAGCAAGUCUAUGCCGGUGACUCCCUUCCUGACGACAUCUACGAGUGCGUCGACCAGAGGCUGGAUUUCGAUCUUCUCCGCCUUCGUGAGCGCGAGCUGCUUAGGCGGAGCUAGUCGAUCUAAGCUAAAAGGAGGCAACCCUGUCGCGGCAUUCGGGCUAGCAACGUCCUGGCAGUAGAACCAUGUCGACUGCCAGUUCCUAACCGAUUCACUUAGCUGAAGAGCAGGAUAACUACUUUUGCUCUUCUUUUGGAAGCCUAAGCCUCCGCAGAAGGUGAGUCUUAUCAUCCGACUGAUUCAGUCGUUUGAUAGUUUGGGAUCUAGCAGAGAAGAUAUGUUUGAAAAGCCCCCAAUGGGGAGGACAGCCGAUGAAGCACUCGCACAAGACUACGAAAGCAGAGAGAUGGGCUAUGGCAUUCGGGGGAAAGUGGUGGAGCUGCGCCCCGAAGUGAUUCAUUAUGCCUUUGAAGAAAGGGUGUGGGGGCAGGGAGAAACCUCGAUGCACGUGGCUGAGCAGUAGGACGCGCUCCCCCUCCCGGGGCGCCGGCUCGGUCUCACCCUCCGCCGGCAGCCUCCACGACUUGUGCACGAUCAUCCCGUGCUCCACCAGCUCCAGCAGGUCCUCCUCCAUCACAGUGGAGGGGAGGAAGUCCCCCUGGAUCCACCCUGCCGGUAGCGUUCGCUGCUUCCGUGGAGGAGCCGCCGCCUUCCCCCUCUUCUUCCGCGCCUCUAGCUUGCUAGUCUGCCCCUUUGUCAUGGCGGAAGCUGCGGAUUCGCGAGGGAGAAGGAGAAGGAAGAAGCUUAGGAUGCGUAGAGGAUGGAGAAGGAAGCGGAGCAAAAGCAAGGUGUCCGGCGAGCGUAACGAAAAAACCCUCGCCGCUGGGAUUUAAGUAAGGUUCCGACUGGGUCACUGGCAAGUGGCUCCGAAAUCUUAUCCACCGACCGACCGCGGCGAUAUCAGUGGAGAAGAUGAAGGCACGGGAAUCAAGGCGUCAGGCGCUACUCGAGCGCGAUGUCGUCAUCCCCGCUGAGCGCGCGGUAACCGAAAUUUGAGGAUCUCGGAAAAUCCGCCGCUGUCAGUUGACUGGUCACGUCAGAAGAUGCCACGGAAGCCCUCGGUUUCCGACAGUUUGUUUCACAACUACUUCCACUUGGAUCGUUGGUCAGAAAAGAUAAAAUGGAUCGAGGCAAGCAACGCCAAAGUCACAUCCGUAUCAGUCGAAUCCAAACUUCAAGCAUCGCUUCGUCGUUCCAACCCCAAUCCAUUCGGGGACUAAUGAUGGGGUUAUAGUCCUAGGGUAGGGUCAUAGGCCUGCCCUGUGGGUCCUACCCAAGGACUACCCCUCAUAAGGGACAAGGCCCUUAGUCAGUUCCGACUGAACUAAGGAGUUCCCAUCAUCCGGUCGGUAACAGGUCCUCGACCAUCCAGUCGGAGACUAGCAUUCGGAGCGUAUCAAACUAACCGACUGGAUGCCACUCUGAGCAUCGUAACCCCCAUGGAGGGAAACGGUCAUACGUUUCUACGUGCCUUUAUUAGCAUUUAAGACAUACGUUACCUGUAACGUAAGCAUUUAUUCGCCACUACUCCACCCCUGUGCACCGAACCGUUGUGGAGGGCACCGCACUCUAUAUAAGCCACCCUCCCCCACUAGUGCAGUGGUUAGCAAUUCACUGUAUUCUAUAUUCCACUCGACAACAAGCUCCCAGAGCACUGAGACGUAGGGCUAUUACCUCCACCGCAGAGGGGCCUGAACUCAUACAAUCUCGCCGUAGCUAAGGCUCUGCCCAUCCUUUCGUACCCUACACAUCUACUGUCAGGCUUAUACCCACGACACUAACCCAAUAGAUACAUUUGGAGAUACCUGUAGAGCACCUUUAUAGUCACCCAGUUACGUUGCGACGUUUGAUACACACAAGGUAUUCCUCCGGUGUCCGGGAGUUGCAUGAUCUCAUGGUCAUAGGAAUAGAUACAUUGACAUGCAAAAAACAGUAGCAAUAAACUGACAUGAUCAUAAGCUGCGUCCAUAGUUUCGGUAUUGUCCAUCUCAUCAUUCUCGUAAUGAUGUGAUCCCAUUAUCAAGUGACCACACUUGUCUAUGGCCAGGAAACUUUGACCAUCUUUGAUCAACGAGCUAGUCAACUAGAGGCCCACUAGGGACAGUGUGUUGUCUAUGUAUCCACACAUGUAUUUGAGUUUCCAAUCAAUACAAUUCUAGCAUGGAUAAUAAAUGAUUAUCAUGAAGAAGGGAAUAUAAUAAUAACUAAUUUAUUAUUGCCUCUAGGGCAUAUUUCCAACAGUCUCCCACUUACAAUAGAGUCAAUAAUCUAGUUCACAUCACUAUGUGAAUGUAAUGAAUCUAACACCCAUACAGUUCUGGAGUUUGAUCAUGUCUUGCUUGUGAGAGAGGUUUUUAGUCAACGGGUCUGAACCUUUCAGAUCCGCGUGUUCUUUACAAAUAUCCAUGUCAUCCUGAAGAUGCUGCUACCACACGCCAUUUGGAACUAUUCCAAAUGACUGCUCCACUAUACGAAUCCGGUUUACUACUCACAGUCAUCCGGAUUAGUGUCAAAGCUUGUAUCGACGUAACCCUUUACGAAGAACUCUUUUAUUACCUCCAUAAUCGAUAAAAAUUCCUUAGUCCACUAGUUACUAAGGAUAACUUUUGACCGUUGUCUAGUAAUCCAUUCCUGGAUCACUUUCGCACCCCUUGAAAGAUUCAUGGCAAGGCACACAUCAGGUGCGGUACACAACAUAGCAUACUAUAGAGCCUACGGCUAAGGAAUAGGGGACGACCUUCGUCGACCUUUCUCUUUCUUCUGCCGUGGUCGGGCUUUGAGUCUUACUCAAUAUUCACACCUUACAACAUAGCCAAGAACUCCUUCUUUGACUGGUCUAUUUUGAACUCCUUCAAAAUCUUGUCAAGGUAUGUAUUCAUUUAAAAGUUCUAUUAAGCAUUUUGAUCUAUCUCUAUAGAUCUUGAUGCUCAAUGCUCAAGUAGCGCAAUCCAGGUAUUCCUUUGAAAAACACCUUUCAAACAACCAUGUAUGCUUUCCAGAAAUUCUAUAUUAUUUCCGAUCAACAAUAUGUCAACCACAUAUACUCAUCAGAAAUUCUGUAGUACUCUCACUCACUUGCUUGGAAAUACAAGUUUCUCAUAAACUUUGUAUAAACCCAAAAGCUUUGAUCAUCUCAUCAAAGCGUAUACUCCAACUCCGAGAUGCUUGCUCCAGUCCAUAGAAGGAUCGUUGGAGCUUACAUACUUGUUAGUGUCCUUUAGGAUCGAUAAAACCUUCUGGUUGUAUCACAUACAACCUUUCCUCAAGCAAACCGUCGAGGAAACAAUGUUUUGACAUCCUAUCUGCAAGAUUUCAUAAAUAAUGCAGCAACUGCUAACAUAAUUCCAAUAGACUUUUAGCAUCGCUAUGAGUGAGAAAGUCUCAUCGUAGUCAACUCCUUGAACUUGUCAGAAACAUCUUUGCGACAAGUCGAGCCUUUUUAAUGUUGACAUUUACCAUCAUCGUCUGUCGUCCUUUUUAAAAAUCCAUCUGUACCCAACAUCCUUACAACCAUCAAGUAGUUCCUCAAAGUCUAUACGUUGUUUUCAUACAUGGAUCCUACCUCGGAUUUCAUGGCGUCCAGCCAUUCGUCGGAAUCCAGGCCCACCAUCGCUUCUCCAUAGCUCGUAGGUUCAUUGUUGUCGAGCAACAUGACCUCCAAGAUAGGAUUACCGCACCACUCUGGAGCAGUACGUUUCCUUGUCGACCUACGAGGUUUGCAGUAACUUGAUCCGGAGCUUCAUGAUCACUAUCAUCAGCUUCCACUUUAAUUGGUGUAGGCGCCACAAGAACAACUUCCUGCGCCCUGCUACACACUGUUUGAAGUGAUGGUUCAAUAACCUCAUCAAGUUCCACCAUCCUCCCACUCAAUUCUUUUGAGAGAAACUUUUUCUCGAGAAAGGACCUGUUUCUAGAAACAAACAUUUUGCUUCCAGAUCUGAGAUAGGAGGUAUACCCAAUUGUUUUGGGUGUCCUAUGAAGAUGCAUUUAUCCGCUUUGGGUUCGAGCUUACCGGGCUGAAACUUUUCACAUAAGCAUCGUGCCCCAAACUUUUAAGAAAUGACAUCUUAGGUUUCUCUAAACCAUAGUUCAUAUGGUGUCAUCUUAAUGGAAUUACGUGGUGCCCUAUUUAAAGUGAAUGCGGUUGUAUCUAAUGCCUAACCCCAAAACGAUAGUGGUAAUUCGAUAAGAGACAUCAUAGUAAGCACCAUAUCCAAUAGGGCGCGACUAUGACGUUCGGACACACCAACACACUAUGGUGUUCUAGGUGGCAUGAGUUGUGAAACAAUUUUCACAUUGUCUUCAAUGUUUACCAAACUCGCAACUCAGAUAUAUUUACCUCCACGAUCACAUUGUAGACAUAUUACCCUCUUGUCACAACAAUCUUCAACUUCACUCUAAAAUAGCUUGAACUUUUCAAUAUUUCAGACUUGUGAUUCAUUAAGCAAAUACUUCGAUAUCUACUCAAAUCAUUAGUGAAGUAAGAACAUAGCGAUAUCCAUUGCGUGCCUCAGCACUUAUUGGACUGCAUACAUCAAAAUGUAUUAUUUCCAACAAGUGACUCGCUUGUUCCAUGUUACUGAAAACGAGGCCUCCAGUCAUCUUGCCCAUGUGGCAUGAUUUGCAUGUCUCAAGUGAUUCAAAAUAAAGUGAGUCUAAACAAUCCAUCUUCAUGGAGUUUCUUCAUGCAUCUACACCAAUAAGCAUGGUUCGUAUGUCUCAAACAAUUCAAAAACGAGUGAGUCAAAGAUCCAUCAACAUGGAGCUUCUUCAUGCGUUUUAUACCAAUAUGACUCAAGCGGCAGUGCCACAAGUAAGUGGUACUAUCAUUACUACUUUGUAUCUUUUGGCAUCAAUAUUAUGAACAUGUGUAUGACUACGAUCGGGAUUCAAUAAAGCAUGCAUAUUAGGUGCAUGACCAUUGAAGGUAUUAUUCAAGUAAACAGAGUAACAAUUAUUCUCUUUAAAUGAAUAAUCAUAUUGCAAUAAACAUGAUCCAAUCAUGUUCACGCUCAACGCAAACACCAAUCAAUAUUUAGGUUUAACAUUAACCCCGAAGGUAGAGGGAGCGUACGAUGUUGAUCACAUCAACCUUGGAAUUACUUCCAACACUCAUCGUCACCUCACCCCUGCUAGUAUCCAUUUAAUCCGUAGCUAUAAUUCUGAGUUACUAAAACUUAGCAACUGGAUCGGUAUCUAAUACCCCGGUGCUACUAGGAGUACUAGUAAGGUACACAUGUAUAUCCAAUAUACUUUUGUCGACUUUGCCAGCCUUCUCAUGUACCAAGUAUCUAGGGUAGUUCCACUUUAGUGACCGUUCCCCUCAUAACAGAAGCACUUAGUCUCGGGUUUUGGUUCAACCUUGGGUUUCUUCACUAGAGCAGCAACUGGUUUGCCGUUUCAUGAAGUAUCCCUUCUUGCCCUUGCCCUUAUUGAAACUAGUGGUUUUACUAACCAUCAACAAUUGAUGCUCCUACUUGAUUUCUACUUUCUUGGUGUCAAACAUCGCGAAUAGCUCAAGGAUCAUCAUAUCUAUCCCUGAUAUGUUAUAGUUCAUCACGGAGCUCUGUAGCUUGGUGGAAGUGACUUUGGAGAACCAUGUCAAUAACUAUCUUAUGUGCAAGAUCAACUCCCACUCGAUUCAAGCGAUUGUAGUACUCAGACAAUCUGAGCACAUGCUCAAUGAUUGAGCUUUUCUCCCUUACUUCCCAUGCCAAGAAUCUUGUCGGAGGUCUCAUACCUCUCAAUGCAGGAACGAGCCUGAAUUCCCAAUUUCAGCUCUUGGAACAUCUCAUAUGUUCCAUGACGUUCAAAACAUCUCCGGCACCUCAAUUUUAAGCCGUUAAGCAUUACACACUGAACUAUCACGCAGUCAUAAAAAAUGUGUAUGUCAGAUGUUUGCAACAUCCACAUAUGGCGCUCGGGGUUCAGCACACUGAGCGGUGUAUUAAGGACAUAAGCCUUAUGUGUAGCAAUGUGGACAAUCCUUGUUUUACGGACCCUGUCCGCAUAAUUGCUACUAUCAUCUUUCAAUUAAGUUUUCUCUAGGAACAUAUCAAAAUAACUAGAGCUACAGCGCAAGCUACAACAUAAUUUGCAAAACAUUUUGACUAUGUUCAUGAUAAUGAGUUCAAUUAAUCAUAUUACUUAAAAACUCCCACUCAAAUUGACAUCCCUCUAGUCAUUCGAGUGUCGCAUGAUCCAAAUUCACUAACUCCAGUCUGAUCACCACGUGAGUUGAGUUUACCUUCAUUGGUUAACAUCUCCAUGUUGAUCAUAUCCACUAUAUGAUUCAUGCUCGACCUUUCAGUCUCUUGUGUUCCGAGGCCAUGUAUCUACAUGCUAGGCUCGUCAAGUUUAACCCGAGUGUUCCGCGUGUGCAACUGUCUUGCACCCGUUGUAUGUGAACGUAGAGUCUAUCACACCCGAUCAUCACGUGGUGUCUCGAAACUACAAACUGUCGCAACGGUGCACAGUCGGUGAGAACACAAUUUAUCUUGAAAUUUUAGUGAGGGAUCACCUAAUAAUGCUACUGUCGUCCUAAGCAAAAUAAGGUGCAUAAAAGGAUUAACAUAACAUGCGAAUCAUAAGUGACAUGAUAUGGCCAUGAAAUUGUGCUUCUUGAUCUCCAUCACCAAAGCGCCGACAUGAUCUCCAUCGUCACCAACGCCACACCAUGAUCUCCAUCAUCGUGCUGCCAUCGAGGUUGUUGCGUUAACUAUGUUGUUACUACUAAAGCUACUACUAGCGAUAAAGCAAAGCAUCACCAAGCACAAAAUAAUUAAAUACAAUCAUAUGGCUCCUGCCGGUUGCCGUACCAUCGACGUGCAUGUCGAUAUUUAACUAUUACAACAUGAUCAUCUCAUACAUCCAAUAUAUCAUAUCAUGUCAUUCGCCAUAUCACAUCACAUGCAUACCCUACAAAAACAAGUUGGACGUCCUCUAGUUUUUUGUUGCAAAUUUUACGUGGCUGCUAUGGGUAUCUAGUAUGAUCGCAUCUUACUUACACAAAGCCACAACGAUGAUAUGAAAAUUGCUAUUUAACCUUCUCCAAGGACCGCCUUGGUCAGAUCCGAUUCAACUAAAGUUGAAGAAACAUACACUCGCCAAUCAUCUUUAUGCAACAAGUUGCAUGUUAGUCGAUGAAAUCGGUGUCUCGUAAGUGCACAGUAAUGUUGGUCCGUGCCGCUUCAAUCCAACAAUACCGUCGAAUCAAGAAAAGACUAAGUAGGGCAGCAAAUUGAACAUCAAUGCCCACAAACUCUUUUGUGUUCUACUUGAGAUAUCAUCUACGCAUGAACCUAGCUCCGAUACCACUGUUGCCGAACGUUGCAUGGGAAACAAAAAAUUUCCUACACACACGCAAUACCUAUCCACGUUGAUGAUCAUCUACGAGAGGGGAGAGGAAUCUACAUACCCUUGUAGAUCGCUAAGUGGAAGCAUAUGUAACGCGGUUGAUGUAGUCAAACAUCUUUGCGAUCCAAAUCGUAGUCUGUCCCGUGAUCUCAUCACGAACCGUCUCGCGAUCCCAUCCCGAUCUAGUGCCGAACGGAUGGCACCUCCGCGUUCAGCACACGUACAGCUCGAUGACGAUCACCGCCUUCUUGAUCCAACAAGAGGGACGGAGAAGUAGAUGAGUUCUCCAGCACGACGGCAUGGUGGUGGUGGUGGUGAACUAAUCCAGCAGGGCUUCGCCAAGCUCUGCGGAACUAAUUUAGAGAGAGAGGGCAACAUGUGGCUAAUUAGGGUUGGGGCUGCCCUCAAAAUCCUCUAGUAUAUAUAGGAGGGAGGGAGGGGAGGAGGCAGCCACAAAAAACCUGAAGGGUUCGGCCGAAGUGGAGAAGAGGUGGAGGAGUCCACCUCCAAUCCUACUCCUAGUAGGAUUCCAUCUUGUCUCCUCCUUCCCCUUUUCCUUUUUCCCUUCUUUUGCUCCUUGGCCGAAAUAGCCUUGUUGGGCUGGCAACACCAGCCCACUAAGGGUUGGUGCACCACCUUUAGGCCUAUUAGGUUCUCUCCCGGGUGGGUGGCCCCUCCCGUUAAAACCCUGGAACCCAUUCGUCACUCCCGGUACUUUACCGGUAAUGCCCGAAAACUGUUCGAAAGCCAAAUACAACUUUCCUAUAUAUCAAUCUUUACAUCUGGACCAUUCUAGAGCUCCUCGUAACAUCCGGGAUCUCAUCCGGGACUCUGAACAACUUUUGGUCACCAACAUACAUAACUCAAUAAUAUUGAAAUGUCACCGAACCUUAAGUGUGUAGACUGUGCGGGUUCGAGAACUAUGUAGACAUGACCUGAGACACUCUCCGACCAAUAACCAAUAGCGGGACCUGGAUGUCCAUAUUAGCUCCUACAUAUUAUAUGAAGAUCUUUAUCGGUUGAACCUUUAUGUCAAGGAUUCAAUUAAUCCCGUAUGUUGUUCCCUUUGUCCUUCGGUAUGUUACUUGCCUGAGAUUCGAUUGUCGUUCUCUAUACCUAGUUCAAUCUUGUUACCGGCAAGUCUCUUUACUCGUUGUGUAGUACAAGAUCCCAUGACUAACUCCUUAGUCACAUUGCUUGUAAGGCUUAUUGUAAUGUUUUAUUACCGAGUGGGUCCCGAGAUACCGUUCCGUCAUACGGAGUGACAAAUCCCAGUCUUGAUUCACGCCAACCCAACAGACAUCUUCGGAGAUACCUGUAGAGCAUAUUUAUAGUCACCCAGUUACAUUGCGAUGUUUGAUACACACAAGGUAUUCCUCCAGUGUCCGGGAGUUGCAUGAUCUCAUGGUCAUAGGAACAGAUACAUUGACAUGCAGAAAACAGGAGCAAUAAACUGACAUGAUAAUAUGCUACGUCCAUAGUUUGGGUCUUGUCCAUCACAUCAUUCUCCUAAUGAUGUGAUCCCGUUAUCAAGUGAUAACACUUUUCUAUGGCGAGGAAACUUUGACCAUAUUUGAUUAACGAGCUAGUCAACUAGAGGCUCACUAGGGACAGUGUGUUGUCUAUGUAUCCACACAUGUAUUUUAGGUUCAAUCAAUACAAUUCCAGCAUGGAUAAUAAACGAUUAUCAUGAACAAGGAAAUAUAAUAAUAACUAAUUUAUUAUUGCCUCUAGGGCAUAUUUCCAACAGCCUCCAUGGCUGCUUUGCAAGCUUGGCCAGGUUGAAGCCAUACAAAUCCGUGAAACCCAACCCUCCAUCCCUCUUCGCUUUUGUCAUGAGUUCCCAGGUUAACCAGUACAUAGUGUUGGUUUUCUGUUGCUUUGCCCAAUAGAACUGACAUAUCAUCGCCCUCAUCUGCUGACACAAAGUUUUGGUAAGAUCAAAGCAUGACAUCGCAAAAGUGGGUAUCGCUUGGCCACAAGCUUUAAUAAGCACAUCUUUUGCUUCCUUUGACAUAAGCCUCUCCAAACAGCCUUGAAUUCGUUGCCACAUACGAUCCUUCAAAUAAUUGAAGAUUUUGGUCCUGUUGGACCCCACGUACACGGGUAGUUCUAAGUACCUUUCUGAUCUGGUCACAUUCCCAAUGUGCAGCUCUGUUAGCACUUGUUGCUUCUGUACUUCCCGUGUGUUCUUGUUGAACAUGAUUGAUGACUUGUCAUAGUUCACAAUUUGCCUCGAGCAGGCCUGAUAAAGCUGUUGCACAUUCUGCAGAUGUAUGGCACUUUCGUGUGAAGCUUUCAUAAGUACCAAGAUGUCAGCCACAAACAGUAAGUGGUUUAAACUCAGCACACCAUUGCAAAUACGGAUCCCACUCAGAGUCCCCUUCGCAUACGCCUUAUGGAGCAGAGAGGAGAAGCCUUCGGCGACAAUCAAAAAGAGGUACGGCGAUAGAGGAUCACCCUGCCGAAGGCCUGCUGGGGCAUCACCACAUCCGUGCAUUCACCAUUCACCUUAAAUCUAUAUUACAUUGUGGAGAUACAUAACAUGAUCAACUUGAUCCACUUCUCUUCAAAGCCAAGUUUUGUGCAUCAUCUUCUCCAAGAAGCCCCACUCCACCGUAUCAUACACAAUGCUCAUGUCCAGUUUAACAGUUGCAUAGCCCUCAUUUCCAUUUCUCUUAUUAUGCAUGUAGUGGGUGCAUUCAUAAGCAAGCAGAAUAUUAUCCGUAAUCAACCGCCCCGUACAAAAGCACUCUCGUUGGGUGAAAUGAUGUCAGGAAGUAUUUGCUUAAGUCAGUUGGAGUGUACCUUGGAGAUGAGCUUGUAAACGGCAUUACACAGGCUGAUUGGCCUCAGAUCCUUCAUACUCUCCGGGUUUUUCAGCUUUAUAUGAGAACCACGCAUGUGUCAUUCCAACCUUCAGGCAUAGGACCCCCAUUUAGGACAUUCAAAACUUCUGAAAUCACUUUUCCCCCACAAUGUCCCAGCAUUUUUUAUAAAAGAUGGAUGGCAUACCAUCCAACCCGAGAGCUUUAAGGUCUCCAAUACUCUGCAAGGCCUCACAGACCUCUGUCUGUGUGAACUCAUAAGUGAGGAAGACAUUCAUUUGUGGAGUAACUCGAGGGUCAAUGUAACCCAAGAGCUCCUCCAUCCUCGUGCCUGCAUGGGAAGUGAACAAAUUUAAAAAGUAGUUAGUUACCACUUCUUUCAUGGCCCCCUCUUGUUCCACCACCCUAUCAUCCUCCCUCCUCAAUCUCUUAAUUAUGUUUCAUCUCUUCCUCUAUGAAGCCGCUGCAUGGAAGAAUUUGGUGUUCCUAUCUCCACAUUUCAGCCAAUGUAUAUGAGCCCUGUGCCGCCAAUAUGUUUCUCUUUGUUCCUCUAGUCAACCAAGUUUGAACCUCAACACUUCCUCCCUCCUAACUUGGUCCUGCCCAAUGUUACAUCGCCUACACUUCUCCAGCUCCUUCUUCAUUCAACAAAUUCUCCUCUCCAAACCACCCAGGACAUUUCUACUCCAAUACAUCAGCUCUCUCAUGAGACUUUUAGUUGCAUCUGCUACCUUCCUACCAUCGCACGUCAUUUCCCUCUCCCAAUUAUUUCUAACUAACUCUCUGCAAUCCUCCUCUUUGAGCCAUCUUGCCUCAAAAUGAGGCUCCAAGUUUCGGGCCAACCCCCGCUUCAGCCGAGAAGCCCCCUGAAGCUCAAUGAUGACCAUGCGAUGGUCUGAGUGGUGGGGGUCUCCGUUAAUCACCGGGAAUGCUGGAAAUCUGUUACACCAGGACUGCGUAGCAAUUUCUCUAUCCAGCCUCUCCCUUAUAUAUCGGGUCGCAUCAUGGUUGUGAUUUCGCCAAGUGAAAGCGCCACCCACAAAGCCCAAAUCUCACAGUUCACACUCCUCCAGAGCAGCCUUAAAACAGCCAAUGUGUUAGGGAACGUCGCAUGGGAAACAAAAAUUUUCCUACGCGCACGAAGACCUAUCAUGGUGAUGUCCAUCUACGAGAGGGGAUUUCCGAUCUACGUACCCUUGUAGAUCGCACACCGGAAGCGUUAGUGAACAGGGUUGAUGUAGUGGAACGUCCUCACGUCCCUCGAUCGGCCCCGCGAACCGUCCCGCGAUCCGUCCCACGAUCCGAUCCGAUCUAGUGCCGAACGGACGACACCUCCGCGUUCAACACACGUACAGCUCGAAGAUGAUCUCGGCCUUCUUGAUCCAGCAAGAGAGACGGAGAGGUAGAUGAGUUCUCCGGCAGCGUGACGGCGCUCCGGAGGUUGGUGGUGAUCUAAUCUCAGCAGGGCUCCGCCCGAGCUCCGCAGAAACGCGAUCUAGAGGUAAAAUCGUGGAGGUAUGUGGUCGGGCUGCCGUGGCAAAAGUUGUCUCAAAUCAGCCCUAAUACCUCUGUAUAUAUAGGUGGGAGGGGAGGGGCCUUGCCUUGAGUCUCAAGGAGCCCCAAGGGGUUCGACCGAGCCAAGGGGGGAAGUCCUCCCCUUCCAAACCGAAUCCAACUUGGAUUGGAAGGUGGAGUCCUUCUCUCCUUUUCCACCUCCCCUUCUUGUCUUUCUCUUUGAUUUCUUAUCCUUUGGCGCAUAGGGCCUUCUUGGGCUGUCCCACCAGCCCACCAAGGGCUGGUGCGCCACCCCCAAGGCCCAUGGGCUUCCCCGGGGUGGGUUGCCCCCCCGGUGAACACCCGGAACCCAUUCGUCAUUCCCGGCACAUUCCCGGUAACUCCGAAAACCUUCCGACAAUCAAAUGGGGUCAUCCUAUAUAUCAAUCUUCGUUUCCGGAGCAUUCCGGAAACCCUCGUGACAUCCAUGAUCUCAUCUGGGACUCCGAACAACAUUCGGUAACCAACCAUAUAACUCAAAUACGCAUAAAACAACGUCGAACCUUAAGUGUGCAGACCCUGCGGGUUCGAGAACUAUGCAGACAUGACCCGGGUGACUCCUCGGUCAAUAUCCAAUAGCGGGACCUGGAUGCCCAUAUUGGAUCCCACAUAUUCUACGAAGAUCUUAUCGUUUGAACCUCAGUGCCAAGGAUUCAUAUAAUCCCGUAUGUCAUUCCCUUUGUCCUUCGGUAUGUUACUUGCCCGAGAUUCGAUCGUCAGUAUCCGCAUACCUAUUUCAAUCUCGUUUACCGGCAAGUGUCUUUACUCGUUCCGUAAUACAAGAUCCCGCAACUUACACUAAGUCACAUUGCUUGCAAGGCUUGUGUGUGAUGUUGUAUUACCGAGUGGGCCCCGAGAUACCUCUCCGUCACACGGAGUGACAAAUCCCAGUCUCGAUCCAUACUAACUCAACGAACACCUUCGGAGAUACCUGUAGAGCAUCUUUAUAGUCACCCAGUUACGUUGCGACGUUUGAUACACACAAAGUAUUCCUCCGGUGUCAGUGAGUUAUAUGAUCUCAUGGUCAUAGGAACAAAUACUUGACACGCAGAAAACAGUAGCAACAAAAUGACACGAUCAACAUGCUACGUCUAUUAGUUUGGGUCUUGAUGGGGUCAUAGUCCUAGGGUAGGGUCAUAGGCCUGCCGUACAUGUCCUACCCAAGGACUACCCCACACAAAGGACAGGACCUUAAGUCUGCCCCGACUGAAUUAAGGUGCUCCCAUCAUCCAGUCGGUAACAGGCCCAGAAUCGUCCAGUCGGAGACUAGCAUUCGGAGGGCACCAGGCCAACCGACUGGAUACACUCGGUACGUCGUAACCUCUCUGGAGGGAAACUGCCGUACGUUUCCGGGUGCAUUUAUUAGCAUUUAGAGCAUACGUUACCUGUAACGUACGCAUUCAAUCGCCACUACUCCACCCCUGGAUCAGAACCGUUGUGGAGGGCAGCACACUCUAUAUAAGCCGCCCUCCCCCACUGGUAAAAGGGUUAGCAAAACAUUGUACUCCAUAUUACACUCGGUAAAAAGCUCCGAGAGCACUAAGACGUAGGGCUGUUACCUCCACCGCAGAGGGGCCUGAACUCAUACAACCUCGUCGUAGCUAGGACUCUGCCCAUCUCAUUCGUACCCUACACAUCUACUGUCACGCUUAUACCCACGACAGUUGGCACCCACCGUGGGGCAGGCGUCUAAGCGACUUCCGGCGAGUUUGCGACUACUUCCUUUCGUCAUGUCGUCUGGUGGAGAUUCGAGCAUGGGUCACCAGAUCUUCUUCGACACUCUCUCCUUCACCGUCGAUGAUUCGGCGUGGCUUCGGGAGGCGCCUCUCGACGUCGAGGCGCUUCCCCGUCGCGGGGCCACACACUUCCGUGCCGGCGCUCGCGGCGUUCUUCACCAACAAUCGACUCCAUUGUCAACUUGCACCUCCGCCAUGCGUCACAACAAGCGAUCCCGCAGUCCGCGUCUCCAACGUUGGGUGCAGCAUGCUCGAGCGCGUCAGUUCGGGUCCUCUCAGGUGGCAGUUCCGGAGUCUGUUGUGGUUGCCCCGCAUUCCCAGUGCUCGGGCUCGGUUCCGACUGAGCCUCCUUCCGAGUACACGGGUCGCGGGCCUGCAACAGAAGUACACAUGGCCAACACCCAUGAAGAUCCCCGUCAAGCCGGCCGGAGCGAGCGCAAAAUCGGUGAAGCAUCCGGUGCACGCCGUCCGCCUCGUCGUUCUGCCAGUCGGCGCACCCGGCAGAGCAACGUGGAGUUGUUCGGCACACCUCUCCUCAACUUGGCUGCAGCUGCCAAGAUUGCCGAUUCCCUCCAGUCGACUGAUUCAGAGGCGGGAAGGGGAAUCGAGCAGAUCCGUGCUCUGUUGCACACGGCGCAGCAGCAGAAUUCGGCAGUCUCCCAGUCACACAAUCGGAUCUACAAUAGUUCCGUCCAUGCAAACACGCAUCGGUCGGUUCACAGCCCUGGUUCUCAUCAGCGACACAGGGGAGGCAGCCGUUCCAUGAUUCGUGAAGAUCGCCACCGCUCGCGCACCCCUCCGCGGGGUGGGCCCUAUGGGUCCCGACAUCAUGAUGAUCGGCGUUCAGUCGGCGACACUUACGACCCAAGACCCGACGCAAGAGGGCGAAUCGCCCAGCAAAGAGUUGACAGGGGUCAAGCCCACCGCGAUGGUCACGAUCUCGAUCGUCCAAUUGGCAGCAGGACCAUCGUGUCCGACCCCGAGUGUUUUAGUCGAGCCAUCCGCUCGGCUGACAUCCCGCCCAACUUCUGAUUGGCAGCGAGAAUCGGUAAAUUUACGGGAGAAUCCAAGCCUGAAACAUGGUUAGACGACUACCGAGUGGCAGUCCAGAUCGGAGGAGGGGAUGACCAUGUCGCUAUGAAGCACCUCCCUCUGAUGCUCGACGGCUCGGCGCGAGCCUGGUUGAACCAGUUGGCUCCCUCCAGCAUUUACAGUUGGGCAGAUCUGGCCCGAGUGUUCAUUAGGACCUUCGAAGGGACGUGCAAACGCCCUGCAGGCCUUGUGGAGCUUCAGCACUGCGUCCAGAAGCCGAACGAGCCCUUGCGCGACUUCAUCCAGCGAUGGACAACUCUUUACCACACGGUAGAGAACGUCACCGAGCAUCAAGCGGUCUGCGCAUUCAAGGUAGGCGUACGGUACAGGGAGCUGUACCUAAAGUUUGGACGGACAGGCGACAUCUCCAUGAGCAAGAUGAUGGAGAUAGCGGCUCGCUAUGCAAAUGGCGAGGAAGAAGACCGCAUCCGGAGUGGCAAACACAAGACAGUCGGCGAUGCCGACGGAGGUAACACUCGGAAGCAAAAACAGAAAGUUCCGCCCACACCCCAGGCAGAAGCUGCAGCUGUGACCAGCGCCAAGUUCAAGGGCAAAGGGAAAGCGCAGCCGGCCCCCAAGAAGAAGUCGUUCAACAAUCCCAUCUUGGACCAGCCUUGUCCGGUUCACACGAAGAUGGACGAAGAAGGCAACCCCAUAUACGCAAAGCACACCACUCGGCAGUGUCGUCUCCUGAUCCAGGGAUUCAGCAAAGGGCAACCGAGUGAGAAGAAUCCCGAACAGGAUGAAGAGGACAAGGAGGAUCCGUUCCCCCAAGUCCAUGCAACCCUCAUGAUUUUUGCUGACGUCGAAAGCAAGAGUCGACUGAAGUUCGUAAACAGAGAGGUCAACAUGGCCAUUCCGACUGCUCCCAAGUUCCUUAAAUGGUCUCAGACUGCGAUCACCUUUGAUCGGCCAGAUCAUCCAACGCAUGUCGCCACCCCAGGAAGACAGGCUGUGGUCGUCGACCCGGUGGUGGAAGGACUCCGACUGCGCAAAGUCCUCAUGGACGGCGGUAGCGGACUGAACAUCAUGUACGCUGACACUCUCAAGGGAAUGGGCAUUCCGAUGUCCAGAGUCAGCGAGAGCAGUAUGCAGUUCCACGGAGUCGUCCCUGGACGAAAGGCAAAGUCACUCGGCCAGAUCGCGUUGGACGUCAUCUUCGGCUCCGAUAAGAAAUUUCGCAAGGAGAAUCUCACAUUUGAGGUGGUAGAUUUCCAGAGCGCUUACCACGCAAUUUUGGGCCGCCCGGCGUACGUGAGUUUCAUGGCACAUCCAUGCUAUGUGUACUUGAAGCUGAAGAUGCCCGGCCCAAAAGGCGUUAUCACCAUCACAGGCAACCACCAGAGAGCCGAGGAGUGUCUGCAGGAGGGAUCAAGAAUCGCUGACCAGCAGAUGGCGGUACUCGAGCUCGACGAGUACAAGAAGACAGUCGACCCUGCCAACCUGAUGCGCUCAAAGAAACCAGCUUCUGAGUCCGCGUUCCAGUCGGCGGGAGAGACGAAGAAGGUCAGCAUCCACUCGACGGACGACUCAGCCGCCCCGACGAACAUCUCCACCACCCUCUAUCCUAAAUAGGAGGCCGAGCUCGCCCAAUUCCUCCGUGAGAACUGGGACAUCUUCGCAUGGAAACCAUCUGACAUGUCGGGUGUACCCAGGGAAUUGGGUGAGCACCGACUGCAUGUGGAUCCCGCCGCUCGGCCUGUCCAAGAGCGUCUGUGCCGGUCCGCCGCGCACAAGAGGAAGGCAAUCGGAGAAGAGGUGGCCAAGCUACUGGCUGCCAACUUCAUUCGCGAGGUUCACCGCUCCGAGUGGCUCGCAAAUGUCGUCAUGGUGCCUAAGAAGGACAAGUCACUCCGAAUGUGCAUUGACUUCAAGCACCUCAAUAAGGUCUUCCCGAAAGACCAUUUUCCGCUCCCCCGCAUAGAUCAAAUUGUCGAUUCGACUACGGGAUGCGAGCGUUUGUGAUUCCUUGAUGCCUAUUCGGGCUAUCAUCAGAUCCGUCUGUAUGGUCCCGAUGAGUUGAAAACAGCCUUCAUCACCCCGUUUGGGUGCUUCUGCUACAUCACUAUGCCUUUCGGCCUGAAGAAUGGAGGAGCUACCUUUAUGCGCAUGAUCCAAAAAUGUCUCCUCGACCAGAUCGGUCACAAUGUGGAGGCAUACAUGGAUGAUAUCGUAGUCAAGUCACGCAAAGGUUCCGACCUGCUGACUGACUUGGCAGAAACAUUCGCCAACCUUCGUAGGUACGAUAUCAAGCUCAACCCAGCCAAAUGUUCAUUCGGUGUUCCCAGCGGAAAGUUACUCGGUUUCUUCGUUUCCGAACGAGGGAUCGACGUUAACCCCGAAAAGAUCGGGACCAUCGUCCGAAUGGAGAGGCCGGUCAGAAUACACGAUGUUCAACGUCUCACAGGUUGCCUAGCGGCUUUGAGCAGGUUCAUCAGUCGACUUGGCGAAAAAGCACUUCCUCUGUACCGACUCAUGAAAAAGUCAGAUACCUUCGAGUGGACAGACGAAGCCCAAGUCGCAUUCGACGACCUCAAAGUCCUACUUUCCACCCAGCCGGUUCUUACUGCUCCGCUCAGUAAAGAGCCCCUUCUUCUAUAUAUCGCGGCUACAAAUCAAGUCGUCAGUACUGUUCUUAUAGUCGAGCGAGAAGAAGAAGGCAAAGCAUACAAAGUUCAGCGGCCAGUGUAUUACGUCUCUGAAGUCCCGACCCCUUCCAAGCAGAGGUAUCCCCAUUAUCAGAAACUUAUUUAUGGGAUUUAUAUGACUGCGAAGAAGGUGGCCCAUUAUUUCCAAGACCACUCGGUAUCUGUCGUUUCUGAUGCUCCGUUGUCGGAAAUUCUCCACAAUCGUGACACAUCAGGCCGAGUGGCGAAGUGGGCAAUGGAGAUGCUGUACUGUGACAUCAAGUUCGAGGCCAAGAAAGCUAUUAAAUCUCAAGCCCUGGCUGACUUUAUAGCAGAAUGGGUAGAACAACAGCAACCAACCCACAUCUACUCGGCUCAUUGGACAAUGUUCUUCGAUGGGUCUAAGAUGUUGAAUGGCUCAGGCGCUGGCAUUGUGAUCAUAUCACCCAAAGGAGACAAGCUCAAGUACAUGCUUCAGAUACAUUUUGAUUCCUCCAACAACGAGGCGGAGUAUGAAGCUCUCCUCUACGGAUUGCGCAUGGCCAUCUCACUCGGCGUCCGUCGCCUGAUGGUUUACGGCGAUUCGGAUUUGGUGGUCAACCAAGUGAUGAAAGAGUGAGACGUAAGGAACCCCACCAUGACAGCGUACUGCAAUGCAGUGAGGAAGCUGGAGAAGAAGUUUGAAGGUCUAGAGCUUCAUCAUGUUCCGAGACUGAAGAACCAAGCGGCUGAUGAGCUGGCGAAACUCGGAUCCACUCGGAGACCAGUCCCGAGUGAUGUCUGCCUCGAGCACCUCCAUCUUCCCUCAGUCAAAGAAGAUCCCUUCACAGAAGAACCGGUACAACCCAAGAGCGCAACAGAUCCGACUGAAGUCGAUGUACCUGCUGUGGUUGAUAUGGUCAUGGAGAUUCUGGUUGUCACUCCCGAUUGGACUGUGCCGAUCAUCGCAUAUAUCCUAAGGCAAGAACUUCCAGAAGAUGAAGUCCAAGCCAGGCAAAUAGUUCGCAGGUUGAAGGCAUUCACUGUCAUUGACGAUCAAUUGUACAAGGAGAGUGUUUCGGGCGUUCUUCAACGCUGCAUUUCCCCUGAGGAAGGGCAGUUGAUCUUAGAAGAUAUUCACUCGGGAACCUGCGGUCAUCACGGUUCUUCAAGAGCAAUUGUCGCCAAGGCAUUCAGAGCCGGUUUCUUUUGGCUGCAGGCCAACGAGAUGGCUAAAGAUAUGGUCGACCGAUGUGAAGGCUGUCAGUUCUACUCCAACAAGUCCCACAAGCCAACAUCUGCUUUAAAGACGAUCCCACUUGUGUGGCCAUUUGCAGUUUGGGGUUUAGACACAGUCGGACCAUUCAAGACAGGCCAAGGAGGCUACACACAUUUGUUGGUGGCAGUCGACAAGUUUACAAAAUGGAUAGAAGCCAAGCCCAUCAAGAAACUCGAUGCCUCAACAGCUGUCAAGUUUGUCAGGGACAUCAUUUCCAGAUUCGGGGUACCUCACAGCAUAAUCACACACAAUGGGACAAACUUCGACUCGGACAGAUUCAAAGGCUUCUGUGCGAGUCAGAGUAUCCAAGUGGAUUUUGCUUCCGUAGCACAUCCGCAAUCCAACAGACAAGCUGAGCGUGCGGACGGACUUAUCCUUCAAGGUUUGAAGCCCCGACUCUUGCGAGAGGUAGGACAUGCUGCUGGUGCAUGGGUCACCGAGUUACCUUCAGUGCUUUGGGGCCUCCGCACCACUCCGAACAGAUCAACGGGGUGAUCACCGUUCUUCCUCGUUUAUGGAGCAGAAGCGGUCCUUCCGAGUGACCUGCUUCACAAUGCCCCGCGAGUCGAACUCUUCUCCGAAGCCGAAGCAGAACAAGCAAGACAAGAUGGAGUCGAUCUUCUAGAGGAGGAGCGCGAGAUGGCACUUACUCGCUCAACAAUUUACCAGCAAGAUCUGCGGCGCUUUCACGCGCGUCACGUCAGGAGUCGCACAUUCCAAGCUGGCGAUUUGGUGCUCCGAGUGGAUCAGCAAAGACCACACAAGUUGGCUCCGGCCUGGGAAGGGCCUUUCAUCAUUUCCAAGGUGCUGAACAACGGAGCAUACGGACUCUACAACAUUCAGAGGGAGACAGACGAGCCGCGCGCAUGGAAUGGGGAUCUCCUCAAGCGUUUUUAUACGUGAUCGUCGACUGAAGCAGUGUAACGAACAAGUUUUGAAGAAAUAAUAUAUACAGCAGAUUCGGUUUUGUGCAGAUUCAGAGUUCUCCCACGGUCGCAGACUCCGGUCACUAAAAAAAAACUUAGCUGCGGUCCUGAAUCGCCUAAGUACUCACUUCCUCCGAGUGUGCACUAUACGUCACACUCGGGGACUUAGCUGUGAUCAAGAAUCACCUAAGUACUAACCUCUUCCGAGUGUGCACUAUACGUCGCACUCGGGGACUUAGCUGCGAUCCUGAAUCGCCUAAGUACUAACCCCCUCCGAGCGCGCACUAUACGUCGCACUCGGGGACUUAGCUGUGAUCAAGAAUCACCUAAGUACUAACCUCCUCCGAGUGUGCACUACACGUCACACUCGGGGACUUAGACGUGAUCAAGAUUCACCUAAGUAGUAACUUCCUCCGAGUGUGCACUACACGUCGCACUCAGAGACUUAGCUGUGAUCAAGAAUCACCUAAGUAAUAACUUCCUCCGAGUGUGCACUACACGCCACACUCAGGGACUUAGAUGUGAUCAAGAAUCACCUAAGUAAUAACUUCCUCCGAGUGUGCACUACACGUCGCACUCGGGGACUUAGAUGUGAUCAAGAAUCACCUAAGUAAUAACUUCCUCCGAGUGUGCACUACACGUCGCACUCGGGAACUUAGAUGUGAUCAAGAAUCACCUAAGUAAUUCCUUCCUCCGAGUGUGCACUACAUGUCGCACUCGGAGACUUAGCUGCGAUCCUGAAUCGCCUAAGUACUAAAUUACUCCGAGUGUGCACUACACGUCACACUCGGAGACUUAGAUGUGCUCAAGAAUCACCUAAGUAUUAACAUCUUCCGAGUGUGCACUACGCGUCACACUCGGGGACUUAGCUGUGAUCAAGAAUCACCUAAGUAUUAAUCUUCUCCGAGUACGCACUAAGUGCUGCACUCGAAACAACAUUCAAACAAAAGACUAAAUGUUUUUCAUUCCGACUCCGAAAGUUCAAAAACGAUAGCUGACUCGGUGCGGAUCAAGCUUACCCGCACCGAUUAAAAAGUAUGACAGCCAACAGAAGUGGCCAGAGUAUAUUACAGGUAAACACUCGGCAUACCGAGGAUAAAGUUUGAUUACGCGUCAGCUGGGCCGGCGCCAGGACUGGAGGUCUCCACAAAAGUGUCCAAGUCAAUUCCAUCAGCGAUGCGGGUAGCAGUCUCCAGGAACGUCUUCAUGAAGUCUUCGAAUCGAAGCUUCUUCGUGUUGGCGACCUUCAAUGCUUUCAGCUUAUCUUCCCGCACCUCCUUACAAUGGACUCGGACCAAGGACAACGCAACAUCAGCACCGCAACGCGCUGCCGAUUUCUUCCACGAUUGCACUCGGCUCGGAAUCUCCUCCAGUCGCGCCAUCAGGGUCUCCAUCUCCUUCCGCGACUCGUCUUCUGGCCAAAGUUCCUUGUCAAUUUGGCCGACGACUUCUCUCAGUCGGCCGAUGAAAGGACCUACUUUGCCUAUGCGGAUAUGCGCCCGGAGCAGAUCCCGGUUGGCGUCCUCGCCGAGUGGCACAUUGUCCUUAAUGGACCGCUCCACAGCCGCCGCUUCAGCUUCAGCGUCACCGCAAAAGUAUGCAAUAAACGAGCAGGCAGACAAUAAAAACCGAGUGUACGACACACGGUACAAGCACUCGGCAGAACAUAAGGCUUACCAGCCAGACGAGUCAUCAUCUGCACAGCCCAGUCGUUGACAUACUUCUCCUGAGCUAUGUAUCGUCUGUUCCGAACGGCCAUCUGGUUGUGCAGCUCAGUCCUCUGUUUCUUCAGUCUCUCCACUUCCUCUAUCAACACUUUGUUUGACUCCCGAGCCUCCUCUAGGGACUUCUCACGUCCCUCCAGAGCUUCCUUCAUGCCGGCCAUGGCAAGCAUAGCAGCAUCAAGUUCACCAGCGAACUGGUUCCUCUCAUCCCUCAGGGCCUCAUAGGCCGUUCCCAUUUCACAAGUUUUCUGCACCAAGAAACAAAGGGUAAUCAGCAAGUUUAUCAGUUCACAGUAUAAGUUCUUCAGACCCCUGCCGACGCAAGCAGUGGACAGCGGUCUCGGGGACUACACCCAGUGGGUUCACUAAGAGUGACCCCACUGGCAUGCACCUCAAGCAGGCCCGCCCUAUUGAGAUGCAUGUUUUCACCUACGCCUCCGAGGCCAAUACUACUCGACCUGCGUGCAACUUACUCUCGGAGACUCUUACCGCAAGAGCGCUCCGACUGCAAUAAGUACUCGCACUCGGAAAUCCUGCCUACAGACAUAACCAAACUAAAGGCAAAAUGUAUAAAGACAACUGUCGGUGCAAGCACUCGACAGAAGUCUCGGGGACUACACCCACUGGGUUCACUGGGAGUGAACCCAUUGCAAAAAAACAAUACCACCCAGUGGGUUACAGGAGAAAAGUAAAUACUUACUAGACUACUUACUCGGAUAUCAUCGCGCAGCUCCAAGCUCCGCUGGUACAAGGCUGCAACGGAGUCAUAAGCCCUCUUGGCUUCUCCAGCCAUGAGCUCCGCCUGCACCAUGGCCCCCUUGGCCGCUCCCACCUGCUCCUCUGGAAGACGCCGGAUGCUGAAUUCAGCAUUCGACGAACCGGGAAUCGUGGGAGGUUCCUGGGGCGGCCCAAGGUCCAUCCCAGUCGGUUCCUCCCCCACCGGCACCGGUUCAAUCGGUGGAGGCGCUUCGGUCGGUGGAGCGUCGGCGACAAGGGUGGCAGCAGGAGGAGCGGCCUCAGGGACAGGCUCCAGGACAGGCUCCACGGCAGGGUCGGCUCUCCCCUGGUCGUCCUCGUCGAGGCAAAUCGCCCCAGAUAAGCCGAAUGACACGACGUCUCAGAAAAAGAAAGAAUGGCACAGUCUGCAGGAAUAAAACACCCGAUUCUCCUACAACACACCUGGCUAGGACGAAACGACGUUGUCCGUGUCCAUGGGGUCGUCUCCUUGGCGGGCCGGAGAGGUUGCAGAAGUGGCGACUCUGUCGAGUGAAGUCCAUUCGACUUAUAAAGCAGGAGUUCACUCGGACAACAGAAAGAACCGAAAGUUAGAUUCACUUACGUGGAGGUGACGGGGAUGGCAACCCUCAUUCGCGGCAGAGCCUUCCGAGGUUUGGGCCCACUCGGCUUGGGCGCCCUAGAAGAUUGGCCUGCGGGCUCAGCGGCUGCGUCCCUGGCCCUUUUGGUGCCUCAAACACUCGGGACCACCGGGGCAGCAGGCGGAGCACUCGACGACGCAGGAGGAGCUGAAGGGACGGCGGGCUCGUGCCGGCGCUUGCUCCGAUGCUCUGGCCGCGGAGGUGGCGAGUCUUUCUCUUCAUCCUCUUCCUCUUCCUCGCUGUCCUCCUCCUCCGACUCCCCGCUGUCAGAGACGUAUUCGGCGCUCUCCACGCUCCCCUCCUGGCUGCCUUCCUCCUCUUCCUCCUCGGGAUUCCCAUUCGAGACGGGGGAGAACCAGUUGGUCCACGCCUGCAUGAAGUUUAGUCGGAAACAUUAGACAUCACACGGAGAUAUAAGUAAGCGACUGGAAUUAAGACAGUUCAAUACACUCGGCUCAUGUCACUCACCUGAUUCGGUGGAGGGUGGUUCACGCUGUAAGGCUUCACUCGGCGUGCUCCUUUGGGGUUCUCACAAGGGCCCGUGAUUUGGAGCACCCAUGAGGUCACUCUCUCCUCGGGUAUGCCCACCACGUUGGUCCGAGUGGAAUCCUCGGGCCCUGUGUAGUGCCACAUAGCGUGGUCGCGAGCCUGCAGCGGCUGGAUCCGCCGACCAAGGAAGACUUCCAGCAGGUCUAUGCCGGUGACCCCACUCCUGACAACAUCCACGAGUGCCUCGACCAAAGGCUGGAUGUCGUUCUUCUCGGCCUUCGAGAGCGCGAGCUGCUUAGGUGGAGCGGGCCGGUCUAGACUAAACGGAGGCAGCCCAGUCGAUGCAUUCGGACAGGCUAUGUCCUGGCAGUAGAACCACGUCGACUGCCAGUUCCUAACCGACUCGCUCAACUGGAGGGCAGGAUAGCUGCUCCGACUCUUCUUCUGGAACCUUAAACCCCCGCAGAGCUGGAGGAGGUGCGUCUUAUCGUCCGACUGACUAAGAUGUUUGAUGGUUUGAGAGCGGGCGGAGAAGAUGUGUUUGAACAAACCCCAAUGGGGGGGCAACCGAUAAAGCACUCGCACAAAACGAUAAAGGCAGAAAGAUGGGCGAUGGCAUUCAGAGGAAAGUGAUGGAGUUGAGCACCGAAGUGAUUCAUGAUGCCUUUGAAGAAGGGAUGCGGGGGCAAAGAAAAACCUCUAUGAACAUGGCUGAGGAGCAAGAUGCGCUCCCCCUCCCGUGGCGCCGGCUCGACCUCGUCGUCCGCCGACAGCCUCCAAGACUUAUGCACGAGCAUUCCGUGCUCCACCAGCUCCAGAAGAUCUCCCUCCGUCACCGUGGAGGGGAGGAAGUCUCCUUGGAUCCACCCCGCCGGCAACGGCCGCUGCCGCCGCUGAGCAGCCGCCGCCUUGUUCUUCUUCUUCCUCGCCUCCAUCUUGCUGGUCUGACCUUUGGUCAUGGAGGCGAUGGCAAGCCCUCGAGAAGGAGGAGAAGGAAGGAGUGUAUGAGCGCAGGGGGUGGCGAGGAAGACGGAGCAGGCAAGAGCGAAAGAUUCGGCGAGCGUAACCGAGGAGUCUCGUCGCCCAGAGUUAAAUAGAACACCGACUGGGUCGCUGGCGAGCGGGCCUGAAAUCUUAUCCGCCCAACCGGCCGCGGCGAUAUCAGUGGAGGAGUUGAAGGCGCGAGAAUCGAGGAGUCAUGCGCUACUCGAGCGCGCUGACGUCAUCCCCGCUGAGCGCGCGGAACCCGAAAUUUGAGAUCCCGGAAAAUCUGCCGCUGUCAGUUGACCGGUCGUGUCAAAAGAUGCCGCGGAAGCACUCGGUUCCCGACAGUUUGUUUCGCAAGUACUUCCACUCGGAGCGCUAGUCAGGAGAGAUAAAAUGGAUAGAGGCAAGCAACACCCAAGCCGAACCUAGUCCAGUCGGAUCUGAACCUCAAGCACCGCUUCGGCGUUUCAACCCCAAUCCAUUCGGGGACUAAUGAUGGGGUCAUAGUCCUAGGGUAGGGUCAUAGGCCUGCCGUACAUGUCCUAUGCAAGGACUACCCCACACAAAGGACAGGACCUUAAGUCUGCCCCGACUAAAUUAAGGUGCUCCCAUCAUCCAGUCGGUAACAGGCCCAGAAUCAUCCAGUCGGAGACUAGCAUUCGGAGGGCACCAGGCCAACCGACUGGAUACACUCGGUACGUCAUAACCUCUCUGGAGGGAAACCGCCGUACGUUUCCGGGUGCAUUUAUUAGCAUUUAGAGCAUACGUUACCUGUAACGUACGCAUUCAAUCGCCACUACUCCACCCCUGGAUCAGAACCAUUGUGGAGGGCAGCGCACUCUAUAUAAGCCGCCCUCCCCCACUGGUAAAAGGGUUAGCAAAACAUUGUACUCCAUAUUACACUCGGUAACAAGCUCCGAGAGCACUGAGACGUAGGGCUGUUACCUCCACCGCAGAGGGGCCUGAACUCAUACAACCUCGCCGUAUCUAGGACUCUGCCCAUCUCAUUCGUACCCUACACAUCUACUGUCAGGCUUAUACCCACGACAGGUCUAGUCCAUCACAUGAUUCUCCUAAUGAUGUGAUCCCGUUAUCAAGUGACAACACUUGCCUAUGGUCAGGAAACCUUGACCAUCUUUGAUCAACGAGCUACUCAACUAGAGGCUUACUAGGGACAGUGUUUUGUCUAUGUAUCCACACAUGCACUGUGUUUCCAAUCAAUACAAUUAUAGCAUGGAUAAUAAACGAUUAUCAUGAACUAAGAAAUAUAAUAAUGACUAAUUUAUUAUUGCCUCUAGGGCAUAUUUCCAACAAUCUCCCACUUGCACUAGAGUCAAUAAUCUAGUUCACAUCACCAUGUGAUUUCAACGAAUCCAACACCCAUAUAGUUAUGGGGUGUGAUCACGUCUUGCUCGUGAGAGAGGUUUUAGUCAACGGUUCUGAAACUUUCAGAUCCUUGUGUUCUUUACAAAUCUUUAUGUCAUCUUAUAGAUGCUGCUACUUUGUGCUAUUCGGAAAUACUCGAAAUAUCUACUCUACUAUACGAAUCCAUUUCACUACUCAUAGUUAUUCGGUUAGUGUCAAAGCUUGCAUCGACGUAACCCUUUACGACGAACUCUUUAACCACCUCCAUAAUCGAGGAAAAUUCCUUAGUCUAUUUAGUUACUAAGGAUAACUUUGACCGCUGCUAGUGAUUCAAUCAUGGAUCACUCUUUGUACCUCUCAACACACUUUGAGUCAAGGCACACAUCAGGUGCGGUACCCAGCAUGGCAUACUUCAGAUUCUACGGCCAAGGCAUAGAAGACGACCUUCGUCUAUUCUCUUUAUUCUGCCGGGGUCGGGUUUUGAGUCUUACUCAAAUUCACACCUUACAACACAGUCAAGAACUCCUUCUUUGCUGAUGUAUUUCUAAUUCCUUCGAAAACUUGUCAAGGCAUGCAUCUUGUUGAAACUUCUAUUAAGCGUUUUGAUCUAUCUCCAUAGAUCUUGAUGCUCAAUGUUCAAGUAGCUCAAUCCAGGUAUUCCUUUGAAAAACUCCUUUCAAACAACCUUUUAUGCUUCAGAGAAAUUCUACAUUACUUCUGAUCAACAAUAUGUCAACCACAUAUACUUAUCAGAAAUUCUAUAGUGCUCCCACUCACUUCUUUGGAAAUACAAGUUUCUCAUAAACCUUGUACAAACCCAAAAACUUUGAUCAUCUCAUCAAAGUGUAUAUUCCAACUCCGAGAUGCUUGCACCAGUCCAUUGAAGGAUCGCUGGAGCUUGCAUACUUGUUAGUAUCUUUAGGAUCGACAAAACCUUCUGGUUGUAUCACAUACAAUGUUUGCUCAAGGAAACCGUCGAGGAAACAAUGUUUUGACAUCCUAUGUGCAAUAUUUCAAAAAUAAUGCAGCAACUACUAACAUAAUUCUAACAGACUUUUAGCAUCGCUACGAGUGAGAAAGUCUCAUCAUAGUCAACUGUUUGAUCUUGUCAGAAACAUCUUUGCGACAAGUCGAGCUUUUCUUAAUAGUGACUCAUCACCAUCAUCGUCUGUCUUCCUUUUUAAAGAUCCAUCUUUACUCAAUAGUCCUAUGACCAUCAAGUAGUUCUUCCAAAGUCUACACUUUGUUUUCAUGACCUCCAAGACAGGGUUGCCGUACCACUCUGCAGUAGUACGUGACCUUGUCGACCUACGAGGUUUGUAGUAACUUGAUUCAAAGCUCAAUGAUCACCACCAUCAGCUUCCACUUCAAUUGGUGUAGGCGCCACAGGAACAACUUCCUGCGCCCUGCUACACACUGGUUGAAGUGAUGGUUCAAUAACCUCAUCAAGUUCUACCAUCCUCCCACUCAAUUCUUUCGAGAGAAACCUUUCCUCGAGAAAGGAUCCGUUUCUCGAAACAAACACUUUGCUUUCGGAUCUGAGAUAGGAGAUGUACCCAACUGUUUUGGAUAUCCUAUGAAGAUGCAUUUAUCCGCUUUGGGUUCGAGCUUAUCAGACUGAAACUUUUUCACAUAAGUGUCGAAGCCCCAAACUUUCAAGAAACGACAGUUUAGAUUUCUCUAAACCUCGAUCUAUACUAUGUCAUCUCAACGAAAAUACGCGGUGCCCUAUUUAAAGUGAAUGCGGUUGUCUCUACUGCAUAACCCAUAAACGAUAGUGGUAUUUCGAUAAGAGACGCCAUAGCAUGCACCAUACCAAAUAGUGCGUGGCUAUGACGUUCGGACACAUCAUCACACUAUGAUGUUCCAGGUGGCAUGAACUGCGAAACAAUUUCCACAUUGUCUUAACUGCGUACCAAAACUCAUAACUCAGAUAUUCAUUUCUAUGAUCAUAUCGUAGACAGUUUAUCCUUUUGUUACGACGAACUUCACUCCGAAACAGAAUUGAACUUUUCAAUAUUUCAGACUUGUGAUUCAUUAAGUAAAUACUCUUGUAUCUACUCAAAUCGUCAUUGAAGUAAGAACAUAAUGAUAUCCACUACGUGCCUCAGCACCCAUUGGACUGCAUACAUCAAAAUGUAUCACUUCCAACAAGUUACUAUCUUGUUUCAUCUUAAUGAAAACAAGGCCUUGCUCAUGUGGUAUGAUUUGCAUGUCACUAGUGAUUCAAAAUCAAGUGAGUAUAAAGAUCCAUCAACAUGGAGCCUCUUCAUGCAAUUUAUACCAACAUGACUCAAGCGGCAGUGCCACAAGUAAGUGGUACUAUCAUCAUUACCUCGUAUCUUUUGGCACCAAUAUCAUGAACAUGUGUGACACUACGAUCGAGAUUCAAUAAAUCAUUGAAGGUGAUUAUUCAAGCAAAUAGAGUAACCAUUAUUCUAUUUAAAUGAAUAAUCGUAUUGCAAUAAACACGAUCCAAUCAUGUUCAUGCUUAACGCAAGCACCAAAUAACAAUUAUUUAGGUUUAACACCAAUCCCGAUGGUAGAGGGAGCGUGCGACGUUUGAUCAUAUCAACCUUGGAAACACUUCCAACACGUAUCGUCACCUCGCCUUUAGCUAGUCUCCGUUUAUGCCGUAGCUUUCAUUUCAUGUUACUAAUCACUUAGCAAUCGAACCGGUAUCCAAUACCCUCGUGCUACUAGGAGUACUAGUAAAGUACACAUCAACAUCAUGUAUAUCAAAUAUACUUCUUUCGACUUUUGCCAACCUUCUUAUCUAUCAAGUAUCUAGAGUUGCUCCGCCUCAGUGACCGUUCCCCUCAUAACAGAAGCACUUAGUCCCGGGCUUGGGUUUAAUCUGGGGUCUCUUCAUUAAUGCAGCAACUGCUUUGCCGUUUCACGAAGUAUCCCUUCUAGCCCUUGCCUUUCUGGAAACUUAGUGGUUUUACUAACCAUCAACUAUUGAUGCUCCUUCUUGAUUUCUACUCUCGUAGUGUCAAACAUCGCGAAUCGCUCAAGGAUCAUUGUAUCUAUCCUUGAUAUGUUAUAGUUCAUCACGAAGCUCUCACAGCUUGGUGGUAGUGACUUUGGAGAACUAUCACUAUCUCAUCUGGAAGAUUAACUCCCGCUUGAUUCAAGCGAUUGUCAUACUCAGAUAAUCUGAGCACACGCUCAACGAUUGAGAUUUUCUCCUUUAUUAGUGGACAAAGAAUCUUGUCGGAGGUCUCGUACCUCUUAACAAGGGUACAAGCAUGAAAUCACAAUUUCAUUUUUUAGAACAUCACUUAUGUUCGGUGACGUUUCAAAACGUCUUCGGCGCCUUGCUUCUAAGACAUCAAGUAUUUUGCACUCAACUAUCGUGUAGUCAUCAGAAACGUGUAUGUCGGAUGUUCACAGCAUCCACAGACGACGCUCGAGGUGCAGCACACCGAGUGGUGCAUUAAGGACAUAAGCCUUCUGUGCAGCAACGAGGACAAUCCUCUGUUUUACAGACUCAGUCUGCAAAGUUUGCUACUAUCAACUUUCAACUAAAUUUUCUCUAGGAACAUAUAAAAACAGUAGAGUUAUAGCGCAAGCUAUAUCGUAAUUUGCAAAGACCAUUAGACUAUGUUCAUGACAAUUAGUUCAAUUAAUCAUAUUACUUAAGAACUCCCACUCAAAAAGUACAUCUCUCUAGUCAUUUGAGUGGUACAUGAUCCAAAUCCACUAUCUCAAGUCCGAUCAUCACGUGAGUCGAGAAUAGUUUUAGUGGUAAGCAUCUCUAUGCUAAUCAUAUCAACUAUACAAUUCAUGCUCGACCUUUCGGUCUCAUGUGUUCCGAGGCCAUGUCUGCACAUGCUAGGCUCGUCAAGCUUAACCCGAGUGUUCCGCGUGUGCAACUGUUUUGCACCCGUUGUAUGUGAACGUUGAGUCUAUCACACCCGAUCAUCACGUGGUGUUUCGACACGAAGAACUGUCGCAACGGUGCACAGUCGGGGAGAACACAAUUUCGUAUUGAAAUUUUAGUGAGACAUGUCCUCAUAAUGCUACCGUCGUUCUAAGCAAGAUAAGGUGCAUAAAGGAUUAACAUCACAUGCAAUUCAUAAGUGACAUGAUAUGGCCAUCAUCAUGUGCUUCUUGAUCUCCAUCACCAAAGCACUAACACGAUCUUCUUGUCACCGGCGCCACACCAUGAUCUCCAUCAACAUGUCGCCAUCGGGGUUGUCGUGCUACUCAUGCUAUUACUACUAAAGCUACAUCCUAGCAAAAUAGUAAACGCAUCUGCAAGCACAAACGUUAGUUUAAAGACAACCCUAUGGCUCCUGCCGGUUGCCGUACCAUCGACGUGCAAGUCGAUAUUAUCUAUUACAACAUGAUCAUCUCAUACAUCCAAUAUAUCACAUCACAUCGUUGGCCAUAUCACAUCACAAGCAUACCCUGCAAAAACAAGUUAGACGUCCUCUAAUUUUGUUGUUGCAUGUUUUACGUGGUGACCAUGGGUAUCUAGUAGGACCGCAUCUUACUUACGCAAACACCACAACGGAGAUAUAUGAAUUGCUAUUUAACCUUAUACAAGGACCUCCUCGGUCAAAUCCGAUUCAACUAAAGUUGGAGAAACCGACACUUGCGAGUCAUCUUUGAGCAACGGGGUUACUCGUAGCGAUGAAACCAGUCUCUAGUAAGCGUACGAGUAAUGUCGGUCCAAGCCGCUUCAAUCCAACAAUACUGCAGAAUCAAGAAAAGACUAAGGAGGGCAGAAAAACGCACAUCACCGCCCACAAAAACUUUUGUGUUCUACUCGAGAAGACAUCUACGCAUGAACCUAUCUCUGAUACCACUGUUGGGGAACGUCGCAUGGGAAACAAAAAUUUUCCUACACGCACGAAGACCUAUCAUGGUGAUGUCCAUCUACGAGAGGGGAUUUCCGAUCUACGUACCCUUGUAGAUCGCACAGCAGAAGCAUAAGUGAACGCGGUUGAUGUAGUGGAACGUCCUCACGUCCCUCGAUCCGCCCCGCGAACCGUACCACGAACCGUCCCACGAUCCGAUCCGAUCUAGUGCCGAACGGACGGCACCUACACGUUCAGCACACGUACAGCUCGACAAUGAUCUCGGCCUUCUUGAUCCAGUAAGAGAGACGGAGAGGUAGAUGAGGUCUCCGGCAGCGUGACGGUGCUCCGGAGGUUGGUGGUGAUCUAAUCUCAGCAGGGCUCCGCCCGAGCUCCACAGAAACACGAUCUAGAGGUAAAACCGUGGAGGUAUGUGGUCAGGCUGCCGUGGCAAAAGUUGUCUCAAAUCAGCCCUAAUACCUCUGUAUAUAUAGGUGGGAGGGGAGGGGCCUUUCCUUGAGGCUCAAGGAGCCCCAAGGGGUUCGGCCAAGCCAAGGGGGGAAGUCCUCCCCUUCCAAACCGAAUCCAACUUGGAUUGGAAGGUGGAGUCCUUCUCUCCUUUCCCACCUCCCCUUUUUUCUUUCUCUUUGAUUUCUUAUCCUUUGGCGCAUAGGGCCUUCUUGGGUUGUCCCACCAGCCCACCAAGGGCUGGUGCGCGACCCCCAAGGCCUAUGGGCUUCCCCGGGGUGGGUUGCCCCCCCCCGGUGAACACCCGGAACCCAUUCGUCAUUCCUGGCAUAUUCCCGGUAACUCCGAAAACCUUCCGACAAUCAAAUGAGGUCAUCCUAUAUAUCAAUCUUCGUUUCCAGACCAUUCUGGAAACCCUCGUGACGUCCGUGAUCUCAUCCGGGACUCCGAACAACAUUCGGUAACCAACCAUAUAACUCAAAUACGCAUAAAACAACGUCGAACCUUAAGUGUGCAGACCCUGCGGGUUCGAGAACUAUGCAGACAUGACCCGAGUGACUCCUCGGUCAAUAUCCAAUAGCGGGACCUGGAUGCCCAUAUUGGAUCCCACAUAUUCUACGAAGAUAUUAUCGUUUGAACCUCANUUCCGUAAUACAAGAUCCCGCAACUUACACUAAGUCACAUUGCUUGCAAGGCUUGUGUGUGAUGUUGUAUUACCGAGUGGGCCCCGAGAUACCUCUCCGUCACACGGAGUGACAAAUCCCAGUCUCGAUCCAUACUAACUCAACGAACACCUUCGGAGAUACCUGUAGAGCAUCUUUAUAGUCACCCAGUUACGUUGCGACGUUUGAUACACACAAAGUAUUCCUCCGGUGUCAGUGAGUUAUAUGAUCUCAUGGUCAUAGGAACAAAUACUUGACACACAGAAAAUAGUAGCAACAAAAUGACACGAUCAACAUGCUACGUCUAUUAGUUUGGGUCUAGUCCAUCACAUGAUUCUCCUAAUGAUGUGAUCCCGUUAUCAAGUGACAACACUUGUCUAUGGUCAGGAAACCUUGACCAUCUUUGAUCAACGAGCUAUUCAACUAGAGGCUUACUAGGGAUAGUGUUUUGUCUAUGUAUCCACACAUGCACUGUGUUUCCAAUCAAUACAAUUAUAGCAUGGAUAAUAAACGAUUAUCAUGAACUAGAAAUAUAAUAAUAACUAAUUUAUUAUUGCCUCUAGGGCAUAUUUCCAACACAAUGCACGCUUGCGAUCGUGGUGCCCCGCCUUCCUUCUCCCAAGUAUGCAGGACUUUAUUAAAAUCGUUCGCACAUAGCCAGGUUUGUUACUUUGAUAUUUCAGAAUUCUGAGUAACUUCCAAGUUCUUUCCUUUUCCUCAUGCUUCGGUUCUCCGUAUAUCCCAGUGAACCGCCAUACAAAGCAAUCCAACUCCGUAAUUUCCAUGUCAAUAUGAUAUCGCGAAGUGAAACCAAUUAACUUGAUAGUUACUUCAUUUUUCCAAAACAUUGCUAAACCACAACUCGGCCCCUCACAGUCUUUAACUAUCAUGUUGGUCAUACCCAUCUUCCAUCUCAUCCAUUCCAGCCUGCCACGCACCAUCUUUGUUUCAGAGAGAAAAAGUAUAUCGGGGUCCUCCUUCUUCUGGAGCUCCAGAAGACUUUGAAUUGUCGGGCCGUUCCCCAAUCCCCAACAAUUCCAUGUGAUGAUCCUCAUUGGUUCUCGCAGGGCUGUCCCGGCAGCCCCGCGCCCUCAACAUUAUGUUCCGUUUCACAUCCAUCCUUGUUGCUUCCUUCCCUCUUGUUCUUCUUUAAACCCCCCUGUUCGUCAAUGUCCAUGUCCUCACCCUUCCUCUUCUUCCCCGUAACUACCGUUGUAGCUGCCCGUGUGCUUGCUCGUGGUAGCCUCUUGAAUUUACCAUUUUCCCUUUCUUGUUGUCCUACUUGUUAUUCUGUGGUUUCGCUGCCACCACACUUUCACCUUGAAGCCCAUCCCUCCCAUCACCUUCUUGGAAUUUUCCUACUCCUUCAUUCACAAAUGGCAUUUUCUUAGUUUGGCCACCUAUUAGUUUGCCCACUGCGCCAUCCAUCGCACCUUUGUCUAUUCCCGAAGCCCCAAAAUUCAGUUUUUUUUAUUUUUCCGUCCCCCGUGUCAUUCUGUAGUUGUUCCUCCGUUAUCGUGAUCUUCAGCAGGCUGGUUACCUCAAUCUCGCCCAUGUUCUUCUUCUCCUCAUUCCCUUCGCUCCCCGCAGAUUUCUUCCAAGAAUCCACAUCACUCCUUGACUUUCCCUCAUUACUUAGCCACCCAUAUUUCCUACCUAAACUGCCACCACUAUUCUCCUUCCAACUCCCUCUUCCCACAUCACUUACAUGAGCUUUAUCUGGUACAUAUCUUAACCAUCUUCCAAACUCAGCAUUCUGACCCCUUUUUUUGCUUGAAUCUGCAGUCUUUGUCUAGGUGUCCCAGCCACCCACAGCUGAAGCAGAAGUCUGGCACUUAUUCAUACUCGAAGUAGCACCAAUUUGUUUUUUAUCCUUCUUCUCUUCCCCCUUCUCAUCUCCAGUAGUAGCCACUUCCAUCUCACUUCCUGUUCCUCCCUGAAUACCACCCUCCCCCGGCUCCACAUCCAAGUAAAGCCCCUCAUAAGGGGUUCUGCAACCUUGAUACUCACCUUCACCCUCAAGCAUUUUCCAGCGCCGUGCCAUCUUCUUCGCCUUCAACUUCCAUCAGUUCUCCUAUCUCUUCUGCCAGGUCCUCCCCUAGCUCCUUGCACAUCAUACCGAGUGGGAUGUUGUAGAUCCUCACCCAGAUCAGCACUGUGGCAAAGGUGUACUCGUGAAGGGUUUUGCGUGGGUCAAAAUCUUCCAUGACCAGCAGGUCCUUGCCAAAAGUCCAUGGGACAUUCUCAAGCGCCUUUUUCUUCCCCCCUUCCUGGUGAAACAAAAACAAGAACCAAUUCUCCCCCAUCUCCUUUACCUCCAGCCUCCUAAUUGGGCACCAGAAUUUCGGAGUUUCCCUAGCACCACCGCCAUCCCCUCCGCAUAUCCCGGUUUGUCCGAGAACAAUUUUCCCAUCGCCUUUGCCACACUGCCAUUCUUCUCCACGGCCCUCCUCCAGCCAAUCUUCACCCCCUUCCUUUCCGCCUCACAGAGGUUCAUCCGCUUCAGCCUGUCCCCCACUCCUUCCAUUUCUUCUCGAAACAACUUCCCCUGCACCAGAUCUCAGACCAAGGAUCGAGAGAAAAGAGACCUCUAGGGGUGCGAGGGUGUUGUACAACUGUGAGCCCUAGCCUCACGGUAGGCUUAUCUUGGGUGGGGGUUCGUGGGGAGGGUGGGGGGUUGGGGUGGGUUGGUUGUGGGGAUUUGGAGUCUGAUGUGUGGGUAGCAGCUUUAAGAAGGGGGAAGCAGAAGAAUACGACCGAGACCCCACCAGGUAUAGCAGCCGCCGACGAGUAGCCGGCGUUGGGGACCGGGCAGGCUCCCAACUCGCCUCGCCCUUUGCCCAAACAGGAACCAACCGUCAACACAGGGGACAGAUCCGCCUUGCUUCGCAAGGGUAGUAGGAUGACCGGAGGGGAGAGAGAUUGCGCAACGCAGCUACCUAGAUCGAGAAAUCGUGCAUUCUUUUGUGGAUUUGGACUUUGGAGCAAUCGAAAUUGAAGCGGCAAAGGCUGCCGACCCAGGCGCUGAAAUCGCCAAGAAGUCGUCGGAAGCGGCACGAACCGUCACGUGAGGACGGAUGAGGAGCUGGGUUCUCUCACGAAAUGUCACGAGUUAGCCACGUACAUGCUUGCAGCUUAUCUUAUCCAUACCCCUUCGUCUCUAGAGAGCCCGACCACAUGUUAUUUUCUUGCUCUCCCUUAUAUCAAAAUAUCCACAUAGGCUCACACAGAUCACUGUAACCAUGCUGCGCGGCCACAUGUUGUAGGCGGUACGUCCACUGACUCUGCAAGGUGCGAAGCCAAGGGGUGCUCCUCGCAUGGCCGCGGGCCCACCUUCCUUUUCUCACCCCCACAACAUCGCGGCGACGAUGGCCAUGGGUGGGCCUGGUAGCUUGAUACAGCAGCACCAUCAGCUGUGGAAUAUUGGUUGUAGCAAAUUCAAUCGCAGGUGGUAGCAAAAAUCUACUAUGGUUGCAGCAAAACGGCGUCAUCGUCAUCACGGAGUCGCAACUGAGAUAAGAAGUUUGAAUCUUUUUUCAAUCCGGUUGUAACUAUUGUAACUGCCGGUUGCAACUUUUUGUUUUUCGUCCAUGGCUUUGUCUUGAUGGUUGAAACUUUUUUCAUAGUCGGAUGAAGCUUUUUUCGUUGCUAGAUGAAGCUUUUUUGUCACCGGUUGUAACUUUUAUUGGUCAUCCAUAGCUCCCGUCGAAUACUGGUUGAAGGUUUUUUUCGUAGCCAGUUGAAGCUUUCUUGUCGCUAGUUGUAGCUUUUUGGUCGUCGGUUGUAGCACUGGGCAUCUCCCCCGAUGCUCUUUUUUUGUUGCAAGCUGCACAACCGGGAUGAGAGGCAGCAAGCACGCCGGUGAGUUUCAGUUGUCGCAACCGGAACCACAACAUCCUCGACAAGAGCUUCAACCACAGGGUGCGGCUAUUGCACCGGGCACCAGCACGACAACCACCAAGCCGGCGAGCUACUCCGGCGAGUGGCGACGAGCUGCUCCGGUGAGCGGUGACAACGACCGAAGCCUCCGCACGGAGGUGCAAGCAGGAGGCUAGGGGAGAAAGGGGUGAUUGGGCGGGGAGGAGAUGUGGGGGAAUUCGUGGGAGCAAGGAAGAAGACGAUCGAUCACAGCGUGAACCAUUUUUUCCGAUGCGACCGCGUGCGCGACCCAACAGUCGUGGCGGUUUCACGCGUGUCAGAUCCAACGACCCGGAGGCGACCGACUAAGUGUUUAGGUCGGCGCACGGACGCAGAUCACUCCCCCUAUUGUUUUCCCUCUUCUCGUUAAGUGGGUUUUUAUCCCUUGACCCCCUAACUUUGUAUAAAGAGAGAAGGAGCAAUCAUUGUAAUACAGACCAUCAUUAAUAACGAUUGUUUCCUUCCUACUUCCUAUGCCCUCCUACUUCUUGUGUGAUUGUCUACGAUGCUGCUCCGCUCCGCAAUCUUGGACCGGACUUGCCGACACGAGUUGCGGAACACGUUAUCAGCAUGCUACGUUCCAACAAAUAUCCAUCAAGCAUGCGUCAAGCCUACACCAAGAAGGCUCUCGUCGAUCCCACGGAUGUAUAAGAUUCAAUCCCUCUCUUUGCAAAAAUGGAUUCAUCAUGUUAUCAUGAUUUCAUUUUUGCGAUUAGUUUAUUUUUUUCGUAUUUAAUCUACCUACGGUGUGGAUUUCUCUCCCAAGAACUAGCUGAUGAACACGCCGCCGACCAAUGUCGAUGUUCUUGGAUCAUGAGAGACUUGUUGACUACCCCUCGGGAGACGGUGAGUACACGUACUGCACAUGAGCACGACACCGCCGCGAUGUACCGGAUGUACACACGUCCUUACAUCCCGCUGACGCAGGAUCCAUUUUUUCUGAGUAGCUACAGUAAAGGCAGACGUCGGGAUGGUUGUGCUGGCCCCGACCACCGUGCCCGCUGCACAAGCCGUACCUCGCCGCGCCCGCAGCGCCGGCCGAGCUCACAUAGGUGCACUCGUCUGGCUGCACCGUGCUACUGCGCUCCUCGCCCGCCUCGGCUGUGCCCCACUCGCCGGGCCGGCUACCAUGCUCAUCACUCGCCUUGGUUGUGCCCCACUGGCCGGCCCGGCCGCCGCGCCCCUCUCACCGUUGCGCUCGUCACGCGCCUCAGUUGUGCCCCGCUGUCCGGCCCGGCCACCGUGCUCAUCGUGCGCCUCGGCUGUGCCCCGCUGGUCGGCCCGACCGCUGUGUCCCUCACACUGCGGCGCCUCACUUGCCGGCCCGGCCAUCGCGCCCCUCACCUAGUCGUGCCUUGCUCGCCGGCUCGGCGCCCACCCCUUGUCUCACACCGCGCUUGCCUGGGUACCCACCGAAGACGACCCCCGCCAUCGUUGACGCCACGCACGGUCGCCGCUGCGAGGGCUGGCCAGAGUCGGGCCCCUACCUCCCCACACUAACGAUGUUAGGGGAAACCCUAGCAUCGCCCAGCGCCUAGGCCGAUCCACUGCCUGUUGGGCCUAACUAGGCCUCGGCUAUUGCGCCCCCUCGCUAAAAAGAGACGGGCUGACUGGCGUUGGAUGAAUCGGGCUGGUUGCCCAGUUUUUUCCCACUAAAUACAUAUAUUAGGCUUUAAAACGUCUUGGGAAUUCAUUUUAGCCUAGAUUUUAUGUACUAGAUGCGCUUAACAUGCUAUCUCAUGCAACAUGAAUUUAUUAUAUGUUUUUACUGUUGUAGGUUAAUUGUUCAACACUCUUAAUCAUUAUAUAAAUCAUAUAAGAAUAUGUAUUAAAUAAUGAAACGUCAUUUUUAUUGAAUAAGUUUAUCUACAUCUCAUUUAUGCAAAAGAUUACCUGCUGUAAUCUCAUGAUUUUUGCAUAAAUUGCAAAUGGUCGGAAUCGUCAACAAGGAGUUUCUUGAGUUGGCCCAGACAUGGCUAAACUACCUAAAGUGGGCUUCACACUGCGAGAUCUUCCUCGAGGGCAGGAACCUUCUGAGGGCGAUCGGUAAGGGGAUCCUGCUGGCCCACACUGACCCCAAGUUUGCACCCGAAAAUGCCCAAGCUUUGCAUUUCGUCCGUCAUCACCUCUGAUCUACUCUCUAAGACGAGUAUAUGGCUGAGAAGAGUGCUUCUGGCCAUUGGACCACUCUUAAACAGUGGUUUGAAAGGCUAAAGUACAUCGUCAAGCCGUGUGGAGAGGCACAGUGGAUCCGUCCGAGGUUCGUAGACUUCAAAACGAUUGGGGAGUACAAUCCGGCGCUGCAUCGGAUUUGUACAACUCUUCAGCUGUGUGGUACUGAGGUUAUCGACAGCUAACAGAUUGAGAAAACCCUAUCCACUUUCCACCCUGACGCAGUCCAGUCCUCACGGAACUACCGCUAGGGAAACUACAUGAGGUAUUCAGAGCUGAUCGACGUCCUCCAGGUGGCAGAGGCGCAACACGAGGUUUUGAAGAAGAAAUUUGUUGCACAACCACUUGGGGGAGUUCUCGUCAGGAGGUGAAUGCUCUCAUGGUCCGCAAGCCCCUCCAGAAGAACAGGGGCCACAAGGGCAAGAAGAAGGGCCCUCAACCCCCCCCCCCCGCUCUGGCUAAGCAGCAAAAGUUGGGCAGGGGGGCGGAGGCCUGAGGACUGCUUUCGGUGUGGAUCGUUGGAGCAUUUCUCCCGCCCGUGUCACGCACCACAGGAGGUGGUUAAUGCGUACAAGUCUCGGAAGGCGCGUGAGACGCACCUCGCCUUGGUUCAAGAGGAAUCACCAGCAGCACCCCCAGCGGCACCCAUGAUGAACCCUACGCCUCCUCCUGCACCCAUAGUGGCGACCUCAGCUGUGCCCACAGGGGCACCCUUAGCGGUCUCUAACGACUCCGACAUUGCCAUGGAGGUUGAGCACAUGGUCGCCCCUAUGAUGCCGCCACUGGCUGUUGAUGUUGCUACCAACAUGAUGUCUAUGGAGGAUGGGAUCACUAGUCUGGAGACUCAGGCUGAAGUCAAUGGCUUCUUUGCCGAGUCUACUUAGCCUACCUCGUUAGUUAUCAUGAUUCCGUGAUUUGAUACAAUGCAUUCGAAUAAAUUCGAUUUGUUGUAAGCUCUAUGAGAGGACAAACUUAUUAUUUAUUUUUUGACGAAUCGAUGACAUUUAUAUCAUUCAUUUAUUUCAUUAUUUAUACAUGAUAGUCUGUUAUGUUCUGAAAUGGGUGCAUUUAUUAUUAAUGUAACUUAUUCCUCAUUACAUUAAUUAGAUGUCAUAUUUUAGAACGCGUGUGGCGCCCGAAUGGAGGAAACGUGCCUUGCCGAUAGCGCCACCACUCAUACCACUUUACAAGAAACUAAGUACUUUGAGUCUAUGAAAAAAUCUCCGGGAAGUAUUAUGACAAUCGCCGUCUGCGGUUCAAACAUAGUUAGCUUCGAACGAGCUACUAUCAUACUUCCUAUGGGAACAACUUUGAUCAUUCAUGAUGCGUUGUUGUACCCGGAGUCGACUCGUACUCUUUGGAGCUUUAAAGACAUCCACGCUAAUGGUUUCCGUAUUGACACCCAUGAUGACAAUGGCAAGGAGUGCGUCCUCAUCACAAAGCGGGAUGCAAAUGGUACACAUGUUAUCAAAAGGCUUCCUUCGUUCGACACAGGGCUAUACUACACCAAGAUAGUAGCAUCGCCCGUGUACACUACUCUUAAGACUGUUUUUAGAAGCUCCGGACUUUUCUGCCUAUGGCAUGAUAGGUUAGGCAACCCCAGACUUAGGCUGAUGAGAAAUAUAAUUAACAACUCGCAUGGUCAUAAUGUUAACAUGAAGAGCUUCCCGAAUCACGAUGAUUUCGUAUGCUCUGCAUGCUCCAUAGGGAAGUUAGUCAUUAGGCCAUCGCCCAUCAAGGUGACGGAUGAAAUCCCCCCAUUCUUGGAACGUAUCCAAGGGGACAUAUGUGGUCCAAUUCUGCCCCUCACGGGGCCGUUUAGGUACUUCAUGGUGCUCAUUGAUGCUUCGUAUAAAUGGUCCAAUGUUUGCCUUCUCUCAACACGGAACCAUGCCUUUGCAAAGUUGAUCUCUCAGAUCAUACAAAUGAGGAAUAAUUUCCCUCAUCAUCGUAUAAAGUCUAUUCGAAUGGACAACACCGGAGAAUUUACUUCAAAGGCGCUCGAUGAUUAUUGCAUGGCAAUGGGAAUCAAAGUUAAGCACUCGGUACUGCAUGUUCAUACAUGAAAUGGACUUGCCAAGGCAUUGAUUAAAAGAAUUAAAUUCAUUGCCCGACCGCUCCUUCAGGGUUGUAAUUUUCCAACUACAUGUUGGGGCCACAGAGUGUUACAUGCGGCCAAUCUCAUCAACUUUAGUCUGUCGGCCUACAACAUCCACUCUCCUGUUCAGCUUGCGCAAGGGUCGGCACCAAAAAUUUCCCACCUUCGUAGGUUCGGUUGCCAAGUAUAUGUACCAAUACCACCAUCCUAGAGAUCAACAAUGGGCACACUUUGUAAGUCGGGGAUAUAUGUUGGUUAUGAGACUUUGUCCAUAAUGAGGUAUCUGGACCCCAUGACACGUGAUUUUCACACGGAUCAUUUUGGUGAUUACAUUUUUGACAAGGAUUUUUUUUGAAUUUAGGGGGGAGAAUCAACCCCUUGAUGCUAAAAAUCGAGAAAUCAUGUGGCAUGCCACGGGAAUCCACGCUCAUGACCCGCGCACUGCUAAGACUGAGAGAGAAGUCCAUAAGAUAAUAGAUUUGCAGUCAUUAUUAAAUCAACUCCCUCACCACUUUAGUGACUUAAUGACUAUGUCAAAAUCGCAUGUGCAUGCUCACAAUGCACAGGAAAGGGUCGAAAUACCAAAGAAAAAUGACGGUAUACCCGCUCCCUUCCAAAGGCCUAAAACGACAAGGGAUUCGACUUCACAAAGGAUAAGAGAGAUUUAUUACACCGUGUCACCACAGUGCCCCAAAGUGAAACGGGGAGCCAGUCGAGAUGUGGCACAAGUAUGGAAAAUUCACUGCACGAAAUACUGGACUUCAACUUUCCCAUAGGGGAAACACCCCAGCGGAGAUGUGUGCGCGCACAUCGGCGCGGGAAAUCUAAAGGACCUUGCUCCGAGAAUGGGAAAUUUGGUAGAGCAAAUGUUAGCGCCGAAUGCGCUCCAUGACGAAAUGUCCAUAAAUUAUAUUUAUACGGGGGGGNNNNNNNNNNNNNNNNNNNNNNNNNNNNNNNNNNNNNNNNNNNNNNNNNNNNNNNNNNNNNNNNNNNNNNNNNNNNNNNNNNNNNNNNNNNNNNNNNNNNNNNNNNNNNNNNNNNNNNNNNNNNNNNNNNNNNNNNNNNNNNNNGGGGGGAGGUCCCUGAAUCGAGCAACAUUGAUUGUCGACAUUAACUUUGCUAUGAAAAUUGCCUCGAUCAUAGAUCUUGACCCUGAGCCUAACACGCUCGCUGAUUGCAAGAAAAGGUCGGAUUGAAAAGAUUGGCAGGAGGCAAUUACUGCUGAAUUAUUAGCUCUUAACAAAAGUAAGGUGUUCACACCAGCUUGAUGAACUGCUCUCCACGUACACCCUGUUGGUCAUAGGUGGGUUUUUGUUUGAAAGAGAGAUGAAAAUAAUAAGGUAGUACGGUACAAAGCAAGGCUCGUUGCUCGAGGGUUCACUCAACAACCUCGUGCCGAUUUUGAGGAGACCUAUUCUCCGGUCGUGGGUGGAGUUACCUUUAGAUACUUGAUCUCAAUGGCAGUAAACAUGGGCUUAAAAAUGAAGUUAAUGGAUGUUGUUACUGCUUACCUGUAUGGUAACUUGGGUUCGAACAUAUACAUGAGGGUUCCUGAAGGUAUCCCUCUUCCUAACCAUGAUAAAGCAAACAUGAGUCUAUACAGUGUUCAGCUUCGAAAGGCAUUGUACGGACUUAGACAGUCUGGUAGAAUGUGGUAUAAUCGCGUAAGUGAUUUCCUUCAUCAAAAGGGCUACACGAGCAAUAAAGAUUGCCCAUGUGUUUUUAUAUGGUGAUCCCAAGAUGGAUUCUGUAUAAUCUUGGUGUAUGUGGAUAAUUUAAACAUAACUGGUACACCUGAGGAUAUUGAGGAAGCGAGUUCCUACCUAAUGUCGGAAUUCGAGAUGAAGGAUUUGGGUAAAACCAAGUUCUGUCUAGGUCUGCAACUUGAACAUUCCCCUGAUGGGAUUCUAGUGUACCACUCGGCCUACACCCAGAAGGUAUUGGAAAGAUUUGGAUUUGAUAAGGCAUAUCCUUCUAAGACCACAAUUGCCAGGAGAUCUUUACAGCCAGACAAGGACCCGUUCAGGCCUAAGGAAGAGGGGGGGGGGACUUUGGGACCAGAGGUUCCUUACGUGAGUGCACUUGGAGCACUCAUGUACCUCGCAAAUUGUACAUGGCGAGACAUUGCUUUUGCCGUCAGUUUGCUCGCUAGGUACAAUUCUGAACCUACCAAGAGACAUUGGAAAGGUGUCAAUGACUUCUUCCAUUACCUGCAAGGGACCAAAGAUCCUGGCCUAUUUUAUAAAAGGAAUCAAGACCUAUCUCUUACAGGCUAUGCCUAUGCUAGGUAUCUGUCGGACCCGCAUGAUUGCAAAUCACAGACUGGAUAUGUUUUCCUUUGUGGUGGAACUGCAUUCUCCCGGAGAUCAACCAAGAAAACUCUUGUGUAGACCUCCACGAACCACUUGAAAAUCAUGGCACUAUUCAAAGCGUUAAAGGAAUGUGUACCGCUUCGGCUGAUGAUCAGCCACAUUCAACAAACGUGUGGGUUGAACACCGUACAAACCCUUACCAUUAUCUAUGAAGAUAAUGUUGUUUGUGUUGCACAAAUUCAGAUGGGUUAUGUGAAGAGUGACCUCACAAAGCAUAUUAGUCCCAAGUUCUUCUAUGCACACGAACUGCAAUAGUUGAACGAGGUGAGAGUUUUGCAUACUAAGUCGUGUGACAAUCUUGUUGAUAUGUUCACUAAAUCAUUACCGUCAUGAUCCUUUGUGAGGUGUGUGCGUGGAAUCGGUAUGAUGAUACUUAGAGAGAUGCAAGGUUCAGGGGGGAGAAACUUCACAAACUCAUUGCUAAAAUCUCAAUCCCGAUGAUUGAGUACUCAACCGGGUAGUUGAGUGGAUUGUACUAAUUUUUGCUUGAGUGAGUUUCUGUGAUGUUUCUCACCUAAUGUUUUUGACGAGGCAAUUUGCGCAAUACAACAACGUAUACUAUGUGAUAUUUCUCCAUAUUUUUUCCACUGGGUUUUUCGGAGUUUUGGGACAUAAAUAUACAGAUAAUUACCCAAGGGGGAGUGUUGGGAAACCUAGGCCCAGGUCCCAUAAGGCGCGAGCCGAGACUGGCUUCCGUGCGAGGCACGAAGCCACUCCCUAUCGUUUCCCCUCUUCUCGUUAAGUGUGUUCUUAUCCCUUGACCCCCUAACUGCAUUCUCCUGGAGAUCAACCAAGAAAACUCUUGUGUAGACCUCCACGAACCACUUGAAAAUCAUGGCACUAUUCAAAGCGUCAAAGGAAUGUGUACCGCUUCGGCUGAUGAUCAGCCACAUUCAACAAACGUGUGGGUUGAACACUGUACAAACCCUUACCAUUAUCUAUGAAGAUAAUGUUGUUUGUGUUGCACAAAUUCAGAUGGGUUAUGUGAACAGUGACCUCACAAAGCAUAUUAGUCCCAAGUUCUUCUAUGCACACGAACUGCAAUAGUUGAACGAGGUGAGAGUUUUGCAUACUAAGUCGUGUGACAAUCUUGUUGAUAUGUUCACUAAAUCAUUACCGUCAUGAUCCUUUGUGAGGUGUGUGCGUGGAAUCGGUAUGAUGAUACUUAGAGAGAUGCAAGGUUCAGGGGGGAGAAACUUCACAAACUCAUUGCUAAAAUCUCAAUCCCGAUGAUUGAGUACUCAACCGGGUAGUUGAGUGGAUUGUACUAAUUUUUGCUUGAGUGAGUUUCUGUGAUGUUUCUCACCUAAUGUUUUUGACGAGGAAAUUUGUGCAAUACAACAACAUAUACUAUGUGAUAUUUCUCCAUAUUUUUUCCACUGGGGUUUUCGGAGUUUUGAGACAUAGAUAUACAGAUAAUUACCCAAGGGGGAGUGUUGGGAAACCUAGGCCCAGGUCCCAUAAGGCACGAGCCGAGACUGGCUUCCGUACGAGGCACGAAGCCACUCCCUAUCGUUUCCCCUCUUCUCGUUAAGUGUGUUCUUAUCCCUUGACCCCCUACCCCUAUAUAAAGUGUAACAUAGACCAACACUAAUAAAGAUUGUUUCCUCCCUACUUCAUGUAUUCUUCUACUUUUUGUGUGAUUGUCUACGACACUGCUCCGCUCUCCGACCUUGGACCGGACUCAUCGGCAGGAGUUGCAGAAUAGUGUGUAUGUCCAUCGGAGUACUUUCUCUGUUUUUAUUUACUCCGCACAUUAGUUGAAAAAUGUUUAGAAAUGGAACGUCGGCCGAAUUUUGCAUGAGCCAUGUCCACAGGCGUUCCGUCCCAACCAUCCGCCAAGCGACACAUAGGAUGUGGGUCAUCCAUGCUUCCUUCGCUGCUUUUCUUCAACCACCCACGGACCUCGCGCCCAUCCAUGUCUCCUGCCUCCAUUGUUGCAGCGCACAGUGCUGAUGCCCGUAUCUCCCGCCUCCGUAGUUGCAGCACGUGAUUAGCUUCGCAGCAGCCAUGGAAAAUAGAAGUCCCCGCCAGCCAUGGUUGUAGCAUUCACCCUGCCACGGUUGCAACCCAGCUCACCAUCGGAUGCACCAAGGCUGUUGACCAAUUCCAUCUCAUCGGGUUAAACCUCCCAUGCGCCUCGUGCUUGUGCCUCGCCGUUCACCAGCCGAACAGAAAUGGACGGCUCCAGAGGCUUUUGCAGAACCGCCGCACAUCCCUCAUGCUACAAUCGUUUACGAAAAAGAUUCAACCCCUUAGGCCCAGCUUGGUUCCUCGUUUUGAGGCCUAAUACACGUGUAAAAUAUACCGUGUAAAAUAAAAACAGAUGGGUCUCACGUUGCUGCUUGACAUGUCAUUUUUGGGUUGUAAACUUUACACCAGUUUUCUCGUUUACACCUGUAUUAGGCCGGUAUUCGAUAUAGACCAGUGCCCGUCAUUUUUCCCCACCUCGCCUCUCGCUCGAGACCAGAUAGAGGUUCCUCCGCACGGAGGUGCUGACUCCGGUUAACACGAGGGGGUGAAGCGACUGUGUUCCACCACACCGCCCGUCGAGGCCCUCCACGUCGCCCGCGUCGCUAGGCUUCAGGCGGAGGAGAGGAAGGAGGAGCUGGAGCACGCGACAGAGGAAUGUGCGGAAGCGCUUCACAAGGGGGCAGAUGACGACCGCGUCGGGGGGCGGCGGCGGUGUUGCGUCUGCUUGGCCUGCUUGGUUGCCCUCUUCGGCGGGGGCUUGGGCAGGGUUCACGGCGGGCAGGUGGGGGUAGAAGGGUUGGAGGUAGGCGACGAAGCGGGAGUGGAGGCCGACGCGGGAGCUCGGGGAGGAGAGUGCCGUGAGGAGGUCGUCGUCGGCGGAGGAUGGUGGCAGCAUCGUCGUCUUCAUGCUCCAUCGGCCUCUUCGAGGAGAUAGUCAAUGUGAAGCAGAGUUUCGCCAUCGGAUUUCAGAAAACUGCCCACACAUGGGAUUUUACAAGCGAAAAACAUCGUCGGUUGUAUAUUACCGGACACUGGUAAUAUACAGUUGUAAGUAUUAACAUUUUUAAGAUUUCACCGACAAUCCAAGCGCGACCUUAGAUGGAAAGCUUCAACCGGAUGUAGAGAAAACUACAACGGUCAGCGCCAUCACGGAAAAUCUACAACCAUUGACAUAAAAGGCUACAACCUUUGAUGAAAAAAGCUUCAACCGAAAUGACACAUAGAAGCCUUGACCAAGCGCUGCUAAAAACAAAAUACUUGCACCCAUUGGUAGAAAAGCUUUGACCAUAAUUGGAAAAAGCACCAACCAUUGAGAGAGAAAGCUACAGCCAGACACUAUGCAAAUCAAAAAAGUUGCAAGCAUUGACAUAAAUGCUUCAAUCGUAUUGGUGAAAAGCUUCAAUCGAUGACCAGUGAGGGGGGAAAGCCACGAGGGGUGCCAGGGGUGGGCGAAUCAUGUAUGCUACAUUAUUUUUUUGCUGGAACCGACAUUUUCUUUUGCUACGAUCGUGUGACAUUUUUGCUGGUACUAGCACGCCGAGGAGAGAUGGUGAGUUUGUCGCCGUCGCAUUGUGUCCGGCGAACCAUCUCCAUCGGAGCAUGACCGUCGUGAAUUGAAGCUCUGAGUGUUCCCACCGGAGAUGCAGCCAUAGGACAAGUUGUUGCAUCCACGAUGGCGAGAAACGCAGGGGCGACGCCGGACAAGGGCGGCGACCGGCAACGAGUGCGGCAUGCAGUAACACGCGGCGGAGGAGGGAGCAGUUCCAGGUGAGGGGGUGGCGGUCGGGGGAUAGGAUGACAUCCAAGCGAUAGGGGUCAACAUACGCGCUGUGCACAAAGAGUAAGAAGAAGAUGGGGAAGUCAACAUGCAAAUCGGACGGUUGUAUCGGACGGCUGGAGUGUAUGAGGAAGCAUAUCUCCACCUGUAGGUGGCCACGGUGUUUAUAUAAAUAUGGAGAACAACCUACCAUGUCAUAUAGGUUGAUGGACUAUCACUAGGAUGCAUCCGAGUACAAACAGAUCGAGAGGAAGUUGUUAACACAAGAAUAACAGAAAGAUAUACAUGUAUUUAACCUAGACAAUAUCUCUAGGACUUCCUCUAUCCUAUGUUUACAAUCCCCUUCAAUUGAAACUCUAUGGUACUCUAUCAAGAUUAAGAUUUAAAUCAUCCAAUCUCCUUGUUGUGAGAGGUUUAGUGAAACCAUCAACUAGCCGGUCCCCUAUUGGAACAAACUGUAUAUCAAGCAGUUUCUCUGCUACUCUUUCUCCGAAAAAAUGAAAAUCAAACUCAAUUUGUUUAGUUCAUGCAUAAAAACAGGAUUAGCGGAGAGACAGGUGAUACGUCCAUUUUGCAUCAUGCUUUCAUGUUGAUAUUUAUUGCUUUUUGGGCUAUUAUUUCACUUCACGGUACAAUACUUAUGCCUUUUCUCUCUUGUUUUGCAAGGUUUACAUGAAGAGGGAGAAUGCCGGCAACUGGAAUUCUGGCCUGAAAAAGGAGUAAGUUUGAGAUGUCUAUUCUGCGCAACUCCAAAAGCCGUGAAAAACAACGUGUAUUUUUUUGGGAAUAUAUAAAAAAUACUGGGCCGAAGAAGUGCCAGAGGGGCGCCAGCAGGUGGCCACAAGCCUGCUAGGCGCGACCACCCCCUGGCCACGCCUAGGGGGCUUGUGGGCUCCCUGCUAGCCCACCGGCCCCCCUCUUUUGCUACAAGAAGGGUUUCGGUCUGGAAAAAGUUAGGAGGAGGCUUUUCGGAGGAUUCGCCGCCGCCACGAGGCGGAACUUGAGCAGAACCAAUCUAGAGCUUCGGCAGGACAAUCCUGCCAGGGAAACUUCCCUCCCGGAGGGGGAAAUCAUCGCCAUCAUCAUCACCAACACUCCUCUCAUCGGAGGGGACUCAUCACCAUCAACAUGUUCAUUAGCACCAUCUCAUCUCCAAACCCUAGUUCAUCACUUGUAACCAAUCUCCGUCUCGCGACUCCGAUUGGUACUUGUAAGGUUGCUAGUAGUGUUAAUUACUCCUUGUAGUUGAUGCUAGUUGGAUUACUUGGUGGAAGAGUUUAUGUUCAGAUCUUUGAUGAUACUCAUUACCUCUCUGGUCAUGAAUAUGAUUAUGCUUUGUGAGUAGUUACUUUUGUUCCUGAGGACACGGGAUAAGUCAUGCUAUAAGUAGUCAUGUGAAUUUGGUAUUCGUUCGGUAAUUUGAUGUGUUGUAUGUUAUUUUUCCUCUAGUGGUGNNNNNNNNNNNNNNNNNNNNNNNNNNNNNNNNNNNNNNNNNNNNNNNNNNNNNNNNNNNNNNNNNNNNNNNNNNNNNNNNNNNNNNNNNNNNNNNNNNNNNNNNNNNNNNNNNNNNNNNNNNNNNNNNNNNNNNNNNNNNNNNNNNNNNNNNNNNNNNNNNNNNNNNNNNNNNACCAUUAUUUGGGCCUAGAGGAAGGCAUUGGGAAGUAGUAAGUAGAUGAUGGGUUGCUAGAGUAACAGAAGCUUAAACCCUAGUUUAUGCGUUGCUUCGUAAGGGGCUGAUUUGGAUCCACUAGUUUAAUGCUAUGGUUAGAGUUUGUCUUAAUUCUUCUUUCAUAGUUGCGGAUGCUUGCGAGAGGGGUUAAUCAUAAGUGGGAUGCUUGUCCAAGUAAGGGCAGUACCCAAGCGCUGGUCCACCCACAUAUCAAACUAUCAAAGUAACGAACGCGAAUCAUAUGAACAUGAUGAAAACUAGCAUGACAGAAAUUCCCGUGUGUCCUCGGGAGCGUUUUUUCUCCUAUAAGACUUUGUCCAGGCUUGUCCCUUGCUACAAAAGGGAUUGGUCCACUUUGAUGCACUGUUGUUGCUUUUGUUACUUGCUACUUGCUAUGAAUCAUCUCACCACACAACCACUUGUUACCGAUAAUUUCAGUGCUGGCAGAUAUUACCUUGAUGAAAACCACUUGUCAGAUCCUUCUGCUCCUCGUUGGGUUCGACACUCUUACUUAUCGAAAGGACUACGAUUGAUACCCUAUACUUGUGGGUCNNNNNNNNNNNNNNNNNNNNNNNNNNNNNNNNNNNNNNNNNNNNNNNNNNNNNNNNNNNNNNNNNNNNNNNNNNNNNNNNNNNNNNNNNNNNNNNNNNNNNNNNNNNNNNNNNNNNNNNNNNNNNNNNNNNNNNNNNNUGGGUCAUCAAUAGGUUGCACCAAUGUUAUCACACCAAAGUUUUGCAGCUUGUGGAGCCUUAAUUCCAAGUUCAUGAAGCAAAGCUUGGAUCCACAUUAUCUUAGUUGUAGCAUUUGUUACAGCUUUAUACUCAGCCUCAGUACUGAACUUUGAGACAGUAGCCUGUUUUCUUGCGCUCCAUGACACAAGAUUUGUUCCGAGAAACACAACAAAACCACCUAUGGAUCUUCUAUCAUCGGCACAGCCUACCUAGUGUGCAUCAGAAUAUCUAGUAACAAGCAUGGAAGGGGUCUUGACAAUCUGUAGUCCAAGUCCUUCUGUAACUUUAAAUACCUUAAUAUUGUUUUGACUGCAGUCCAAUGAGUUGUAGUGGGUGCAUGUAGAUAUUGACAUACUUUAUUCAUAGAAUAGGAAAAGUCACGACGAGUGAGAGUUAAGUAUUACAAUGCACCUACAACACUUCUAUAGUUUGCUGCAUCAUCACGACCAAGAGUUUCUCCACUGUCAAAAGUAAGUUUUUCUGAAGUUCAAAGUGGUGUACUCACAGGCUUGCAAUGUUCCAAACCUACUCUUCUGAGUAUGUCAGUGGUAUAUUUUUGUUGUGUAAGAAGUAUACCAUCUGUUACCUGCUUGACUUCAAUACCAAGGAAGUAGUGUAGAUCUUCCAAAUCUUUUAGAGCAAACUCCAACUUCAAAUCUGUAAGCAAACAUGUAGUAGCAUCUGGAUUGGAACUGACAAUAAUUAUAUCAUCAACAUAUACUAGCACGAACAUAGAGAUAUUCCCUUUACUAUAGAUGAACCAAGAGAUAUUUGCCUUGGAUGAUGUGAACCCAAGUUAUUGCAACUUUGUGCUCAAUCCUGAGUACCAUGCUCUUGGGGCCUCUUUCAAACCAUACAAAGAUUUCUCUAAUUUACAGACAAAACCUGGUGUGCUUGUAUUCUCAUAUCCUAGUGGUUGCUGCAUGAACACUUCUUCCUCGAGAACACCAUGAAUAAAUGUGUUCCUAACAUCUAGUUGACGAAGACUCCAUCCUCUGGAAACAACAAUUAACAACACAAGACUGAUAGUAGCUGAUUUUACAACAGGACUAAAGGUAUCCUCAUAAUCAAUACCAAACAUUUUCUUAAAUCCUUUUGCAACUAAUCUAGCUUUGUAUCCGUCUAUACUUCCAUCUGACUUCCUUUUGAUCUUACAAACCCAUUUACAGUCAAUCACAUUUUUACCUCUUCCUGGUGGUACUAUAUGCCAAGUUUAUUUUUCAUGAGUGCAUGGGAUUCAUCAUCCAUAGCCUUUUCCCAUUCCUCAUGAGCAAGGGCAUCACUCAAAUUAAUAAGUUCACCAGUACUAGUAAUAAAUACACACUUUACUAUAUCAUACCUGAUCGUACCAUCAGUGUAUUCUUUGGAUUUGGAGACCCUAGUUUUUGGCCUUGUGAUACAUGGAGGAAUUGUUGGUAUGGAAAUAGGUGUCGCGGAAAUUUCUUGUGUAGAGCAUCCCACAUGGAGUUCUCACAUAGAGGAUCUUGGAGCACCUGUAGGUGACAAAGCCUGAUCCAAGGGCCGAAUCCGCCUCUGAAGCGUGCCUCCGCUGGAAUCACAUCGUGUGGCACUGUCAGGCAUCUCAUGCACAGGCGUGCGCGGCGGUGAAUCAUUGGUGGGACCCCAACCGAUCUCCAUGUCGCCUUGAGAGAUAGAUAGAAUAGGUGUCUAGAGGGGGUGAAUAGACUACUUGCAUAAAUUAAAAUCCUAUCCUUUUCCCAACUUAAUGGUUGACAGAUUUUAGCAAUUCUAACAAGUCUAGUGCACCCUACACAUGCUAGUCAACAGAUAUGACAUCGGAAAGUAAAGACUUUGCACAUGUAGUAAGGAGUAGACUUUAGGAAGAACAAUUGCGAAGAAGUUGACACCGUGAUUUUAGCAUGGUUCUGAUAGAUGGCGCUAUCGUAGGUCCAUGUUAGUGGAGACUUCAACCCACGAAGGGUAAUGGCUGCGAGAGUCCACGGAGGGCUCCACCUACAAGGGGUCCACGAAGAAGCGUCCUUGUCUAUUCCACCACGGCUUCCGUCCACAUAGGACAAGCCACACUCAUGGUAGAUCUUCAAGGAAUAGGCGAUUUCCUUGCCCUUACAAACUUCUUGGUUCAACUCCACAACACUAAGUAGGAGGCUUCCAAGCGACACCUAACCAAUCUAGGAGGCACCACCCUCCAAAAGGUAAUAGGUGUGGUAGAACGAUGAACUCCUUGCUCUUGUGCUUAUAAAGAUAGUCUCCUCAACACUCAAUCACUCUCUUUCAGAUUUGGCAUGGGUAGGAGAGAAUGAUCUUGUGUAAAGCAACUUGGGGAGGCUAGAAAUAAAGGUUCAAAUGGUUGGAAUGGAAUCUCUUGAUCUCAACACAUGAGUAGGUGGCUCUCUCUCAGAAAAAUGGAUCUGGCAAGUGUAAGUGUGCUCUGAGUGCUUCAUCUACGAGUGAGAGGUAGGAGGAGGGGUAUAUAUAGGCAACAUCCAAAAUCCAACCGUUACACCAUAAUUAACCAACUCGGUGACACCGAAGUUACAAACUCGAUGGUACCGACUUGCUCAAAAGGUAGCAACUUUUGAAUCUCGGUGGAACUGAUAUAUGAAUAUCGGUGGUACCAAUAUUGUUUCUUAGGCAGGAUUGCCAAACUCAGUGAGACCGAUCCUUUGAACUCAGUGGCACCAAUUCUUGAAAACGGAUAACCAGAGAGUUGGUCCAAAACUCGGUGAAACCAAUUCUCAAACUUGGUGGUACCGAUUAUUUAAAAUGGCUAACCCAAAAGUUGGUCAAAUCUCGGUGAGACCAAUUCUCAAAACUCGGUGGUACCGAUUCUUGAAAAUGGCUAACCAGAAAGUUGGUCACUAAUUUCGGUGGCAUCGAAUGGAAUGUUGGUGGUACCGAGAUGGUGGGGUUUGGCAUAGGAUUUGUCUAAGUGUAAGAUCGGUAGCGACGAAUGGAAAUUGUUGGUGGCACCAGUUUUUCUUACGUGGCUUGGGAUACAUAUGUUUUGUCGGAGAAUGGUUGAGUAUUUUUGGUGGCUAUCUCUAAGAACUUGAGCAACCAGUUCAUCAUAAUACCUCAUCCCCUUUUAAUAGUAUUUGCUUUCCUAUGGACUCAAAAUGAUUUCUCACAAAGUGUAAAAUGAAUAGUCUUCUUGGUUGAAGCUUUAUCCAAUCCUAUUCCUUCUUUCAUCAAGGGGCUUCUCCACACAAUCCUAUAGCCCAAGCUGUGUGUGGACUAUACCUGAAAUAUACUAGGUAAAAGUGUUAGUCAAAGAGAAAAUGUAUGUUGUCAUGAAUUAUCAAAACCACCAAGGGAGCAUAUGUGCUUUCAAUCUCCCCCUUUUUGGUAAUUGAUGACAACAUACAAACAAAGCUUCAAACAAAGAGAGGAAUUAGAAUAUGACAACUUUGAAAGAUACAUGACUAGUACAAGCUCCCCCUAAAUGUGUGGAAUCCCUUUUUAAAGGAUAGUUGCUUUGGACUGCAUGGGCACACACAUGGUAUAAGGACAAGACAAGUCAUAUAGAUCUUGGCUAUAUGCAUCAAACAUAUGUGAAUGAAGAGCUUCCAUGUUCAUGACUCACUCUUGCAAACAAUAUGUGCAAGAGACAAGAUAUCAUCAUGAAUAAGGAUAUGAUGGAUAUACUUACCUUGAGGUUCUUGAGCAUCUUAGGAGUAGGGGUACACUUGGGAAAACAAACGUUAUAUAACACAAGAGUACUUUAUUGUAAAUAUGCAAAGAUCUUCAAAAGUACCAAGAUAUUGAAGACAUAUUGAAAAUAGGAUUUGAUGAUAGAUAUGUCUCCAAGAUAAUUUAGAACUUUCUCCCCUAAGGAUGAAUAUGUAAGAGUUUCCUCUCCCCUUGAAUCAUAGCAUGUAGAUAUUGGGAGUAGGUAGGGUAAGACAAGUUCAAUCAAAAGAUAGUAAAGUAAUGAUAAAUGUGAAACAAUAAUUUUAUGGUUUGAUACAUCUCCCCUUAGACAGAUCUCCCCUUAGGUAGACCUUCAUUUAGGAACAUAUACCCCCCUAUUGAUAUUUCUCCCCCUUUUGUGUAAGCUCAUUGGUGACAUUUCUCCCCCUUUAUAUAGGUUCAUUGGAAGCUUUGAUAUCUCCCCUUUGGCAUUAAUUGCCAAAAAGGUCACAGGGUAAGGGCUCAUUGAGAGAAAUGGAUCCUUGAUACUUCUCUCUUGGAUAAGGGUUCCUUGAAUUUAUAUUUUCUCUCCCCUUAAAAAUUGAUAAGAGUUCAUAGAAAUUUCUCCCCCUUAGAUAGUAGGUAAGGGUUCAUUGUAUGUUCUCCCCUUUGAUAUGGAUAAGGCUUCCUAGAAAGAUCGUCCCGUAUGUUUGGUAUCCUGGAUGUUUCUUCCUCUUAUAUUGUGGGAUCACUUAGGGUUUCCCCCUAGAAAAUUAUGAUUAAACUAUUUUUGUUUCCUAGAAUUUUCAAUAAGAUCUUAGGAGGAAAUGAAACUUGGAAUCAUUGAAAAUAUUUCUCCCCCUAAGGCAAAAGUCUAAAAUAUCAAAAAUUCAAAGGCAGUGAUAAUAUCGGGGUCACCGAGGCAAUAUGGUUCGAUAUAACCGAGAAUGAAAAUCAGGCCUCUGGGAGAUAUCGGUUGGACCAAGUUUCCCAGAUCGGUGAAACCGAGUUCCGUUGAAAAUCAACUCCAUAACUUAAAGUAGGCACAUAGUAAUCUAAAGAUUGAAAAAAAGAGAAAACAAAUUUUAUCAUUUUAUUAUAUUUGAGAUAUACAUACAUAUAGAUGAGAGCUGAAUGGUUCCAAGAAAGUAUGCAAUGAAAAAUGUGAACCAUACAAGAAUCUCCAUCUAGAUGUGGGGUGGUGACUAGGUCACCUAUAGUAGAGUAUUUGACUUGAGGAGUCAAGCCAGAAUGCUUGAUAUUAGGUCAUACUCAUCGUUAAGCACAAAAAUGGGUUUACCAUUUUUCAAUUAAGAUUUUUAAUGUAUUCAUAAUACUUGAGUUGCUUUAUCUCAUGACUUGAUGUAAAGCUUUAUCAAGAAUAUGAGCACAUACCUUCGAAUGAUGUUGAUGAUGUGGCAUGUAGGUGAACUUGUUGUGGAUGCUCAACGUUGAUGAAUAUCAAUUGCAAGCUAUCAAUAUCGUUUUGGUUCACUUUUCACCUACAAUUGUUAGUCAUGCAAGGAAGAACAUAAUAUAUCCAAAUGACAUGAGUGAAUUUCAUUAUCAUAUAAUUUUCAAGGAUAUGAUUUUGUUGUCUUCUUCCUCCAUCUCCGAAGAAGGGGUUGUUGAUACUUGGUCAUGUGAAGAUUGCUUUUGAUGUGAGUUGAUGGCAAUCUUGUGGAUUGUAUUUCUUCCAAGUACCUACAAAAGGUUAGAUGCAAUACAAGGGAGCAUAGUUUCCAAGAUAUAAGAUAGUGUCAUAUCAAUAGCAUCAAGGAAUAUACAAUCAACCUCAUGCCCUUGCAUGCAUCCGAGUGAGUCUAGCUCAAGUUUGAAGCAUCAAUGAUGUUCAACUCACUCCUCAAAUGACAAAAUACUUUCUCAUCAAGUGGUUUGGUAAAUAUAUCAGCUAAUUGUUUUUGGUACGAACAUGCUUAAGAUCUAUAUCUCCUUUACCAACAUCAUCACGAAUGAAAUGAUGUCGCACUUGAAUAUUUUUUGUUCGAGAAUGUUGCAUAGGAUUAUAGGCAAUUUUAAUAGCACUUUCAUUGUCACACAACAAUGGAACAUUUUUAACAUGAAUGUCAUAAUCCUUAAGAGUUUGAGUCAUCCAUAGUAAUUGCGCAUAACAUGAUCCGGCGGCUAUAUAUUCAGCUUCGGCAAUAGAUAAAGAUACCGAGUUUUGUUUCUUGGAUGACCAAGACACAAGAGAUCUCCCAAGAAUUUGACAUGUACCCGAGGUGGAUUUUCUAUCAACCUUGUCUCCGACAUAGUCCAAAUCGGAAUAUCCAACAAGAUUAAAAGAAGAUUCCUUGGGAUACCAUAUGCCAAAGUUUGGUGUAUGUAUUAGGUAUCUCACGACUCUUUUAACAGCCAAUAGAUGACACUCUUUAGGUGUCGCUUGGUAUCGGGCACACAUGCAAACACUCAACAUAAUGUCAUGACUGGAGGCACAUAGAUAUAGCAAUGAACCAAUCAUUGAUCGUUAAACUCUUUGAUCAACUGGUUUGUCCUCCUUAGUGAGGUUAAUAUGUCUGCUCGUAGGCAUGGGGGUUCUCAUACCUUUGCACUCUCGCAUAUUGAACUUCCUGAUGAAGUCCUUGGUGUACUUGGUUUGGGAGAUAAAUGUACCUUCUCUCGAUUGUUUGAUUUGCAAUCCAAGGAAGAAUUUCAGCUCGCACAUCAUUGACAUCUCAUAUUUCUCUCACAUCAACUUUCCAAAUUUCUCACUAAAUGGGGGUUAGUAGAACCAAAGAUAAUAUCAUCCACAUAUAUUUGUCACACAAAUAGUUCUCCAUUAACUCUUUUAGUGAAUAUGGUUGCAUCAAUUUUACCAAAUUCAAAACCCUUUUCAAUGGGAAACUUCGUUAGGCAUUUGUACCAAGCUCUAGGGGCUUGUUUAAGACCAUAUAAAGCUUUACGAAGUUUAUAAAUAUGAUUAGGUUUCUUAGGGUUCACAAAUCUGGGAGGUUGUUUGUCAUAAACCUCCUCCUCAAUUUCACAAUUUACAAAAACACUUUUGAUAUCCAUUUGGUAAAGAGUAAUAUCAUGGUGAUUGGCAUAAGCAAGAAGAAUGUGAAUGGCUUCAAGUCUAGCAACGGGGGCAUAAGUCUCACCACAGUCCAUACCUUCGACCUGCGUGUAUCCUUGGGCUACAAGACGUGCCUUGUUGCGUACAACUUGUCCAUCUUCAUCUUGCUUGUUCUGAAACACCCAUCUUAUACCAAUGAUGUUUUGCUCGCCUUCGAGCUUUUCAACAAGUGUCCACACUUCGGGCUUCGAGAUCCGCCACAGAAUCCUUCCAGGAUCGCGUGCUAUCCCAUUUGUCUUCAUCUCCACACAUAAAAUGAUGUCAUGUUUUCUGCACAAAAUUCAGCAAAAUCACAAUUUUCUUGUUGCUGCAAAUUAGUCACAUGAUCAGUCUCACUUAAUUCACCCCCAUGAGUUAGGCAUGUAUUCUCGAAGGAGGGCUAUUUCAGCAUGAAUAAGGGAGCCUGCAUUGGGAUGAAGUUUUGCAAAGGGAAAAAUAGUUUCAUCAAAAACAACAUCACAAGAAAUAUAGAUACGUCUGGUUGCAACCUCAAGGCAUUUGUAACCUUUGUGAAGAUUGCUAUAACCAAUGAAGACACAUUGAGUAGAAAGAAACACAAGUUUGUGAUGAUUGUAGGGAUGCAAGUUGGGGUAACAUGCACACCCAUUUUUGAGAGAAUUAUAGUCUGGUAUAAUGAAAAAAAUCUAGAGUAGAAUUUCCAAUGACUUUGCUAGGCAAGCGAUUAAUGAGAUAGGUGGCAGCAAUGAAAGCCUCAUCCCAAUAUUUUGAAGGCAUGGAUUCAUAAGUGAGUAAGAAGAGACCAAAUUCAACAAUGUGACAAUGCUUACGUUAGAUCCAUUUCAUUGGAGAGCAUGUGGACAAGAUACACGAUGUUCUAUGCCUAUUUCUCAAAAGAAAGAGUUGAGUUUAUCAUACUCCCCUCCCUAGUCACUUUGGACUGUGAUAAUUUUUCUAUCAAAGUGCCUCUCAACAAGUUUCUGAAAUUCUUGGAAAAUAGAGUAAACUUUAAAUUUAAACAUGAGCAAGUAGAUCCAAGUGAAUUUACUAUAAUCAUCAAUGAAACUAACAUAAUAUCCUUUCAUCCAGAAGAAUCUCUUGCAUGACCUCAUACAUCAAUGAAAAUAAGUUCUAAAGGAGCUUGAGACACACUAGUAGACUUGGGAUAAGUAAGUUGAUGACUCUUGGCACAUUGACAAGCAUCACAAAUAGACUCUUUAUUUUGACUAUGUGACAAUAAAAUAUUGCCUUUAUUCACUACUUGCUUAACUAUGAUUGAUGACGGGUGUCAUAAUCUUUGAUGCCAUCUUGCCAAGGAGGGCUUGACGACGGAGUAGACUUGAAAACAACGACGACUAAGAGCUCAGGAUGUGAUGGGGUAGAUGCCUCCAAUGCAUCUACCGUGGUAGAUAAGUUCCCUUGUUGCUCGAUCCUUCAUAAAAAAAUUGGAUGAGUUUCAAAGAAAACAUUGUUAUCAUUGGUUAGGGGAGACAUAGAUGCAAGGUUUUUUAUCAUCUUGUGGGACAUGCAAGACAUCUUUUAAGAGAAGCUCACGUUUCAAGUAGGGGAAUUAAUUGAAGAUUGACCUAUGUGAUGGAUUUGCACACCUUCACCGAUUGCAGUGUGAACUUGAUCGUUGCCAAGGUAUUUCUCAUGGAGGGCUAGAUUCUCAAGCUCGCUGGUGACAUGGUAUGUGGCUCUGGAGUCAACAUACCAGACUGUUCCAUCAUCCCCUCCUUUCUCCCGGAUAGCAAUUGCAACAUGGAGUGCAUCAGGGGUGUAGCUUUCAUCAUAUCGGUGCCAUCAUUCAAAGACUUCAUGGCCCAAUUUCUUGAACAAGUCACAGUGGGUCCUCCUACUGGAAGAGUGGGAUGCACCUCAUUGUAGCCGCCUCCGCCACGAGAACGAGGGUUCUGGUUUCCUUUUUUGCCGCGCCCACACCCGGUAUUGCCGUGGCCGCAACCAUGCUCCUAGUAACCGUGCCCAUGACCUCCUUCCCCACGCCCGCAAGAGAUCGCGUUGACACAGGACUCGUGAGCAUGGAGGUUGUGAAGGAUAUUGAUCCAAGCAUCAAAGGAGAGGAGCUAGUUGUACAACUCGGGCACCAUGACAGGUUCCACACGAGCGGCGAGAGCGAAGACGACCGGGUUGUAGUCGAGGUCAAGUCCCUCAAGGAUGUGAUAUGCCAUCUUAGCCGCAGAGAGAGGAGAGCGUGCACAUACGAUCUCCUCGUUGAGUGAUUUUGUUGGAGAACGUUGCAUGUGAAACAAAAAAUUUCCUACGCACACGAAGACCUAUCAUGGUGAUGUAUAUCCACGAGAGGAGAUUACAUCUACGUACCCUUGUACAUUGCUAAGCGGGAAGCGUUAAGAAACGUGGUUGAUGUAGUGGUAUAGCUUUGUGAUUCAAAUCACCGUCGUCCCACGAUCCGUUCCGAUCUAGCACCAAACGGACGACACCUCCGCGUUCAGCACACGUACAGCUAAAUGACGAUCUCGGCCUUCUUGAUCCAGCAAGAGAGACAGAGAAGUAGAUGAGUUCUCCGGCAACGUGAUGACGCUCCGGUGGUGGUGAUGAUCUACUCCUGCAGGGCUCCACCCGAGCUCCGCAGAAAUCUGAUCUAGAGGUAAAACUACGUGGUAUAGGUUUGAGUUUCACGUGGCAAAGUUGUGUCUCAAAAGCCCUAAAACCACCAGUAUAUAUAGGAGGAGGGGAGGGGCUAGCCUUGGGGCUCAAGGACCCCAAGGGUGUGCCGACCGAAGGGAGAGGAGGACUCCUUCUCCAAUUCGGCUUGGGGAAGGAGGAGUCCUCCUCUUCCUUCCCACCUCCCUCUUUCCUUUUUUCUUUCCUUUGGUGUUUUUCCACUUGUGGCGCCAUGGCCCUAUUGGGCUGGCCUCACCAUACCACUAAGGACUAGUGCAGCACCCUAGGGUCACUGGGCUCACUCCCGGGUGGGUGGGCCCCUCCCGGUGAAUACCCGGAACCCAUUCGUCACUCCGGGUACACUGCCGGUAAUGCCCGAAACUUUCCGGUGACCAAAUGAAACCAUCCUAUAUAUCAAUCUUCGUUUCCGGACCAUUCUGGAAACCCUCGUGACGUCCAUGAUCUCAUCCGGGACUCCGAACAACAUUCGGUAACCACACAUAUAACUCAACUAUACUAAAACAUCAUUGAACCUUAAGUGUGCAAACCGUGCGGGUUCGAGAACUAUGUAGACAUGACCCAAGACACUCCUCGGUCAAUAUCCAAUAGCGGGACCUAGAUGCCCAUAUUGGAUCCUACAUAUUAUCCGAAGAUCUUAUCAGUUGAACCUCAGUGCCAAGGAAUCAUAUAAUCCCGUAUGUCAUUCCCUUUGUCCUUCGGUAUGUUACUUGCCCGAGAUUCGAUCGUCGGUAUCCGUAUACCUAUUUCAAUCUCGUUACUGGCAAGUCUCUUUACUCAUUCCGUAAUACAAGAUCCCGUGACUUACACUUAGUCACAUUGCUUGCAAGGCUUAUUUGUGAUGUUGUAUUACCAAGUGGGCCCCGAGAUACCUCUCCGUCACACGGAUUGACAAAUCCCAGUCUUGAUCCAUACUAACUCAAUGGACACCUUCGGAGAUACCUGUAGAGCACCUUUAUAGUCACCCAGUUACGUUGCGACAUUUGAUACACACAAGGUAUUCCUCCGGUGUCAGUGAGUUGUAUGAUCUCAUGGUCAUAGGAAUAAAUACUUGACAUGCAGAAAAUAAUAGCAGCAAAAUGACACGAUCACAUGCUACGUUUAUAGUUUGGGUCUAGUCCAUCACAUGAUUGUCCUAAUGAUGUGAUCCGGUUUAUCAAGUGACAACACUUGCAUAUAGUCAGAAAACCUUGACUAUCCUUGAUCAACUGGCUAGCCAACUAGAGGCUUGCUAGAGACAUUGUUUUGUUUAUGUAUCCACACAUGUAUCUACGUUUUCAUUCAAUACAAUUAUAGCAUGGAUAAUAAAGGAUUAUCUUGAAAUAGGAAAUAUAAUAAUAACUAUUUUACCAUUGCCUCUAGGGCAUAUUUCCAAUAGUCUCCCACUUGCACUAGAGUCAAUAAUCUAGUCCACACAUUGUCAUGCGAUUUACAUUGUAAUAAAUCUAACACCCAUACAGUUCUGGUGUUGAUCAUGUUUUGCCUGUGGAAUAGUUUUAGUCAGGGGAUCUGCUACAUUCAGAUCCGUGUGCACUUUGCAAAUAUUUACGUCCUCUCCUUCGAUGUAGUCGCGGAUGAGGUUGAUGCGUCAUUUGAUGUGCCUGGUCUUCUUGUGAAACCUUGGUUCCUUUGCUAAAGCAAUGGCACUAGUGUUGUCACAGAACAGAGUUAUUGGAUUUAGUGCACUCGGCACAACUCCAAGAUCCGUCAUGAACUGCUUCAUCCAGACACCCUCCUUAGUUGCCUCCGAGGCAACCAUGUACUCCGCUUCACAUGUAGAAUCUGCUACGAUGCUUUGCUUGGAACUACACCAGCUUAUCGCACCCCCAUUAAGAAUAAAUACGUAUCCGGUUUGAGACUUAGAGUCAUCUGGAUCAGUGUCAAAGCUUGCCUCGACGUAACCCUUUACGAUGAGCUCUUCGUCACCUCCAUAAACGAGAAACAUUUCCUUAGUCCCUUUCACGUACUUUAGAAUAUUCUUGACCGCCAUCCAGUGAUCCACUCCUGGAUUACUUUGAAACCUACCUGCCAUACUUAUGGCCAGGACGACGUCUCGUCUAGUGCACAACAUUGCAUACAUAAUAGAACCUAUGGCUGAAGCAUAGGGGACGGAACUCAUCUGUUCUCUAUCUUCCGUAGUUGCUUGGCAGUGAGUCUUACUCAAUUUUAUACCUUGUAACACUGGCAAGAACCCCUUCUUGGACUGUUCCGUUUUGAACUUCUUCAAAACUUUAUCAAGGUAUGUGCUUUGUGAAAGUCCUAUCACACGUCUCGAUCUAUCCCUAUAGAUCUUAAUGCCUAGAAUGUAAGCAGCUUCUCCUAGGUCCUUCAUAGAGAAACUUUUAUUCAAGUAAUCCUUUACGCUCUCCAAAAACUCCACGUUGUUUCCAAUCAGCAAUAUGUCAUCCACAUAUAAUAUUAGAAACGCCAUAGAGCUCCCACUCACUUUCUUGUAAAUACAAGAUUCUCCAACCACUUGUAUAAACCCAAAUGCUUUGAUCACCUCAUCAAAGCGUUUAUUCCAACUCCGAUAUGCUUGAACCAGUCCAUAAAUGGAUCGCUGGAGCUUGCAUACUUUGUUAGCAUUCUUUGGAUCGACAAAACCUUCGGGUUGCAUCAUAUACAACUCUUCCUUAAGAAAACCGUUAAGGAACGCCGUUUUGACAUCCAUCUACCAGAAAAAUGCAGCUAUUGCUAACAUGAUUCGGACAGCCUUAAGCAUCGCUACCGGUGAGAAUGUCUCAUCGUAGUCAACUCCUUGAACUUGUGAAAAACCCUUUGCCACAAGUCCAGCUUUAUAAAGGGUCACAUUACCGUCCGCGUCCGUCUUCUUCUUAAAGAUCCAUUUGUUCUGAAUAGCCUUGCGACCUUCAGGUAAUAAUUCCAAAGUCCACACUUAGUUUUCAUACAUAUAUCCUAUCUCGGACUUCAUGGCUGAUACGUCUCCAUCGUAUCUACUUCUCCAAAAUCGUUUGCCCUUGUUUUGGACUCAAAUUUGCAAGAUUUGAAUGGAACUAACCCGGACUACCGCUGUUUUCAGCAGAAUUGCCAUGGUGUUGUUUUUGCGUAGAAAUAAAAGUUCUCAGAAUGACCUGGAAAUUCAUGGGGAUUUUUUGUGGAAUAUAUGAAAAAUACUAGCGCAAGAAUCAACCGGAGGGGUGGAGAUGAGAGCCCACAAGCCCACCAGGCGCGGGCCCCCCUGGCCGCGCCUGGCAGGCUUGUGGGGCCCAUGUUGCCCCACCGCCUCCAAUCUCAUCUCUAUUUAGUCCCUUUCGUCCGGAAAAAAUCAAGAAGGAGAAGAGUUCAUCGCGUUUUACGAUACGAAGGCGCCGCCACCUCCUGUUCUUCCUCCGGAGGGCAGAUCUAGAGUCCGUUCUGGGCUCCCGAGAGGGGAGAUCGUCGCCAUCGUCAUCACCAACCUUCCUUCAUCGCCAAUUCCAUGAUGCUCUUCACCGUUCGUGAGUAAUCUCAUCGUAGGAUUGCUGGACGGUGAUGGGUUGGAUGAGAUCUAUCAUGUAAUCGAGUUAGUUUUGACGGGGAUUGGUCCCUAGUAUCCACUAUGUUCUGAGAUUGAUGUUGCUACUACUUUGCCAUGCUUAAUGCUUGUCACUACGGCCCGAGUGCCAUGAUUUCAGAUUUGAACCUAUUAUGUUGUCGCUAAUAUAUGUGUGUUCUUGAUCCUAUCUUGCAAGUUGUAGUCACCUAGUAUGUGUUAUGACCCGGCAACCCUGGAGUGACAAUAGGCGGAACCACUCCCGGAGAUGACCAUAGUAUGUGGAGUUCAUGUAUUCACCAAGUGUUGAUGCGUUGGUCCGGUUCUUUAUUAAAAGGAGAGCCUUAAUAUCCUGUAGUUUCCAUUAGGACCCCGCUGCCACGGGAGGGAUGGACAAUAGAUGGCAUGCAAGUUCUUUUCCCUAAGCACGUAUGACUACAUAUGGAAUACAUUCCUACAUUACAUUGACGAACUGGAGCUAGUUACAUAAUCAUCCAUCACCGAUCCAAUGCCUAUGAGUUUUUCCUACUGGUCCUUGCUACAUUACUUUGCCGCUACUGUUGUCACUGCUGCUACCGUUACUCUGUCGGUACUGCUGUUACUGCUGCUACUGUUACUCUGUCGCUACUACUGUCACUUUGCUGCUACUGGUUACCGCUACUACUGUUGCUAUCACACUACCUUGCUACGGAUACUUAGCUGCAGAUACUAAGUCUUCCAGGUGUGGUUGAAUUGCCAACUCAACUUCUAAUACUUGAGAAUAUUCUUUGGCUUCCCCUUAUGUCGAAUCAAUAAAUUUGGGUUGAAUACUCUACCCUCGAAAACUGUUGCGAUCCCCUAUACUUGUGGGUUAUCAAUGGCCUCCAGCCAUUUCUUGGAAUCCGGGCCCACCAUUGCUUCUUCAUAAUUCGUUGGUUCAUUGUUGUCUAACAACAUGAUUGAUAAGACAGGAUUACCGUACCACUCAGGAGUAGUACAUGAUCUUGUCGACCUGCGAGGUCCGAUAGGAACUUGAUCCGAAGUUUCAUGAUCAUCAUCAUUAACUUCCUCCUCAACCGGCAUCUUUUCGACAGAGGUUUCCCCCUGCCCUGCGCCACCAUCUAGAGGGAUUAGAGGUUCGACAACCUCAUCAAGUUCUAUCUUCCUCCCACUCACUUCUUUUGAGAGAAACUCCUUCUCAAGAAAAGCUCUGUUCUUAGCAACAAACACUUUGCCCUCGGAUUUGAGAUAGAAGGUGUACCCAACUGUCUCCUUUAGGUAACCUAUUGAUGACCCANNNNNNNNNNNNNNNNNNNNNNNNNNNNNNNNNNNNNNNNNNNNNNNNNNNNNNNNNNNNNNNNNNNNNNNNNNNNNNNNNNNNNNNNNNNNNNNNNNNNNNNNNNNNNNNNNNNNNNNNNNNNNNNNNNNNNNUGACCCACAAGUAUAGGAGAUCUAUCGUAGUCCUUUCGAUAAGUAAUAGUGUCGAACCCAACGAGGAGCAGAAGGAUCUGACAAGUGGUUUUCAUCAAGGUAAUAUCUGCAAGCACUGAAAUUAUCGGUAACAAGUAGUUGUGUGGUGAGAUGAUUCGUAGCAAGUAGCAAAUAACAAAAGUAACAAUGGUGCAGCAAAGUGGCCCAAUCCCUUUUGUAGCAAGGGACAAGCCUGGACAAAGUCUUAUAGGAGGUAAAACGCUCCCGAGGACACAUGGGAAUUUCUGUCAAGCUAGUAUUCAUCAUGUUCAUAUGAUUCGCGUUUGUUACUUUGAUAGUUUGAUAUGUGGGUGGACCGGCGCUUGGGUACUACCCUUACUUGGAAAAGCAUCCCACUUAUGAUUAACCCCUCUGGCAAGCAUCCGCAACUACGAAAGAAGAAUUAAGACAAAGUCUAACCAUAGCAUUAAACUAGUGGAUCCAAAUCAGCCCCUUACGAGCAACGCAUAAACUAGGGUUUAAGCUUCUGUCACUCUAGCAACCCAUCAUCUACUUACUACUUCCCAAUGCCUUCCUGUAGGCCCAAAUAAUGGUNNNNNNNNNNNNNNNNNNNNNNNNNNNNNNNNNNNNNNNNNNNNNNNNNNNNNNNNNNNNNNNNNNNNNNNNNNNNNNNNNNNNNNNNNNNNNNNNNNNNNNNNNNNNNNNNNNNNNNNNNNNNNNNNNNNNNNNNNNNNNNNNNNNNNNNNNNNNNNNNNNNNNNNNNNNNNNCACCACUAGAGGAAAAACAACAUACAACACAUCAAAUUACCGAACGAAUACCAAAUUUACAUGACUACUUAUAGCAUGACUUAUCCCAUGUCCUCAGGAACAAAAGUAACUACUCACAAAUAAUAAUCAUAUUCAUGACCAGAGAGCUAAUGAGUAGUAUCAAAGAUCUGAACAUAUAAUCUUCCACCAAGCAAUCCAACUAGCAUCAACUACAAAGAGUAUUUAACACUACUAGCAACCUUACAAGUACCAAUCGGAGUCGUGAGACGGAGAUUGGUUACAAGAGAUGAACUAGGGUUUGGAGAUGAGGUGGUGCUGAUGAAGAUGUUGAUGGUGAUGAGUCCCCUCCGAUGAGAGGAGUGUUGGUGAUGACGAUGGCGAUGAUUUCCCCCUCCGGGAGGGAAGUUUCCCCGGCAGGAUCGUCGUGCCGGAGCUCUAGAAUGGUUCUGCUCAAGUUCCACCUCGUGGCGGCAGCGAAUCCUCUGAAAAACCUCCUCCUACUUUUUUUCCGGACCGAAACCCUUCUUGUAGCAAAAGUGGGGGAGCCAGAGGGCCAAGUGGGAGCCCACAAGCCCCCUAGGCGCGGUGAGGGGGGCCCACGCCUAGCAGGCUUGUGGCCUCGUGCUGGCGCCCCUCUCGUACUUCUUCGGCCCAGUAUUUUUUAUAAAUCCCAGAAAAAUCCACGUUGGUUUUCACGGCUUUUGGAGUUGCGCAGAAUAGGUAUCUCAAACUUGCUCCUUUUUCAGGCCAGAAUUCCAGCUGCCGGCAUUCCCCCUCUUCAUGUAAACCUUGCAAAAUAAGAGAGAAAAGGCAUAAGUAUUGUACCGUUAAGUGUAAUAACAACCCAUAAAGCGAUAAAUAUCAACAUGAANAUAUGCCCACAUGUUUAUAGAGAGAUGUGUCGACAAAACAAGAUACGAACAUGCAUGCAUUAUGAUCAUGAUCAGAACAACAAUACCAUCAUAUCAUCUCUUAUGCUAAAGUGACAAUUCCUUCACAAAGNNNNNNNNNNNNNNNNNNNNNNNNNNNNNNNNNNNNNNNNNNNNNNNNNNNNNNNNNNNNNNNNNNNNNNNNNNNNNNNNNNNNNNNNNNNNNNNNNNNNNNNNNNNNNNNNNNNNNNNNNNNNNNNNNNNNNNNNNNNNNNNNNNNNNNNNNNNNNNNNNNNNNNNNNNNNNNNNNNNNNNNNNNNNNNNNNNNNNNNNNNNNNNNNNNNNNNNNNNNNNNNNNNNNNNNNNNNNNNNNNNNNNNNNNNNNNNNNNNNNNNNNNNNNNNNNNNNNNNNNNNNNNNNNNNNNNNNNNNNNNNNNNNNNNNNNNNNNNNNNNNNNNNNNNNNNNNNNNNNNNNNNNNNNNNNNNNNNNNNNNNNNNNNNNNNNNNNNNNNNNNNNNNNNNNNNNNNNNNNNNNNNNNNNNNNNNNNNNNNNNNNNNNNNNNNNNNNNNNNNNUUUCCCUAGCAUAUGACGUUAGCCAAGAUAAAGGUGAAAUAAGGAAUUGGUGAAGAUCACCAUGACUCUUUCAUGGGCAAAAAGUAAAGGUACAAGAUAGGCCCUUCGUAGAGGGAAGCAGAGGUUUUCAUGCGCUUUUGAGGUUUGGAUGUGUGUCCUCUUAGUGUGGAGGAACGUCACUUUAUAUUGCCUCCUAUGAUAAAGAACUUUAUUAUGCAGUCUGUCGCUUUUAUGUCUUCCUCAUCACAGGUUCGUACAAAGCUUAUUUUCCACACACUAAUAGAUCAUACAUAUUAGGGAGCCAUUUUUAUUGCUUCCACCGAUGACAACUUACUUGAGGGAUCUUAUUCAAUCCAUAGGUAGGUAUGGUGGACUCUCAUGGCAAAACUGGGCUGAAGGUUUAAGGAUGCACAAGUAGUAUCUCUACUUAGUGCGGAAGUUUUGGCUAAUAUAAGGUGGAAGCAAUUGUCACAUGCUAAGGGAUCUCUAGUCAUAUAACAUUGUUCGGAACCAAGCAAACACAAUUCAUUAUUUUGUCUUCCUUGUCCAACAUCUACUUCUAAGCAUGUAAUAGUUUAGUGAGUGUUCACAAUCAUAGAUGGUGUCAAAGAUGAUAUAUUUAUAUGUGAACCUCUCCUUCCUUAUCACUUCCUAUUAAUUGCAACAAUGACCAAGGUCUACGUUUGUCUACCCUCAACAAGUUUCAAUCAUCAUUCCUUUUAUUUGUGAAGCCAUCACUUCCCAUAAGAUCAUUACAUGAUCUUUCAUGCUUUUGUUCUUUUCUCAUUCUUUUGAUCAUGGCAUGAGGCAAGGACCUUAACUAAGACACUCUUUAUUAUAUGGCUCACGAGCUCGAAUACAUCGGGGGUGAAACAAAGCAAAACUCAAGCCUAAAACACUAAUAACUUUAAUCUACUAGAGAAAGAGAAAGAGAAAACUGAAAAGAAACAAACUAAAACAAAGGUAAAGGCAAAAGAUGUGAUGGUGAUACGAUACCGGGGCAACUCCCCCAAGCUUGGCACAAGCCAAGGGGAUUGCCCAUACCCAUGCUUAGUUGUCUUCCUUUGGAGGUGAUGGUGGUGUGGUUGUUGCAGAGGUCUUGAACUUGUUUAAUUUCCACUUGAGCAUAAAAUUCUGCUCCCUCAGAUCAUCAUUUUCCUCUUCAAGCCACAACACCCUUUGGCAUAAUUCCUUCUUACUCUCCUGCAAGAAUCGAGAAGGGAUAAACUAAGUCUUAGGCUUCUUCCUUGAGUCAGGGAGGUUCGACUUCUUGAACUCCACAUGCGUGUGUCCAAGUUGAGGUAGAGGAGCCUCCUCCUCGUUGGAACUUGUUUGUUCCUUCCCCUUGGGAUCAUAAUCUUCUUCCUCAUCAGUGGUCCAGCCAUAAGGAUCCAAGUCCCCAUAGACCUUGGGGUUAGCAAGGUAAUAGGCCACAUAGCUCUCCCCCUCUGAAUCUUGAGAAGACAUCUUGCCCUAAAUCUGUGGCAGAAAACAGGCUCGAAACGAAAACAAAGGAAAUUCGCGUGAUACAAGGGUCAGACCUUACGGGAGAAUAUAUAAUGAUUUUUUAGACCAGAAGGAGUACUCCGCAAGAAAACGGAGUCCGAGAGGCACACGAGGUGGCCACAAGCCCCCCAGGCGCGGCCACGGGAGUGGCCCGCGCCUGGCAGGCUUGUCGCCUCCUCGUGCGCUUUCCGGACUGCUUAAAUUUUUUCUAUUUUUCUAAAUAUUCCAAAACGGAGAAAAAUUCCUAUUGGAAAAGUUUUGGGGUCUGUUUACUUACCGAAUCACAUACCUCUUCGUUUUCGAAGACUGAAACAGGCUGAUAAAUAUCCCUUAGGUAUUCCUCCGGAGUUAUGGUAUUGAUAAUAUUGCUUUCAACAUUUAUGGCAGUACCAAAGAUAUAAUGCUUGAUUCUCUGCCCAUUUACCACUCUCGGAAAAUUACCUUCCGUGUUGUUGAUCUUGAUAGCACCGGAACGAUAUACUUCCUCAACAAUAUAGGGACCUUCCCAUUUAGAGAGAAGCUUGCCUGCAAAAAAUCUUAAACUAGAAUUAUAUAGCAAGACAUAAUCACCUACAUUGAACUCAUGCUUUUGUAUGCUUUUAUCAUGCCACCUCUUAAUCUUUUCUUUGAACAACUUGGCAUUUUCAUAUAACUGAUUUCUCCACUCAUCAAGCGAGCUAAUAUCAAAUAACCUCUGCUCACCAGCAAGUUUGAAAUCAAAGUUGAAUUCUUUGAUUGCCCAAUAAGCCUUAUACUCUAGCUCAAGAGGUAAAUGACAUGCUUUACCGUACACCAUUUUGUACGGAGACAUGCCCAUGGGAUUCUUAUAGGCAGUUCUAUAAGCCCACAGUGCAUCAUCGAGCUUCUUAGACCAAUUCUUUCUAGACCUGUUGACAAUCUUUUGCAGAAUCAGUUUAAUCUCUCUUUUGCUUAGCUCUACUUGACCAUUGGACUGAGGGUGACAGGGAGACGCAAUUCUAUGGUUGACAUCGUACUUAGCAAGCGUUUUACAGAAAGCACCAUGAAUGAAAUGUGAACCACCGCCGGUCAUUAGAUAUCUAGGGACUCCAAAUCUAGGGAAAAUAACUUCUUUAAGCAUCCUGAUAGAAGUGUUGUGAUCAACACUACUGGUUGGGAUAGCUUCUACCCACUUAGUAAAGUAAUCAACAACAACAACUAGGAUAUGAGUAUACCCGUCGGAUUUUGGAAAAGGUCCCAUAUAAUCAAAGCCCCAAACAUCAAAUGGUUCAAUGACAAGUGAAUAAUUCAUAGGAAUUUCCUGACGUUUACCAAUAUUACCUAUUCUUUGACAUUCGUCACAAGACAAGACAAACUUACGAGCAUCCUUGAAGAGAGUGGGCCAAUAGAAACCUGAUUGCAAUACCUUGUGUGCAGUUCUAUCUCCCGCAUGGUGUCCUCCGUAGGCCUCGGAGUGACACUCUUGUAGGAUCUGUCCCUGUUCAUGUUCAGGUACACAGCGUCUAAUAACACCAUCUACUCCUUCCUUAUAAAGGUGAGGAUCAACCCAGAAGUAAUGUCUUAAGUCAAAGAAGAAUUUCUUCUUUUGCUGGUAUGUGAAACUAGGUGGUAUAUAUUUGGCAACGAUGUAGUUUGCAUAAUCAGCAUACCACAGUGCACUACGUGAAGUAUUGAUGACAUUCAAUUGCUCAUCAGGAAAGCUAUCAUCAAUAGGUUGUGGGUCAUCAAGAACAUUCUCCAACCUAGACAAGUUAUCUGCUAUGGGGUUAUCAGCACCCUUCGUGUUGACAACAUGUAAAUCAAAUUCUUGUAGCAAGAGAACCCAUCUGAUAAGUCUAGGUUUAGCGUCUUUCUUCUUCAUGAGGUACUUAAUAGCAGCAUGAUCAGUGUGAAUAGUGACUUUGGAAUCAACUAUGUAAGACCUGAACUUUUCACAUGCAAACACGACUGCUAAAAAUUCCUUUUCUGUAGUAGCAUAGUUUCUUUGGGCAUUGUCUAGAGUUUUACUAGCAUAGUAAAUAACAUUCAACUUCUUAUUAACUCUUUGCGCUAGGACAGCACCAACAACAUAAUCACUAGCAUCACACAUGAUUUCAAAAGGUAAGUUCCAAUCAGGUGGUUGAACAAUAGGCGUAGUUAUCAAGGCAUUCUUAAGUAUCUCGAAGGCUUCCUCACAAUCAUCGUCAAAGACAAAAGGAAUAUCCUUUUGAAAGAGAUUGGUAAGAGGCCUAGAAAUCUUAGAGAAGUCUUUAAUGAACCUUCUAUAGAAACCAGCAUGACCAAGGAAACUUCUUAUACCUUUGAUAUCUGUGGGGCAUGGCAUUUUCUCGAUUGCAUCAACCUUAGCCUUAUCAACUUCAAUACCUCUUUCAGAAAUUUUAUGUCCUAAGACGAUGCCUUCAUUAACCAUAAAGUGGCACUUCUCCCAAUUCAAGACAAGAUUGGUAUCUUUACAUCUCUGCAAGACUCGAUCAAAGUUGCUGAGGCAAUCAUCAAAAUAAGACCCAUAAACGGAGAAGUCGUCCAUGAAAACCUCGACAAUCUUUUCACAAAAGUCAGAGAAUAUAGCCAUCAUACAUCUUUGAAAGGUGGCAGGUGCAUUACAUAAGCCAAAAGGCAUACGUCUAUAAGCAAAGGUACCGAAAGGGCAUGUGAAAGUGGUUUUCUCCUGAUCAGAUUGUGCAACAGGUAUUUGGGAGAAACGAGAAUAACCGUCUAGAAAGAAGAAGUGUGUGUGUUUGGAUAAUCUUUCUAUCAUUUGGUCGAUAAAAGGUAAACGAUAAUGAUCUUUCCUAGUGGCUUUAUUAAUUUCCUAAAGUCGGUCACCAUCCUAUAGCCAGAACUAAUCCUUUGUGGGAUCAAUUCAUCCUUAUCAUUAGGGACAACGGUAAUACCUCCCUUCUUAGGGACGCAAUGCACCAGACUCACCCAAUCACUAUGAGCAACAUGAUAGAUAAUACCUGCUUCUAGGAGCUUUAGUAUUUCUUUUCUUACUACCUCUUUCAUCUUAGGAUUGAAUAUCCUUUGAUGAUCAGCAACUGGUUUGGAAUCAGGAUCGGUUUUAAUCUUGUGCUGGCAUAGAGUGGGACUAAUGCCCUUAAGAUCAUCAAGAGUAUAUCCAACAGCAGCACGGUGCUUCCUCAGAGUUUUUAGUAACUUAUUUUUUCAUGCUCUGAGAGGCUAGCACUAAUAAUAACAUGAUAUAUCUCUUUUUCAUCAAGAUAAGCAUACUUAAGAGUAUCGGGCAACUUUUUAAGCUCGAACACAGGAUCACCCUUUGGUGGGGGUGGAUCCCCAAGCAGUUCAACAGGCAAAUUAUUCUUAAGGAUAGGAUAUUGUUUUAAGACAACUCUAUCUAUCUCAUCCCUUUCAUCCAUAUGCAUAUCAUUUUCAUGCUCAAGCAAGUAUUGCUCUAAGGGAUCAGUAGGAGGGACGGCAAUAGAAGCUAAGGCAAUAGUUUCAUCCUUACUAGGCGACUCUUUUUCAUGAGGUUGUCUACUAAACUUGGAGAAAUUGAACUCAUGUGACACGCCUUCAAAGCCAACAGUGUCAGUUUGCUUCUCACAGUCAAUAUGAUCAUUGACGGUAUUAAGGAAGGGUCUGCCGAAUAUGAUGGGAGAAAAGCUAUCUUGGAUGGUAGCAAGAACGAGGAAAACAGCAGGAUACUUUGUUUUACCACACAAGAAUUCAACAUCCCUAACAAUUCCCACAGGGCAGAUAGUAUCUCUAUUGGCAAGCUGAAUAGUGACAUCAAUAGGUUCUAUCUCAACAGGUGCAAUCUCGUCUUUGAUUUCAUCAUAUAAGGAUUGACGUAUUGCACUAACACUAGCACCCACGUCACAUAAACCAUGAUAACAAUGAUCUCCUAUCUUAACAGAAACAACAGGCGGGCCAACAACAGGCCUAUGUUUGUCUCUAGCGUGUGGUUUAGCAAUUCUAGCAGCAUCUUCACAGAAGUGAAUAUCAUGGCCAUCAACAUUGUCGGACAGGAGAUCUUUGAUAAUAGCAAUGCUAGGUUCAACUCUAAUUUGCUCAAGGGGUGUAGGUGUUCUAAUGUAGCCUCUACGUAUCACAGUUGAAGCUUUAGAAUGGUCCUUUAUCCUAACAGGGAAAGGUGGUUUCUCAAUGUAAGCACUUGGAACAAUAGGAUCAUUAUAGGCAAUGACUUUCUCUUCAACUGGAUUGGGUUUAACUACAUUGAAUUCUAAGGGACGAUGAUAUUUAAACCACUUAUCUUUGGGGAGAUCAAUAUGAGCAGCAAAUGAUUCACACAAUGAAGCUACUAUCUCAGAGUCAAGUCCAUACUUAGCGCUAAAAUCACAAAAAGUAUUUGUUUCAACAAAGGAUUUAACGCAAUCAAACUUGAAAUUCAUACCUGAAUCCUUACCUUAUUCAAGCUCCCAAUCCUCAGAGUUGCGUUUAAUUCUCUCCAAUAAAUUCCAUUUGAAGUCAAUAUCUCUCUUCAUAAAAGAACCCAUACAAGAAGUGUCAAGCAUGGUGCGAUCAUCAUGAGAAAGCCGAGCAUAGAAGUUCUGAAUGACAAUUUCUCUCGAGAGCUCAUGGUUGGGGAAUGAAUAUAACAUUGAUUUAAGCCUCCCCCAAGCUUGAGCGAUGCUUUCUCUAUCACGAGGCCAAAAACUAUAAAUAUAAUUCCGAUCACGAUGUACUAGAUGCAUAGGAUAAAACUUUUGAUGAAAUUCCAAUUUCAACCGAUUGUAGUUCCAUGAUCCAGUAUCAUCACAUAGCAUAUACCAUGUCAAUGCCUUACCCCUCAAAGAUAAGGGAAAGACCUUCUUCUUGACCUCAUCCUCGGGCAAACCUGCAAGAUUAAAUAAUCCACAAACUUCAUCUACAUAGAUUAGAUGCAAGUCUGGAUGUGAUGUUACAUCUCCUGUAAAAGGAUUAGUCAGCAGUUUCUCAAGCAUACCCGAAGGAAAUUCAUAGCAAAUAUUUUCAGUAGGUGAAGAAGGUUUAGGAGCAACUCUUUGUGCUUCCGUUUGAGGUGAAGACACCCCAAACAAUCCCCUCAAAGGAUUAGUUUCCAUAGUGACAAGUGACAAUAAAUUUCAGCACACUAUAUAAAUGUUUCCUUACCAAGUUCCACUUACCAAAGACGCAAGCCUCCCCGGCAACGGUGCCAGAAAAGAGUCUUGCUGACCCACAAGUAUAGGGUAUCUAUCUAGUCCUUUCGAUAAGUAAGAGUAUCGAACCCAACGAGGAGCAAAAGGAUCUGACAAGUGGUUUUCAGCAAGGUAAUAUCUGCAAGCACUGAAAUUAUCGGUAACAAGUAGUUGUGUGGUGAGAUGAUUCAUAGCAAGUAGCAAGUAGCAAAAGUAACAACAGUGCAGCAAGGUGGCCCAAUCCCUUUUGUAGCAAGGUAAAAGCUUGGACAAAGUCUUAUAGGAGGUAAAACGCUCCCGAGGACACAUGGGAAUUUUUGUCAAGCUAAUGUUCAUCAUGUUCAUAUGAUUCGCGUUCGUUACUUUGAUAGUUUGAUAUGUGGGUGGACCGGCGCUUGGGUACUGCCCUUACUUGGAAAAGCAUCCCACUUAUGAUUAACCCCUCUCGCAAGCAUCCGCAACUAUGAAAGAAGAAUUAAGACAAAGUCUAACCAUAGCAUUAAACUAGUGGAUCCAAAUCAGCCCCUUACGAAGCAACGCAUAAACUAGGGUUUAAGCUUCUGUUACUCUAGCAACCCAUCAUCUACUUACUACUUCCCAAUGCCUUCCUCUAGGCCCAAAUAAUGGUGAAGUGUUAUGUAGUCGACGUUCACAUAACACCACUAGAGGAAAAACAACAUACAACACAUCAAAUUACCGAACGAAUACCAAGUUCACAUGACUACUUAUAGCAUGACUUAUCCCAUGUCCUCAGGAACAAAAGUAACUACUCAGAAAGCAUAAUCAUAUUCAUGACCAGAGAGGUAAUGAGUAGCAUCAAAUAUCUGAACAUAUAAUCUUCCAUCAAGUAAUCCAACUAGCAUCAACUACAAAGAGUAAUUAACACUACUAGCAACCUUACAAGUACCAAUCGGAGUCGCGAGACGGAGAUUGGUUACAAGAGAUGAACUAGGGUUUGGAGAUGAGAUGGUGCUGAUGAAGAAGUUGAUGGUGAUGAGUCCCCUCCGAUUAGAGGAGUGUUUGUGAUGACGAUGGCGACGAUUUCCCCCUCCGGGAGGGAAGUUUCCCCGGCAGGAUCGUCCUGCCGGAGCUCUAGAUUGGUUCUGCUCAAGUUCCGCCUCUUGGCGGCGGUGAAUCCUCCGAAAAACCUCCUCCUAAUUUUUUCCAGACCGAAACCCUUCUUGUAGCAAAAGGCAGGAGCCAGAGGGCCAAGUGGGAGCCCACAAGCGCCCUAGGCACGGCCAGGGGGCCCGCGCCUAGCAGGCUUGUGGCCUCGUGCUGGCGCCCCUCUGAUACUUCUUCAGCCCAGUAUUUUUUAUAAAUCCCAAAAAAAUCCACGUUGAUUUUCACAGCUUUUGGAGUUGUGCAGAAUAGGUAUCUCAAACUUGCUCCUUUUUUAGGCCAGAAUUCCAGCUGCCGGCAUUCUCCCUCUUCAUGUAAACCUUGCAAAAUAAGAAAGAAAAGGCAUAAGUAUUGUACCGUGAAGUGUAAUAAUAGCCCAUAAAGCGAUAAAUAUCAACAUGAAAGCAUGAUGCAAAAUGGACGUAUCGCCUAUGAAGACGCACAUUUCCGCUUUGGGUUCCAGCUUUUCAGGCUGAAGCUUUUUGACAUAAGCGUCACAUCCCAAACUUUAAGAAACGACAAUUUUUGUCUUUUGCCAUACCACAGUUCGUAUGGUGCCAUCUCAACAGAUUUUGAUGGUGCCCUAUUUAAAGUGAAUGCAGAUGUCUCUAAUGCAUAACCCAAAAUGAUAACGGCAAAUCGGUAAGAGACAUCAUAGAUCACACCAUUUCUAACAAAGUACGAUUACGAUGUUCGGACACGCCAUUACGCUGUGGUGUUCCAGGAGGUGUCAACUGUGAAACAAUUCCACAUUGUCUUAAGUGAGCACCAAACUCGAAACUCAGAUAUUCACCCCCACGAUCAGAACGUAGGAACUUGAUCUUCUUGUUACCAUGAUUUUCAACUUCACUCUGAAAUUGCUUGAACUUCUCAAACGUUUCAGACUUGUGCUUCAUCAAGUAGAUAUAUCCAUACCUACUCAAAUCGUCAGUUAAGGUGAGAAAAUAACGAUAUCCACCGCGUGCCUCCACACUCAUCGGACCACACACAUCGGUAUGUAUGAUUUCCAACAAGUCAUUUGCACGCUCCAUUGUUCCGGAGAACGGAGUCUUAGUCAUCUUGCCCAUGAGGCAUGGUUCGCACGUGUCAAGUGAUUCAAAAUCAAGUGACUCCAAAAGCCCAUCGGCAUGGAGUUUCUUCAUGCGCUUUAUACCAAUAUGACCUAAGCGACGGUGCCACACAAACAUGGCGCUAUCAUUGUUAACUCUACAUCUUUUGGUCUCAAUGUUAUGUAUAUGUGUAUCAUCGCUAUCAAGAUUCAAUAUGAACAAUCCUCUCACAUUGGGUGCAUGACCAUAAAAGAUAUUACUCAUAGAAAUAGAACAACCAUUAUUCUCUGACUUAAACGAGUAACCGUCUCGCAAUAAACAAGAUCCAGAUAUAAUGUUCAUGCUUAACGUAGGCACUAAAUAACAAUUAUUUAAGUUCAUAACUAGUCCUGAUGGUAACUGAAGUGAGACUGUGCCGACGGCGAUUGCAUCAACCUUGGAACCAUUUCCCACAUGCAUCGUCACUUCAUCCUUUGCCAGCCUUCGUUUACUCCACAGUUCCUGCUUCGAGUUGCAAAUAUGAGCAACAGAACCGGUAUCAAAUACCCAGGCACUACUACGAGAGUUGGUUAAGUACACAUCAAUAACAUGUAUAUCAAAUAUACCUGAUUUUUCCUUGGCCGCCUUCUUAUCAGCCAAAUACUUGGGGCAGUUGCGCUUCCAAUGACCCAUUCCCUUGCAAUAAUAACACUCUAUUUCAGGCUUAGGUCCAGCCUUGGGUUUCUCCGUCGGAUUGGCAAUAGGCUUGCCGCUCUUCUUGGAGUUACCCUUCUUGCCUUUGUCGUUUCUCUUGAAACCAGUGGUCUUAUUGACCAUCAACACUUGAUGCUCUUUCCGCAGUUCUGACUCUGCGACUUUCAGCAUCGCGAAUAACUCGCCGGGUGACUUGUUCAUCCCUUGCAUGUUAUAGUUCAACACAAAACUCUUAUAGCUAGGUGACAGUGAUUGAAGAAUUCUGUUAGUGAUAGCCUCUUGCGGGAGUUCAAUCCCCAACUCAGCUAGACGGUUUGAGUACCCAAACAUUUUGAGCACAUGUUCACUGACAGAUGAAUUCNNNNNNNNNNNNNNNNNNNNNNNNNNNNNNNNNNNNNNNNNNNNNNNNNNNNNNNNNNNNNNNNNNNNNNNNNNNNNNNNNNNNNNNNNNNNNNNNNNNNUGUCACGCCCAAGAUGCGACCCUAUCCUCAAUUUGGCACGAAGGCCUCGUCAGGGAUAGAAGCGCAUCUCGUCGUGUCGCAAGAAUGGAUAUCGUUACAAGUACAUGUAAUGAAAAGAAGAGAUAUAUAAAGAGUUGGCUUACACUCGCCACGAGCUACAUCGGAGUCACAUCAGUACAUUACAUAAUCAUCAAGAGUAAGAGCAGGGUCCGACUACGGACGAAAACAAACGAUAAAAGAAAGAACAACGUCCAUCCUUGCUAUCCCAGACUGCCGGCCUGGAACCCAUCCUAGAUCCAUGAAGAAGAAGAAGAANNNNNNNNNNNNNNNNNNNNNNNNNNNNNNNNNNNNNNNNNNNNNNNNNNNNNNNNNNNNNNNNNNNNNNNNNNNNNNNNNNNNNNNNNNNNNNNNNNNNNNNNNNNNNNNNNNNNNNNNNNNNNNNGAAGAAGAAGAAGAAGCAACUCCAAAUGAACAAUCAACGCGCUCGCGUCAAGUAAUCUUUACCUGUACUUGCAACUGGUGUUGUAGUAAUCUGUGAGCCACGGGGGACUCAGCAAUCUCAUUUCCAAAGGUAUCAAGACUAGCAAAGCUUAAUGGGUAAGGCAUGGGUAAGUGGUGAGGUUGCAGCAGCGGCUAAGCAUAUAUUUGGUGGCUACACUUACGAGUACAAGAAUAAGAGGGGGAAGAUCUACGCAUAGCGGACNNNNNNNNNNNNNNNNNNNNNNNNNNNNNNNNNNNNNNNNNNNNNNNNNNNNNNNNNNNNNNNNNNNNNNNNNNNNNNNNNNNNNNNNNNNNNNNNNNNNCGACGUUCCAGAAGAUUCCCCUCUCUUUCCGUUUUCGUCAUGGGAUUUAUUUUAUUUGUUGCAUCAUCAUCGCAUCAUGCGCAUCAUCAGCAUUGCAUCGACAUCUCCGUUGCCGCCCGUUUUCAAACUUGCAUUCGUUAGUAGUCGCCGGUUCUCGUCGUUGUCCGUUCCGAGCCCGACCGCACUCGCACGCGCCCGCGGCACCGUCGAAACCCUGUUUUUAAAGUGCGUGUAAAACUAUCUCUGAUCGAGGUGAAACUUGGCACGCGGUCGCGAUUAGAUAUAGCUAGGCCGCCUGUCGAAUUUCGUCGCGAUCAGAGACCGUCUGGUACCCGAACGGUCGACCGUAGCGGCACCGUCUUCGGUUAUUCGUCGGACGUGUGUCGGAGUUUUAAAAGUCGUUGCCGCGCCGCACCACUUCCCUCUCAUCUUAGCCAACGCCACUCUACACACCUAACCCUAACCCGCCUCUCCGAUCGGACCGCACGAACGCGACCGGAGGGUCGAAAAACCCCCAGAUACGCUGCACCCUAGCCCCUUUUCCUAUUUAAGCACCCCUCCCUACCUAUUUUGGGCGCCCCCCUAAUCGUGCCUCGUUUUCCGCGCCCGAAACCCUAGCCGCCCCCACAGCCUUCUCCUCUCUCUCCCCUUGCCAGCCCCGCCGGGGCCCGCGAAGCCCAUCGCCANNNNNNNNNNNNNNNNNNNNNNNNNNNNNNNNNNNNNNNNNNNNNNNNNNNNNNNNNNNNNNNNNNNNNNNNNNNNNNNNNNNNNNNNNNNNNNNNNNNNGUCACUCCCGGUACUUUACCGGUAAUGCCCGGAAAACUUUCCCGGAAGCCAAAUGCAACUUUCCUAUAUAUCACUCUUUACCCCCAGACCAUUUCGGAGCUCCUCAUGACAUACGGGAUCUCAUCCGGUACUCCGGACAACUUUUGGUCACCAACAUACAUAACUCAAUAAUACCGAACCUUAAGUGUGCAAACCCUACAGGUUCGAGAACUAUGUAGACAUGACCUGAGACACUCUCCGAUGAAUAACCAAUAGCGGGACAUGGAUGCCCAUAUUGGCUCCUACAUAUUCUACGAAGAUAUUUAUCGGUUGAACUUCUUUGUCAAGGAUUUAGUUAAUCCCAUACGUUGUUCCCUUUGUCCUUCGGUAUGUUACUUGCCCGACAUUCGAUCGUCGUUAUCUCUAUACCUAGUUCAAUAUCGUUACCGACAAGUCUCUUUACUCGUUCCGUAAUACAAAAUACCCAUGACUAACUCCUUAGUCACAUUUCUUGCAAGGGUUAUUGUGAUGUUGUAUUACCGAGUGGGCCCCGAGAUACCUUUCCAUCAUAUAGAGUGAUAAAUCCCAGUCUUGAUCCACGCUAACUGAUGGGGUUAUAGUCCUAGGGUAGGGUCGAUAGGCCUGCCCUAUGGGUCCUACCCAAGGACUACCCCUCAUAAGGGACAAGGCCCUUAGUCAGUUCCAACUGAACUAAGGAGUUCCCAUCAUCCAGUCGGUAACAGGUCCUCGACCAUCCAGUCGGAGACUAGCAUUCGGAGUGUAUCAAACUAACCGAAUGGAUGCCACUCUGAGCAUCCGUAACCCCCCCUGUNNNNNNNNNNNNNNNNNNNNNNNNNNNNNNNNNNNNNNNNNNNNNNNNNNNNNNNNNNNNNNNNNNNNNNNNNNNNNNNNNNNNNNNNNNNNNNNNNNNNAUCGGACCCUACUUUCCCUCUAUGCUAUUCUCAUCCAGUCUAUUCAAUUCUUCAUAUGCAUUCUACUUGAAACUUUGUUCAAAAUCCUCACUGCGUCCUUGUCAGCUGAUGGUUUUGUAACAAAAUCCUCAAAUCUUCAAAAAUGUUUUUUAGUGAACAGUAACUGAACCCACUUUCCUCGUUCGGAUAACCACGAUCUCCACGAUCUCCACCGCUUUGCUCGUAAGCUACACGUGUCCUGCGGAGACGUAGAGGCAGGGGCUAUUGGUCUGAUUUCCUCGCGCCAACAGCAACUGCCUGGCUAUAAAUAUGUCCCCCACCCCCCUCAGUAMASMCWUSKWKGCUCSWUSGAAMUMUSCUSCUASAGGCAAUAAUAAAUUAGUUAUUAUUAUAUUUCCUUGUUCAUGAUAAUCGUUUAUUAUCCAUGCUGGAAUUGUAUUGAUUGAACCUAAAAUACAUGUGUGGAUACAUAGACAACACACUGUCCCUAGUGAGCCUCUAGUUGACUAGCUCGUUAAUCAAAUAUGGUCAAAGUUUCCUCGCCAUAGAAAAGUGUUAUCACUUGAUAACGGGAUCACAUCAUUAGGAGAAUGAUGUGAUGGACAAGACCCAAACUAUGGACGUAGCAUAUUAUCAUGUCAGUUUAUUGCUCCUGUUUUCUGCAUGUCAAUGUAUCUGUUCCUAUGACCAUGAGAUCAUGCAACUCCCGGACACUGGAGGAAUACCUUGUGUGUAUCAAACAUCGCAAUGUAACUGGGNNNNNNNNNNNNNNNNNNNNNNNNNNNNNNNNNNNNNNNNNNNNNNNNNNNNNNNNNNNNNNNNNNNNNNNNNNNNNNNNNNNNNNNNNNNNNNNNNNNNAGCUUUUCUUCCCCUUUACCUUUCCCCUACUGUCCAAGAAUACUUGUCGGAAGGUCUCAUACCUCUCAAUAGCAGGAACGAGCCUCGAAUUACCCCAAUUUUCUAGCUCCUUUGGAACAUCUCAUAUGUUCCUAUCGACGUUCAAAACAUCUCCGGCACCUCAAUUUUAAGCCGUUAAGCAUUACACACUGAACUAUCUACGCAGUCAUAAAAAAAUAGUGUAUGUCAGAUGUUUGCAAACAUCCACAUAUGGCGCUCGGGGGUUCAGCACACUGAGCGGUGUAUUAAGGACAUAAGCCUUAUGUGUAGCAAUGUGGACAAUCCUUGUUUUACGGACCCUGUCCGCAUAAUUGCUACUAUCAUCUUUCAAUUAAGUUUUCUCUAGGAACAUAUCAAAAUAACUAGAGCUACAGCGCAAGCUACAACAUAAUUUGCAAAACAUUUUGACUAUGUUCAUGAUAAUGAGUUCAAUUAAUCAUAUUACUUGUCGUUGCUACCGUUUAUGUCUCGUUGCCUACCACAUGUUUCCAUAUCAACCUAUCAACAAUGCCAUGAUUACCUUCAACCUGUUCGACCUAGNNNNNNNNNNNNNNNNNNNNNNNNNNNNNNNNNNNNNNNNNNNNNNNNNNNNNNNNNNNNNNNNNNNNNNNNNNNNNNNNNNNNNNNNNNNNNNNNNNNNUGGAAUCGGUAUGAUGAGACUUAGAGAGAUGCAAGGUUCAGGGGGGAGAAACUUCACAAACUCAUGCUAAAAUCUCAAUCCCGAUGAUUGAGUACUCAACCGGGUAGUUGAGUGGAUUGUACUAAUUUUUGCUUGAGUGAGUUUCUGUGAUGUUUCUCACCUAGAAGGCAUUCACUGUCAUUGACGAUCAAUUGUACAAGGAGAGUGUUUCGGGCGUUCUUCAACGUCUGCGUAUUUCCCCUUGGAGGAAGGGCAGUUGAUCUUAGAAGAGUAUUCACUCGGGAACCUGCGGUCAUCACGGUUCUUCAAGAGCAAUUGUCGCCAAGGCAUUCAGAGCCGGUUUYUUUGGCUGCAGGCCAACGAGAUGGCUAAAGAUAUGGUCGACCGAUGUGAAGGCUGUCAGUUCUACUCCAACSAUWGKMSSASRAGACSAMCAUSUCGCYWURAAGCACSWYCCUCUGAUGCUCGACGGCUCGGCGCGAGCGUGGCUGAACCAGUUGGCCCCCUCAAGCAUCUACAGCUGGGCAGAUCUGGCUCGAGUGUUCAUCAGGACCUUCGAAGGGACGUGCAAGCGCCCUGCUGGCCUUGUGGAACUCCAGCAUUGCGUCCAGAAGCAGAAUGAGCCCCUGCGUGAUUUCAUUCAGCGUUGGACAACCCUCUACCACACGGUGGAGAACGUCACAGAGCAUCAAGCAGUCUGCACCUUCAAGGCAGGCGUGCGGUAUAGGGGAUUUGUACCUAAAGUUCGGCCGAACAAGUGACAUCUCCAUCGAAUUUAUUAACGAAUGCAUUGUAUCAAAUCACGGAAUCAUGAUAACUAACGAGGUAGGCUAAGUAGACUCGGCAAAGAAGCCAUUGACUUCAGCCUGAGUCUCCAGACUAGUGAUCCCAUCCUCCAUAGACAUACAUGUUGGUAAGCAACAUACAACAGCCAGUGGCGGCAUCAUAGGGGCGACCAUGUGCUCAACCUCGCAUUUUCACAAAAGAGCCACCGAAUGGGAAUUCUACAGAAUGCAACCAAACUUGAACCUACCGUCAUGCCUAAUUUUGGUACCAAGUGAUAUAAGUCGUGUUUCGUACUAAUUUUUCGUUCCUGGAACGAGAAACAUCUGGUAUAGUUUUCAGAUUUUUCGAUUGAGAGGGUCCAUCAUACAAGCANNNNNNNNNNNNNNNNNNNNNNNNNNNNNNNNNNNNNNNNNNNNNNNNNNNNNNNNNNNNNNNNNNNNNNNNNNNNNNNNNNNNNNNNNNNNNNNNNNNNAUUGUAACCAUCACUUNACCAGUGUGUAGCUAGGGCGGCAGGAAGUUGGUUCCUGUGGCGGCCUACACCAAUUGUAAGUGGAAGCUGAUGGUGGUGAUCAUUGAGCUUUGAAUCAAGGUUACUAGGGGGGGGGCUAUCGAAACGGUCGGGACCCUCAACUGUGAGAGUCCUCAUGUCACUCAUAUUCCUCACUUGAGGCUUUUGGUAGGAUUAGGCUUGGGUUGAGCGCAUCAUGAGGAAAUUCAUUCCAAUGUGUUACCUCAACCCCCUUUAACAGUACGGUGUUCCUAUUACUCAAGUGUGAAGAAAACAAAACAGAAAGAGUAAAUCUUCAUGCUUCAAAGUCUUCAGAAUGAUUUUCUUCAGGACACACCGAAUUCCUCAAAUUUCUAUAUCUUCAUGAGGAAUAUCAAUUUCAUCGCAAAUUCUUCACGAUUCAAAUCUUCAGCUUCAGACCAAUUUCUUCAACCGAAGAUAUACAUUUGACACAUAGGAUGUGGGUCAUCCAUGCUUCCUUCGCUGCUUUUCUUCAACCACCCACGGACCUCGCGCCCAUCCAUGUCUCCUGCCCUCCAUUCGUUGCCAGUCGCACAGUGCUGAUGCCCGUAUCCUCCCGCCUUCCGUAGUUGCCAGUNNNNNNNNNNNNNNNNNNNNNNNNNNNNNNNNNNNNNNNNNNNNNNNNNNNNNNNNNNNNNNNNNNNNNNNNNNNNNNNNNNNNNNNNNNNNNNNNNNNNAAAUUUAUAUUAUCACUUAUUUUUACGUUUUGAGCAUUCACACUUCUGUGUUAUCUAUGCUUAUUUGAAGGGCAAGGACAGACCUUAAGCCACAUAUCGGUGAUGUUGAUGCUGCUGCGGUGCCAUGUGGCUUUGGACGCGCUAUUGGCAACAAGGUACAUGAUCUGGAAAGUGUGUAUUAACUCUUCCAUUUGGUACCGCCUAUCCAUCAAGUUAUGUGUGCAUUACCAUUUUUGCAUAUCCUAAGAUUUCUCCUUGGACCUACUAUAGAUUAACUGGAAAUAUUUCUGCUGGCAAAAUAAUAAACUGACAACCUAGACAGGACUAUUUGGAUGCUCUAAUAUAUGAUCACAAAAUACAACUUUCUAAUGG